GUACUGAUUCGAUUCUCUAACUUAAAAGCAUCGAUCUCUUUCUUCUUUGAAGGUGCUUCCAUUUCUCUCACCACAUCAUUGAUCUUCAAAGUGUCCCGAACCCACUUAUAUUGAUUCUGCUUGUGGCUCUCUCCAUUCAGCAAGCUCAUAAGAGGAUAAGAUAUAAUAAGGCACACAAUAUCCUUCGUCCUGUUCAAUAUCUCAGCACUCUGCUUGAUUCUUUUGUGGACACUCCUGUCAUCUUCUAACUGUGUGGAAGGCCCAGCUAUAUUGGUUUUGCUUCUGCAGAAAUGAAGGAAAAAACAUUAGAGAGAGUUCAACUAGAAAGCAAUUUCAGAGAACUAUUUGUAGUUAACCUCUUAUGAGUUGUGACAAGUGUGCACAGUAAGUACAAAUACAAGAUUGUUUGAGAAAAAUCUCGAGCAAAACAUGGUGGUAAAAGAAAUAUAGAAGCCAUUUGCAGAUAAAAUGAUAACUUUAAGUGAUUUUUAGAAGAAUUGCUUUCAAAAAUUUACUUUCUCAUACGACUCCAAGAUGAAUUCUUAAUCCAAUGUUUGCUUAGUGUAGGGUGCCUUGGUGAGAGGGACCUCAAAUACUAGAGUAUACUAAAAAGAUGUGGGGCCAUUUAUUUUUGAACAGAAAAUUUCUUUAUAUUUUUGUUUCCAAAAGUUUGCUUUUGAGAACAGAAAGUCUGGUUUAUUUUGAGUGUUGAAUCAUUAUAAAUAUUAGGAAGUGGUGGUUGAUUAUAUUUUUUCUUGAGUUUCGAAAAAGAAUUAAGUGUUUAGGAAGCCUCACAGUUCAUUGGUUUUCUCACAGGUUACAAGUUGUUCGGUCACUCAAAAAAUCUAUGAAAAUUGUUGUGUUACUGGAAACUUUAAUGCAAAUAAUAUUAGUUCAAGAACACAAAAGAUAAAAAUAAUUGACAUAAAGAAACACAAGGUUUUAACAUUGUUCGAACAAUCAUGCCUAUAUCCACGGAUGAGAGAGAAUUAUUCUACUAUACUAUAUACAAAGGAUAGAACCAAAUACAAAUAUUGUGUUCCCAAAACAUCUCAUAUUUCCUCACUCCUUUGUAGCAAUACCCUAAAUCACAAGUCCCUCACUCCAUUGGGUGUCAUCUAUUCUUCUUCACAUCUCUAUCCACCCACCCUCUAUAAUUUUUACAAGGUCAUCUCUAUCUCAUGAUUUUUCUCCUCAUGACCUGAAAUAUUUAUAGAAAUAUUCCUAACAACUUUCCUUAUUGUAUAAGAAAAUCUAAUAUUUAAAUAAGAGGAAAAGUAGAUUUUGACUCACUAAUUUGAAAAAAAUAUAAAAAAAAAACCCCUCAAAUUUGUAAAUAGGUUUUAUAUUCAUUUAUUUAAAAAUAUUUUAAAAUGCAUGUACUUUUUCAUAACUUAAUAAUUAUUUCCUGAAAUGACUUUAUUACUUAUGAUGUUAAUAACACCAAUUAACAAUUUUUUUAAUCGUAAGACUCGAUUUGACAUUAAUAAAAUAAGAAAUUUUAAAAAUUAAAAACACAAUUAAAACUAAAAAAAAAAACUUUAAAGUUAAAAAUAUAAAAAUAAAAUAUUAUGCAUCUUUAAAAUUUUUUGGUUUUUAAUUUUAUUUAAUCAUUAUGUACUUUAGUUUUAAUUCUAUUUUAAAUUUUUAAAAUUUCUUACUUUAUUGUUGAUGUCAACUAAAAUUUUUAUUCAAUUUUAUUAAAAAAUAUAUAUAUGAGAAGAUGAGAGGCUUUAUAUAAUAUAGGACAUAAAAUCAUUAUUAACUAAGAGAUAAGAAGGAUUAGAAAGAUUUUAUUUAUCACUUGAGGUUGUUGGAGAAUUUUCAUAAUGAUUUGUAUCUCAUAUUAUAUAAUAAAAAAUUUAUAAUACGUUUCAUUGUAAAACAUUUUUAUCAAAUUAAAAUGAUAAAUGAAUUUUGGAUAAUUUUAUUUAAUAUUAUCAAGUAAAAAGGUAUUUCAGGAAAUAAUUAUUUAACUUAUGAAAAAGUACAUGCAUUUUAAAAUAUUUUUAAAUAGAUGAAAAUAAAAUUGAUUUAUAAAAGUUGAGGUUUUUUUUUCUGUAUUUUUUUUUUUAAAUCAGUGAGUCAAAACCUAUUUUUCCCUUAAUAAUAUAUCAACUUAGAAAAUAUACUAUAUAAUAUUUUUUACGAAAAUGAAUCUAUAAUAAUUAGGAAUUUUGGGCACUUUUUAACCAUCUACAUAUCUUGGAUCAAUUUCUGUUAAGUUAAUCUAUCAUCCUUUUAUGAUAGACACUUUUUUGUUUAUAUCACAUCCUGAUAUCCUGAUAAGAGAAUAAUCGACUCUACCUUCAACUAAAAUUCUUUUUGCCAUCAUCUAUUGUACUUUAUUCUCUUUGCCUUCUCCAUAAAUCUUCAACCCAAAACUCUUAUACCAAUUUAUUAUGUCAGCAAAAGUUUUAAUACAAAUAAUGUUAGUUCAAGAACACAAAGAUAAAAACAUCCCACACAAAGGAACAUGAGGUUUGAACGUAGUUCGACUAACCAAACCUACAUUCACGGAUAAGGAAGAAUCAUUCUACUACACCAUAGAAAAUAUUACAAAGGAUAUAACCAUUCUACUAUACCAUAUAAAACAUUACAAAAGACAGAAUCAAAUACAAGUAUUACGUUCUGAAAUAUCUCAUGUUUCCUCACUUCUUGUAUCAAUACCUUGAACCAUAAGUCUCUCAUUUCAUUGGAUGUCUCUUAUUAUUUUUCACAUCUCUAUCCACCUCUCUCACUCCAUUGAGUGUUUCUUAUUCUUCCUCAUAUUUCUAUUCACCUCAUGUGGCCUUUACAAGUCUAUCUCCAUCUCAUAAUUUUUUCCCUCAUAAACUAGAAUAUUUAUAGAGACAUUCCUAACAACUUUCUUUAUUUUGUAAGGAAAUUUAAUAUUAUGAUAAUAUAUCAAUUUAAAAAAUAUUCUAUAUAAUAUCUUUUUACAAAAAGGAAUCAAUAUUAAUUAGGAAUUUGAGACAUUUUUUUAACAAAAAUCAAUGUAAUGGAGUAAGUAUUUAUCCAAAGAAGCUAGUGGUAUUUUUACAACACAUGGGAUAGAAUGGUGACUAAGUGUGUUUGGGAGUGUGUCUAUUUGAACUCUUUUUAGUUAAAAUACUUAAAAAAACAUUUUUAAGAUAAUUACUUAUCAAGUACUUCUUUAAAAAGCACUAUAAGUGAUUUUUCAACUUUUAAAAUUUUUCCAAACAAUAGCUUUUUUUUUUUUUUUCCAAAAGUACUUUUUAUGCUAGAAGGAUUCUAAAAAAAAAAGACAAGGAAUAAAAUAUUAAUGAAAAGCAUAGGAAAAUAUUAAAAUAUUUCAGUUUCCGUGUAUGUAUAUUUUUUAACAAUUUAAUUUUCUUUUCCUUAUAUUUCUUCAAAUUGAUAAAUGGUAGUUUUUUUCAUUCAUACUUUCAUUCGUUCAUGUACAUAGUAUAUAUAGAGGGUAAUCACCAUUCUAAGAAUAGGAAAGAAUGAUAUAAGGAAAUAACAACUAAUAUCCUAAAAUCUCAACUUUCCUAAUAUCUCAAUAUUCCUAAUAUCUCAAUAUUCCUAGUAUCUCAAUAUUCAUAAUAUCUCAAUAUUCAUAAUAUCUCAACUUUCCUAAUAUCUAAACACUAAAUGAUAUAAGGAAAGCAUUUCCAAUAUCUCAACAUUCCCCCUCAAGUUGGUGCAUAGAUGUCACACAUGCCCAACUUGUCUAAAAAUUUUGAGAACACUUGACUUGAGACAGCUUUGGUAAGGAUAUCAGCCAAUUGAUCUUCUGAUCGAAUCUUAGGCAAUUCCACAAUCUUAUCAUCCAACUUUUCCUUAAUGAAGAAUCUAUCCACCUCGACAUGCUUUGUACGAUUAUGUUGUACUGGAUUAUGAGCAAUGUCACAUGCGGCUUUAUUGUCACAAAACAAUCGGAUUAGUUGCCUAGAUAGGUAACCUAAAUCCUGUAAGAGGAGUCUUAGCCAUAAUGCCUCACAAAGUCCUAGAGACAUACCUCUAAAUUCCGCUUCUGCACUUGAACGAGCGACGACAUUCUGCUUCUUACUUUUCCAUGUCACAAGAUUACCACCUACAAAGGUAAAGUAACCAGAUGUAGAUCGCCUAUCAUCCACUGCACCGGCCCAAUCAGCAUCAGUAUAUACUUCUAUACUCUGAUGAUCAACAUUUUUAGCGAACAAAAUUCCCUUCCCAGAAGCAUUCUUCAAAUACCUCAAAAUACGCAUGACUGCAUUCAUAUGUUGCUCUCCAGGAUUAUGCAUGUAUUGACUCACUACACUCAAUGCAUAAGCAAGAUCUNNNNNNNNNNNNNNNNNNNNNNNNNNNNNNNNNNNNNNNNNNNNNNNNNNNNNNNNNNNNNNNNNNNNNNNNNNNNNNNNNNNNNNNNNNNNNNNNNNNNAUGCUCUCGGGGAUUGCUUCAACCCAUACAAUGACUUCUUCAAUUUGCACACCUUCUGACAUUGCUUUUCUGACACCAUGCAUCCUGGUGGAAGAUCCAUAUAUACUUCUUCAGAUAACUCGCCAUGCAGAAAGGCAUUUUUCACAUCGAAUUAUUGUAAUGGUCAAUCUAGGUUUGCAGCUAAAGACAAUAAUACUCGAAUUGUGUUGGUCUUAGCUACAGGUGCAAAUGUCUAUGUGUAGUCAAUUCCAUAAGUUUGAGUGUACCCUUUUACUACCAGUCUUGCUUUAAAUCGUUCAAUACUAUCAUCUGCCUUGUACUUCACAGUAUAGAUCCAACGACACCCAACUGACUUCUUUCCUGGUGGACAUUCUACGAGUUCCCAUGUUUCAUUUUUCUGCAAUGAUUUCAUCUCUUCAUUCAUGGCUGCUUUCCACCUUGGAUCAGCUAAGGCUUCCUGCACACUGUUAGGAAUAGAUACAGUAGAUAAUUGAUUUACAAAUGACUUAUUUGAUUCAGACAAACGAUGGGUAAACACAUAGUUGCUCAUGGGAUAUUUGACUUUAGUAGACAAUUCAGGUUCAUAUGUGGGUUUAGGAAUACCUCUAUUAUGACGAUGUGGUAACCGUUUCAUGAAUGGAUCAGGUUCCAAAUUAAGAACACCCUCAACAGACGACGAUUGGUUUGGUAUUUCAGUGAAGACAUCUUCGGACCCAAAUUGUUGACCACUCAUAUCCAACUCACCAACUUCCUGGUUCACUAGUUCAGAUUGUCUAGAUUCAUCUUCCUCAGAGAUAUGAUAAUUAUAAUCGAGAGUCUGAAUUUCUUUAUGAUACUCCCCCUGAAGUUCAGACUCAGAUGAAAAAUACAUUGAAUCUUCAUGAAACACCACAUCCAUUGUAAUAUACAUUUGUCGAGUUGGAGGAUGGUAACAUCGAUAUCCCUUUUUGUGCAAUGCAUAUCCAACAAACACACAUUGCAAUGCAUGGGAAGUUAACUUGGUGCGUUGGUGCUUGUGUAGAUGCACAAAUGCCACGCAACCAAAAACACGAGGAGGUAGAUUUGGGACGGUUGGGGCAACUACGGCAUUAGUAAGAACUUGGAGAGGUGUUUGAAAGUUAAUUGAGCUAGAAGGUACUCGAUUAAUCAAGUAUGCGGCAGAUGUGAUUGCUUCUCCCCAAUAAGAUAUCAGUGUUUUUUAUGCUAUCAAGGAAGCACGAACAACCUCUAACAAAUGUCGAUUUUUUCAUUCAACGACUCCAUUUUGCUGGGGUGUAUUGGAACAAGUAGUCUGAUGAAUGAUGUCAUGUCCUUCCAAAUACUUUUGAAGAUCAGAACUUUGAUAUUCUCCACCAUUAUCACUAUGCAGAACCCGAACCUUUGCAUUGUACUGAGUUUCAAUUAUUUUAUGAAAUUUUUGAAACAACAAGUUCACUUCAUCUUUGGUCUUCAUCAAGCAUAACCAUGUCAUUCUGGUACAAUCAUCAAUAAAAGUAACAAACCAACGUGAGCCACUCAAAGUUGGGACUUUGGAUGGGCCCCAAACAUUAGAAUGUAUAACCAUAAAAGGAAACAAACUUUUAUUCAAAAUUAACGGAAACGAAGCACGAUGGCUUUUAGCCAAUUCACAAAUAUCACAACGGAAACCAGAAAUAUCACUCUUUGCAAACAAACUAGGAAACAAUUUUUUUAAAUAACCAAAGGAAGCAUGUCCCAAACGUCGAUGCCACAACCAAAUUUCAGAUUUUUUCUUCUCCCCCUCAAAUCCAUUUGCCAUCAAGGCUUGUUGCAACUUAUUUGAAUCCUUUGAUUACAAGUCCAAGUAAUAGAGUUUUCCCCAUUUAAUACUACAACCAAUCGUCUGUGUUGUUUGGAUGUCCUUAAUCAUACAAAAUUCAGGCUAAAAAAUGACAAUACAAGAUAAGGUUGUAGUGAUUUGAGAAACUGACAAAAGAUUGUAAUCUAAAGAUGAAACAACUAAAACAGAAUCCAAAUUCAAAGUAUCAGUAAGAGUUAAGGAUCCUUCCCCAAUGACUGGGGUUGUGUUACCAUUGGCUGUGGAAAUAAUUUUUUGUCAGGAAGGUCUAAGGGGUGAAACCUGUUUAGAAUCAAAAGUCAUAUGAUCUGUAGCACCAGAAUCAAUUAUCCAUGCACUAUUAAUAACAGGUGUAAAAGUAUUUAAAAACUUACCACCAUGAUCAGUAGCGGCUACCAAUGCAGAGGCUUUCUCAGCAACAUUAGCCUCUGUUUUUAUUUCGGCAACAGUUGCAGUCGAGGUUUUCUUGGGAUCCUUCUUCCGUUGACCACGAUUAUUAUAAUUAAUAACAAAGUGUUGAUAGCCAAAACAUGAUCUAAAGGUCCAUGGUUCAAACCCUCGGUUCCUUAUUGUUUUCCUGGUCAUACCAAGAGUCGUUGCUUUGAAAUUGUGGGAUAUCCAGACUGGUGGGACCAGUCUUAUUGAAGUGAGUGCAUUUGAAGGUUGACUUAUCAAUAUUAGGGUUUGUCUUAGGAUGGUUGAUCGCUGUCGGACUACCAUAGCGACAAAAUAUCCAGGAUUUCAGUUCCAUGGCUCUGAUACCAUCUUCAAAUUGAUAAAUGGUAGUUUUUUUCAUUCAUACUUUCAUUCGUUCAUGUACAAAGUAUAUAUAGAGGGUAAUCAUCAUUCUAAUAAUGGGAAAGAAUGAUACAAGGAAAGAAUGAUAUAAGGAAAUAACAACUAAUAUCCUAAUAUCUCAACUUUCCUAAUAUAUCAAUAUUCUUAAUAUCUCAAUAUUCCUAGUAUCUCAAUAUUCAUAAUAUCUCAAUAUUCAUAAUAUCUCAAUAUUCAUAAUAUCUCAACUUUCCUAAUAUCUAAAUGCUAAAUAAUAUAAGGAAAGCAUUUCUAAUAUCUCAACAAUAUUUUCUAUGGACAACCAAAGGGUAUUUGAUUAAAAGGGAACAAAUCAUCCCCAUUUUGUAAAACUAACCCUUCAGCUUUUUUUUCAACUUAAAAAAUACUCAUUUUGGAUAAAAACACUCAUUUUUUUCUUGCAAAAAUAACCCUUUUAUAAAACACAAAUGUAAAUAAUAGAAGUGUUGAAGGGCACUUAUAUCAAAAUUGGGUUACAAUUCAAGUUUUAAAAAAAAUGGGAGAAGUUAGUUUUAUAAAUUAGGGAUCUUUUCAUCCCUUUAAAUCAAUUAAUCCAAUAAAAAAAAUUAUCAUUUUUCUUUCUUUCCUUUUUUUCUCCCUAUUUUCUUUCAAUCUUUUUCCAACCAUCAAACAUAGCCCAAUGAUUUUAUAUUUUGUCAAUACUCUUAUUCACGUUUUCUUAAUAGUUUUGUUAUUACUAAAUACCACCUUGCUUCAAAAUUUAUGGUUUUAUACAUGUUUACGUCUAUAUGAGUUCCCUUUUAAAGAAAAGAAACUCUUAUUGUUAAUCCAUGCCAAUUUUACCUUCAUCCAAUGCACCAAUUUAUUAUUCUAUCUUUACAUGUUUCAUAUCAUUAAUUAAUAAAGAUAAAAAAGAAAAUAUAAAAAUUAUGAAAAAAAAAAAUUUAAAUAAACAAAGGAAAAUAAUCAUAUUGAAUGGAAAAAAAAAUCCAAGAAUAAAAACAAGUUGAUUUAAUAAAAAAAAAAUAUAACAAUUAAAAAGGUUUUUUUUUUUACUUCAAUUUCCUCAAACAUGUCCUAAAAAUGAAGGUAAAAAAAUUGGGAAAAAUGAGUUUUGACUCACCAAUUUGAAAAAAUAUAGAAAAUGAAGCCCAAUUUUUAUAAUCAAAUUUAUCUUCAUCUAUUUAAAAUUAUUUUAAAAUACAUGCACUUUUUAAAAAAUCACAUAAUUAUUUCCUAAAAUAAUGUUUUACUUAUUAGGUUAAUAAAUCCAAUUGACAAUUUUUUUUUUACCAUGAAAAUUGAUUUGAGGUUAAUAAAAUAAGAAAUUUUAAAAAUUAAAAAUACAAUUUAAACUAAAAAAAACUUUAAAGCUAAAAAUAUAAAAAUAAAAUAUUAACUUUCACUUCAUUUAAUCCCAUUAGUAAAAAAAUAUAGAUUUCACAUAGAGUUGGGAAUAUUUUAUUGUUGAUGUUAACUUUUAGUAAGAGAAUUAAAAAUAUUUUAUUUAUCAUUUUAUGAUUCUAGAGAAUUUUUUCAAAAUGACUUGUAUUUCAUAUUAUAUAAUAAAAAGUUUAUAAUCUAUUUAUUUGUAAGAUGUUUUGAUCACAUUAAAAUAAUCAAUUAUUUAUUUGAUAAUUUUGUAAUAUUAUCACGUAAAAUGAUAUUUCAGAAAAUAAUUAUAUGACUUAUAAAAAAGUGCAUGUAUUUUAAAAUAUUUUUAAAUUAAUAAAGAUAAAACUAAUUUAUAAAAGUUAAGGUUACUUUUUCUAUAUUUUUUUAAAUUAUUCCCUAAAUAUUUGUUGAUAAUAAAAAUAAUCUUUAAAAAAAUAAUAAAAAAUUAAAAUAAUAGAAAUCUUUCAAAGGUAAAGAAAUCUUGGAAAGAGAAAAAAAAGGCACUUCAAGUAAUUUAAAUGAUGCUUUAAAAAAAUAAAAGAAAGAAGAAAAAGAAAUCAAAUUUACUUUAAAGUUUAAACAUACUUCUUAUUGAUGGAUGAUGAUAGUAGAUGAAAUUUUUUGAUUAUUCUACCCAAACACAACAAAAAAUAAAAUAUGAUAAAAAUAUUCAAUUAUUCUACCCAAACACAAUAAAAAAUAUAUGUGAUGAGUACCUAAGAAAAUAUGACAAAAUGAAAAUAAUUUUCAUUUUUCUCAAACAUGACAAAAGAUAUAAAUAGAUUAGUUAAUUUUGGAUGGUAAGGAAACUCCCUUCAAGAUUUUCAUAUUUUAAAAUUUAAAGCCUAUUAAGAAUCCAUUUGCAGUGAUUUUAGGAAAUACUUUUAAUUUUUCUAACACUUGAAAUUUUUUAUUAUUCAAGUAUUAGAGUUGCUAGAAACAUUUUUUGGAAUUACUUCUAAAAGCACUCUAAAUUUCCUAGUUAGAUGUUGUAAACAUAAAAAUUUUAGUGGAUUAAAUUACCACUAAUUUGAUCUUCAAAAUGAAUAAAUAAAUAAAUAAAAAUAGAUAUCCUCUUAUCGAUAAGUUUACUAGAAAAGGAAAAUUAAUGUCAUAAUAUUUAUAAUAAGAAAAAUAUUAUUAUUAUUAUUAUUAUCUUGUUGGUGAACCAGAAGAAAAAUUAAUAAAAUCAAGGAACUAAAUCUCUUGAAUUAAGAAAUUUAAGUUCCCUACCUUCACCUAACUUUUUUCAAGAAAGGGGAUCAGGGGAGAAAUUUAGAAAUCGGAAAAACUCAGAGAAAAAAAUCCAAAGGCAACUUUGUACGAGAAAAAAAACUUCACAACAUAAGAAAAAGUUUUAUCAAAUCUCUCUGACAAGUUUGGUAAACAAUAGAACUAUUACACGUGUUUUUCGCCAUUUAGCAAGUUCACUAGAGAAAAAGCUACUCCAAGCCCUUGAUUGAUCUUCAAAUCCAAGGAAACAAGUUUGUCAUCAUUCUUCAAGUUGUGGUAAAAACAAAUGAAUUAGAGGAAAAAUAUUCUUUUGUAAAUAAUAUUUUAUUUGAGACUAUACCCUACAAUUUUAAUUUCAACAAAUACUUUGUUCCCAUUAUUUUUCCUAUUGUUUUGAUAAUUUUAUAGGACUUUAUAUGAAAUUUGUGCGUACAAAUGACAAAAUGAAUUAUCAUAAUAUUACUUUGGGGUGACAUUUGAAUUUUUUUUUUCUCUUUUAAGAUAAGCAAUGUGAUGAAUUAAAACACUCACGAGUAUCUCCAAUAGAGAUGCUAAAGAAGACUUAAAAAGUUUUAGCUUUCCAAGUAUUUAAAAUUAUUACAUUUAUAAAUUUAAAAAUUCAAAUUGAUUAACUAAGUUAUAAUAAUAAUAAGUUUAAUAUAUUAAAAUUGUGUUAACAGAUUGAAAUCAUGUUAACAACUAAAUGGAUUAGAAUUGUGUUAAUGAGUUUACAACAUUGAAAUCAUGUUUACGAGUUAUUCAUGUCAAUUCAUACAUAAUCUAGACUUAACUCAUUUAUUAAAUGGACUCGUGUGAGGUCAUUUGGAUAUGAUGAUUAAAUGUAUGGUAUUCAAAUCAAAUAAAUUUUUUCUAUUUUUAAAGUUUAGACUACAUGAAUUUUGACUCAUUUGGCCCGUGCUAUAUAUAUAUAUAUAUAUAUAUAUAUAUGUGUGUGUGAAAGAGAGAGAGAGAGAGGGGGUUAUUUAAUUAAAAGGGAUGAAACAAAAAAAUUCCUUUUUUAUUUUUUAUUUUAUAAAAAUACCCACAUCUUUUUCUUAUAAAAAUAAUCUUUUCUUUUAAAAUUUACAUGUAAAUAAUUAAAAUAUGGAAUGAAAUUUAUGUCAAAAAUAGACUAAUUAAGUGGAGUGGGUUAAUAUAUAUAAAGUUAUUUGAUUAAAAGUUUUUGUUUUCAAAAAUAGAGUACUUUUAGGACUCUUUGACAAUUAGAAUAGUUGUUUUUAGUUAUUUUCAUUUAUUUUUUUGAGAAUUAUUUUUAAAAUAAUUAUACAAAUACUAAGAAUAAUUAAAAAUAAAAAACUGCAUAAAAAUUAUUUUCUAAACAUAUUUAAAAAUAUAUAAAACAUGUUAAAAACAUUUCAAAUCCUAAACAUAUAUUUGUUUUACAAAACAUCGAGAAUUGUAUUCAAAAACUGUUUUUUAGAACUAUUAUAAAAAACAAUUACCAACGUAACAUUAACUCUUCAUUUGUUCUAUUUCUUUUUGACAAAAAUAACUUCACUUUUAUUUUUAUAAUAUGCAUAUAUAUAUAUAUAUAUAUAUAUAUAUUAAAGAUGAAUUGCUUUUCAAUUAAAAACAUUGGAUGAGUAUAGGAGAAUUCUUACCGAAUCAAAUUUUGAGAGUGGGCACGCAAAGCUCUCGAUGCCUCAACCCUCCUAUCAAAUUGAGCCUUCUUAUCCAACACCUUCAACCACUUCAUCACCCUCUUCCGAUGUUUCAUACUGAGUCAUAGUUUACAAAUGAAUUUAUAUGUGAAUAAAUUGAAAAGGAAAAUUUUUAAGUUUAUGUUUCAUUUUUUAACUUUUUGUUGAAAACAACUUCCCUUCAAAUUUCAAAAUGUUUAUUCUUUUAUAUAUAUAUUUGAAAGUUUAAAUCCAAAUACUUAAAACGGUGGAGACAUUUAUGUUAAAGAUGAAUUACUUUUCAAUUAAAAACAUCAGAUAGUAAAAGAGAAUUCUUACUAAAUCAAAUUUUGAGAGUGAGCACAGGAUGGUCCUGAUGCCUUAGCCUUCGUAUCAAAUUGAGCCUUCUUAUCCAACCACUUCAUCACCCUCUUCUGAAGAUCCAUACUGAAUCACAGUUUCCAAAUGAAUUUACAUGUGAAUAAAUUUGAAAGCAAAAUUUUUAUGUAUUUGCUUUUUUUUUUUUUUUGAAACUUUAUAGUGAAAACAACUUAAAAUGUUUGUGUUUUAUUUUUUACAUUCUUACUAAAUAUUAAAAUCCAAAUUAUUUGACUUUUCUGAGUACUAAAAAUAAAUUUUUAUUUAUUUUACUUCUUAAUAUCUAAUAAAAAUAAAAUAUUAGAAAUACAAAUAACUUAAUAUUUUAAGUUAUUAUUAUUAAGUAUUAUUUAGCUUUAAAUUUCAUUUAGAAUUAAGUGAAAAAAACAAACAAGAGUAUGUUUGAUUCAAGGAAAAUACAGAAAGAAAGAAAGAAAAAAUAUAAAAAAUAAUAUACUACUACCUAAUUUAACUUAUUUUAAGUGAUUAAAUAAUCUAAAAAUAUAUAAGUUACAAACCUAUUUUAAUUACACGAUAAAAUCAUUCUUUUUUAACAUCUUUUUUCUUUGGAACCAAACCUACAUGGCCUCAGAACAGGGUAUCACUUACGGAUUGGGAUCCCCUUCGGAAGACAACGGCCACCGCCGCAGCAACCUCUGCGAGACCUCGCCCAGAUCAUUUCUAAAUCUCACAGUAUGUGAAGACAACGGCCGCCUCCAAGGCAACUUCAGCCACUUCCAACGCUGAUAAAGCUGCUCCCCCUGAUCGUUACUAAAUCCCAGAGUGUCGGAAUCGGAAUCCGAAUCUGAAUUCAUAUCCCAUUCCCAAUCCGAAUCUGAAUCUGGAUCUAUAACUUUUCCCAGUUCACUCGUACCCUCCACUGUCAAGUUUUGGCUGUUGCUCUGCUUCGCCUCCAUCCCUCAGUCGGUAAGGUAGCUAUGAAUUUCCAUCACCAAUUUUAGCUGAUUUUUCACCUGCAUAAACUGAAAGACUGGUAGGUCUUUGAAGGCACAUUUGGUUCCUUCGAAUUCAACCCCGGACGCCUUCGUCCUGUACUCUAGAGAGGGUCCAAAUUAUAUAAUAUAGCUAGGUUUACUCCAAGGCAGUGAACAGUUAUUUAAUAAAGUUAAUAACUUAAUACUAAAUUAAUUUUUAAAAUUUAUUUAAUAAAAACUAUAAAAAAAAUAAUUUAUUUUAAAGAAAUAAGCUUUUUUAUAAAAAAAAUUAUAAAAGAAUUUGGAACAAUAUAAUUUAUAAUUAAAUAACAAAAUUAUUUAUUUAGACCUAUUUUAUAGCCGGGUGUUUUAGCUUUAAAGUUACGUUAGAAUUCAAACCAAUAAAAAAAUAUUAUUUUAUUAGAUACUGAACUCCUAAUUAUUUUCAAAAUAUUAAUUAAGUUUAAUAAAUAAUAUUAAUGAAUUAACAUAAAAAUCUAAUAUGAAAUAAAAAUAAUUUUAUUUAAUUUUUUAUUAAAAAAUAUUAUUAAAUAAAAUUAUCAAAUAAUUGUAACAUCAAAUAAUAGAAGAUGUAAAUAUAGAAUAAAAAUAUUUUUGAAACUAAAUUUUUUAUUAAAUAAACUAAUUUUAAUUAAUCUUAGUAACCACUAAUAAAAAAUACUAAACAAUAUUAAAUAAAAAAUUUGUUGUAAAUUUAUAUAUAUAUAUAUAACACAUUUUAAUUUUAAAAUUAUUAUAAUUAAUUAAAAUUUAAAAAUAAUAUUAAAUAAUAAAAAUCGAAUAUCAAAUAAAAAUUUGAAGCAAAAUCAUCGUAAUUCACCUUUAUCUUUAUUAUUUUAAUAUUUCAAUAACUUAAAUAAGAGGGUUGUACAAUGGGAUGUGGGUUUGUACACGUAAUAUUGUGCAUGACCCUUGUGUAGUGAAGAAUGGGUGAAUAGGGUCCACGUGUCGUUAUGUGGUGCAUCUCUUGUUCAGAUAGUAGAGAAAACGGUUACACUUAGUUCUCAAUUAAAUUACAUAUAUAUCAUUCUUAUUAGUUUGGUGUAAUGGGAGAUCAAUGGUUUAAACAAAAUAAGGAAAGUAAAAAAGUUACAACAAUACUUUCAUUCUAGCUUUUAUAGUAUAAAGAUAUUGGGGUGAUUUCCACAACCAUUGUUUUAUUCUUUCUACCCACCUAUUGAACAAGCCAAUUGAGGAGGUGCAUUUUUUCACUCUAAGGUAAUAUUGUUUUUUAUUUAUGAAAAUUUGAUUUUUAAAAAAUGUGGUUUUUUCAUUUAUUUUAGUUUAUUUUAAAAUAAAAAAUAAAAUAAGAAAUAAAACUCUAAUGUAACUUCUUAUGUUUCUCAAAAAAAAUAAAAAAAUUGUAAAAACCAUUUUAUCCAAAAUUGGGUUAUUUAUUAGGAAGCUAUGAUAAUAAACACCUCUCCCACAUAGUUAUGGUUUCUAUAGAACAAAUGAAGUGAAAUAUAAUAAUUAAUAAUUAAUUAAUCAUGGAUACGGGAAUGAUACGUACAAAUAAUUAUGUACAAGUUAUAGUAAAAAUUAAAUUAUAAGAAUAGAUAAAAUAAAUAAAUAAAAAAGAAGCAAAUUGAUUUAUUAAGUUAAUUAGAAAAAAAUAUUUUAUUAUUUACCACAUAAUUUGAAGAAUUUAUUUGUAUUAAAAAACAAUUUUAAAUUGAUGAUUUCAAUUUGUUCACUUAAUAAAAAUUUUAAUUUAUUUUUAAUUGAUUUAAUUUAAUUUGUAUUUAAUUUUCAUGAAAGUUAUUUACAUAUGUUUUAUCAAAAUAAUUAAGAAAAUUCAAUUUGACAAUAAAGAUGAUUUUUACUUGCUUUACUAGAAAAAUAAUGAAUUUUUAUAAUUUUAUUUAAUAAAAAUUAUUUUUGCAAAUAGACAGAAAAAUGAAUUUUUAUAUAUAUAGUUAUUUGUAAGCAAAUUGAUUUUUGUGAAAAAAUGAAGUUUUCAAUUUUCUUUACAAAAAUAUUAAAAACCAAGUAGGAAAAAAAAAUUAAUUGGAAGAUUACUUUUUACAAAAUUGUUUUAAUCUUUUUUCUUUGCGUUUUUUUUUUUACUUACCAUAAACGAUGUAUUUUCUAUUUUGUUCAAAAAGAUUUAUUAAAAAAAUGAUUUUAUCCUUCUUUGAUUUUUGUGGAAAGGUUUUUUUUUUAAAAAAAAAAAUUAUCUUUGAUUUUAUUAAAAAAAAAAAAAAGAGUUUUGAAAUUUUGUAUCAGGUUGAAAGACGAGCCACAGUUAAGUUUUGGUGAAGUAGCUUGAAGUGUGGCAGCUACCAUUCCUACCAUGACCAUCAUAUCGUAUCAAGGUUGAAUGACAAGUCAAUUUCUGUCCGCUACAGUUAAGUUUCGGGUGAAGUAGCUUGAAGUGUGGCAGCUGCCAUUAUCAAGGUUGAAUGACCAGCCAAUUUCUGUCCGAUGCAGUUGAUUAUUAGGUGAAGUGAAGUGAAGUGUGGUAGCUGCCAUUCCUGUUGACCAUGACCAUUGUAUCAUAUCAAGCUUGAAAGACCAGCCAAGAGUUUUGGUGAAGUAGCUUGAAGCGUGGCAGCUGCCAUUCACCAUGACCAUUAUAUGGUAUCAAGGUUGAAUGACAAGUCAAUUUCUGUCCGCUACAGUUAAGUUUUGGGUGAAGUAGCUUGAAGUGUGGCAGCUGCCAUUAUCAAGGUUGAAUGACAAGUCAAUUUCUGUCUGCUACAGUUGAUUAUUAGGUGAAGUGAAGUGUGGCAGCUACCAUUCCUGUUGACCAUGACCAUUGUGUCAUAUCAAGCUUGAAAGACCAGCCAAUUUCUGUCAGCUAUAGAUAAGUUUUGGUGAAGUAGUUUGAAGUGUCGCACUGCCAUUCACCCUCAAAUGAUAUGACCAUGGGAAGGGAAAAUUCUAUAGUACCUCUAUCGGUACCGUACCAAAGCCCUUGAUGCCCUAAAUUAUAUCUUGACCAUUCAUUUUAAAUUUAAGAAGAAAAAUCAACUCGAUCAAUUAAGGGAAGAACCGAUUAUGACCUUCCCUAUGGUACCUCUGUUGGUACCCCACCAAAAAUCUUUUAAGCCAUUGGAUGCCCUAAAUUACAUCUUGACCAUUCAUUUUAAAUUCAAGAAGCAAAAUCAACCCGACCGAUUAAGGGAAGAACUGAUUAUGACCUUCCCUACGGUACCUCCGUCGGUACCCUACCAAAAAUCUUUUAAGCCAUUGGAUGCCCUAUAUUACAUUUUGGCCAUCCAAUUUAAAUUCAAAAAGAAAAAUCAACUCGACCGAUUAAGGGAAGUAUCGGUUGUGACCUUCCAAUCUCUUUUCUUUUUCACUUUUCCUCCAUCCAUUUUCAACCAUUUUGGGUUUAUAUAAAACAAAUAAAAGAUAAAUAUUGAGAUAAAAAAAUAGAAUUGGAUAAAAAUAAAAAUAAAAAUAAAAUUGAUAUAAAAUUUGCAAAACAUAUUUAUUAACAAAAAAAAAAAAUCAUCACAUAUUAUAAUUACAUUGUUUUAUUUUUAACAUUAAAUUUUUAAUUUUACGUAACAAUGAAUAUAAUAAUAUUUUAAUAUGAAAUGAGUAUUUGCAUUAAAAUUCAAUAUCUUGAUAAUCAUAUGUAAAACAAAUGUAUUAAAUAAUUAGAUUGUCCUCAUAUUUUUUAUACCCUCCAAAUUCUAUAUUUUUUGAAUUUAAGGUUUUUAAAUUAUAAUUACAAUAAAAUAAAUUACAAAUAUUAUUUUGAGUUACUAAUGAUGGUAUUUUCAAAAAUAAAUUUGUAAUUUCAAGAAAUUAAAAACUAAAAGUCGGUAUGAAAAAUGUUAUGAAGGUACUAAGCAUGUAUUUAUCACAUUCUUCAUAUCAUGUGAUCAUGGGAAUUAUUCUGAAAAAAAAUAAAUUAAAACACUAUGCAAUUGUAGAGGGUAUGAAAAAUAUGAAGAAUUCUUAUAUUCUUCAUACCCUUCUUCACAUUUUUAGUACUCCCAAAAUUUUAUAAUUUUUCAAAUUUUAAGAAAUUUUUUCCACUUGUAAAUAUAAUAAUAUUGCUUAUUGGUACUAAUUAAGCUAAAAAAUGAUGGAAAUUAUAUUUUUAAAAUUUAAAAAUUAAAACACUAAAAAAUUGGAGAGGCUACGAAGAUUAAUAUAAGCAUCCUCACAUUCUUUAUAUAUUUUCUCACAUUUUUCGUACUCUCAAAAUUUUUCAAUUUUUUGAAUUUUAAAUACAUUAAUAUUGUUUAUUGAUACUGAUUAAUCUUAAAAAUGAUGGAAAUUAUCUUCAAAAAAAUUAAAAAGUUGAAAUAGUAAAAAAUUGAAGAGGGUAUGAAGAAUGUGAGGCUAACAUUCUUCAUACCAUUCCACACAUUUUUCCUACCAUCGAAAUUUACAAAUUUUCAAAUUUUCAAAAUUUUUUUUUCCACUUGGAAAUACAAUAAUAUUUUUUUUAUUAAUACUAAUUAAAUUUAGAAAUGAUAGAAAUUAUCUUCAAAAAAAUUUAAAAAUUAAAAAUUGAAGAAAGAACAAAGAUCCUCACAUUCUUUAUAUCAUUUUUCACAUUUUUCAUACCAUCAAAAUUUUACAAUUUUUCAAAUUUUAAGAAUUUUUUUCCACUUGGAAAAACAAUAAAUAUUGUUUAUUAAUACUAAUUAAGCUUAGAAAUGAUAGAAAUUAUCCUCAAAAAAAUUAAAAAAUUGAAAUAGUAAACAAUUGGAGAGGGUACAAAGAAUGUGAGGAAUGUUCACAUUCUUCAUACCCUUCCUCACCUUCUUCAUACCUUUGAAAUUUUAAGAUUUUUUUUCACACUUGGAAAUACAAUAAUAUUUUUUUAUUGAUACUAAUUAAUUUUAGAAAUGAUGGAAAUUAUCCUCAAAAAAAUUAAAAAAUUAAAACAUUACCCUUGAAAUUUUACAAAUUUUCAAUUUUUUUUUUCCACUUGGAAAUACAAUAAUAUUGUUUAUUGAUACUAAUUAAAUUAGAAAUUAUGGAAGUUACCCUUAAAAAAUUUUAAAAAAUAAAAAUUAAACACUAAAUUUUACAAUUUUUUUAUUUUUUUUCCACUUAAAUAUACAAUAAUAUUAUUUAUUGAUAUUAAUCAAGCUUAGAAAUGGUGUAAAUUAUCCUUAAAAAAAUUAGAGAAUUAAAAUACUAAAAAUUUGGUAAUUGUACAAAGAAUGUGAGGAAUUGUACAAAAAAUAUGAGGAUUCUCACAUUGUUCUUCGUACAAUUUUUCACAUUCUUCGUACUUGGGAUUUUUACAUUUUUUAUGAUUUUAAGAAUUUUUUUCCAUUGGAAAAUGCAAUAAUAUUGUUUAUCCGUAGUAACUAAGCUUAGAAAUGACAAAAAUUAUCCUUAAAAAAAAUUAAAAUUUAAAACACUAAGUAAUUGUAGAGGGUACGAAGAAUGUGAGGAUUAAAAUUUUAUAAUUUUAAGAAUUUUUUUAUUUGGAAAUUCAAUAAUAUCUCUUACUAUUCUAAUUAAGCUUAGAAAUGAUGAGAAUUAUCAUAAAAAGUUUACAAAAUUUAAAAUUUUAAAAAGUAAAUAAUCGUUUUCCAAUUUUAAAAACGAAACUCGUUUUUUUGUUUGUUUUGUGAAAUUUUGAUUUUUAGAAAAAGACUUGGAAUCAUCAUUUUUUUUUUUUUUAAGGAAAACAUAGAAUAAGAAAGAAAAACCAUAAGUGUGACUUCUUAAGGAAAAAAAUAGGUCUGUGAAAAAUUGAGUCUGGGUCCGGGGGUCAAGUUACCUAUUGGGAAGGUAUGGUGGUGAGUCAUAACACCCCUCUAAGUCCCUAAAAACUGGUCUCUACUAAAUAAUGUGAAACAAACAUAACAAUUAACUAGGAAAUUAAUAGAUACCAAUGAAAUAAUCAAAUAAUAAAAUGAAUCAUGUAUGAGAAUAAGCAAAGUGAGAGUGAGAGCGUACCUUGACAACAAGUAAUAGUGCGCUGUCAUGGAAACAAAGUUAGUUCAAGUAUAAAAUUAUCACAUGCAUAUCAAAGAACAAGAUAAAGAUCAAACAAUAUUCAUUAAGCGUAGUAGUUGACAAUCAGAAGAGAUCAUAUGUAAGGCCCCCAUCAAAGCCCAAAUUUAUCUUGUAUGAAUUAGUCUCAUUAAUUCCAUUAUUUUGGAAUUAUGAAAAAUUCAUUAUUGCUUAUUGAAAAUAAAGGAAAACGAAAAAAAUUAUUUUUAAAUCAAAGAAAAUUUGAGAAAAAUGCUUACCUAAAAGGAAAUGUAGCAAGUUUAUUUAAAAACGGGAUUUUUAGCUACUUAAAACCCUAAUGAAGGAUGAAAAAUGGUAGAAUUAAAAAAAUAUUUGAAAACUUGAGUGAGAUUAAAAUUAUUUGAAAGAAAACCAGAGUUUUGAAAUUUGUUUGAAAAUUGAAGUAUCGAAAAUUAUUUGAAAAUUGGAGUUUUGAAAAUUAAAUUUAAGAAUUGGAAUUUUGAAAAUUAAAUUUGAAAGAAAUUGAAAUUUUGAAAAUUAUUUAAGAAUUGGAGUUUUGAAAGUUAAAUUUAAGAAUUGGAGUUUUGGAAAUUAAAUUUGAAAGAAAUUGGAGUUUCGAAAAUUAAAUUUAAGAAUUGGAAUUUUGAGAAUUAAAUUGAAAGAAAUUGGAAUUUUGAAAAUUAUUUGAGAAUUGGAGUUUUGGAAAUUAAAUUUGAAAGGAAUUGGAAUUUUGAAAAUUAUUUGAGAAUUAGAGUUUUGAAAGUAAAAUUUAAGAAUUGGAGUUUUGGAAAUUAAAUUCGAAAGAAAUUGGAAUUUCAAAAAUUAUUUAAAAAUUGGAGUUUUGAAAAUUAAAUUUAAGAAUUAGAGUUUUGGAAAUUAAAUUUGAAAAAAAAAAUUAGAGUUUUGAAAAUUAAUUGAGAAUUGGAGUUUUGAAAAUUAGUUUUAAGAAUUGAAGUUUUGGAAAUUAAAUUUAAGAAUUGGAAUUUUGGAAAUUAAAUUUGAAAGAAAUUGUAAUUUUGAAAAUUAUUUGAGAAUUGGAGUUUUGAAAAUUAAAUUUGAAGAUAAUUAAAGUUUGGAAAGUUAAAGUUUUGAAAAUUAAACUUAGAAAUUGGAGUUUUGAAAAAUUAAAUUAAAAAUUGGAGUUUUGGAAAUUUAUUUGAAAAGGAAAGUUUGGAAACUUAAAUUUAAAAAUAAUUCAAGUUUGGAAAGUUGAAGUUUUGAAAAUUAAACUCAAAAAUUGGAGUUUUGAAAAAUUAAAUUAAAAAUUGGAGUUUUGGAAAUUAUUUGAAAAUUAGAGUUUUAAAAAUUAAAUUUGAAAAUUGAAAUUUUCUAAAAAAUUGGAAUUUUGAUACCAAAAGAUGAAGAAUUAAGAUAUCGACAUGUGGUCGUUGGAUUGUGCACUAGAUGGGUGGCCAUGCAAAAGUGGGGGCCAGGAUGCAAGGUGACUACUUAGAGACUGUGUGGGCUGUGACAGGCUAGGAAGGCUGCUUGGUGACUGUGUGGGCUGUGUCAGGCUAGGAAGGAUAAUGGGUGACUGUGUGGGUUGUGAUAGGUGUAUAGGGGUAAGCUAGUGAGCGAUAGGGUACGAUGGGUUUGGUGACAUAGGGUUAAUGGUGGUAAGCUGGUCCCAAGGUAUGGCUUAUUCAACUAAGUAGGUAAUACGAGUUUCUUCCAGUUUCUUCCACUAUAGGAGCUUCUUAAUCAAAUGAAAGGAUUGAGCAGGCAACAUGAUUCUUCCGGUCGCUUUCAAUUUCAUCAAGAAUUGACCACCGAUUCAACAAAUACUCCUUUAACUGUAAGACCCUUAUGGGAUUGAAGCUCUUGCGACCACCUGAGGGGCAAACUGCAUAACCCAUCAUAAUCGCCUAAAACUCUAAAGCAUUAGGUUUCCAUCCAUCCUUGUGCAUCGACUCAGAAAGCCCAGAAAUCUACUGGUUUCACUCACCCAACUGAAAAUGGAGCUUCACACCGACAUUCAACAAUCUCAUAUACUCCAUCUCAAACCCCGUACAACCCAAUAGGAGACUCACAGGAAGGUAUACAGAGGAACAGAGCAAAGACGAGCAGAGUAAAAGAAAAAGAAAGAAAAGAAAGAAAGAAAAAUAGAAAAAAAAACAAAUAGAAAAUCAAGAAAAAAUUAAGUGCAUGAAGCCUCAUUUCAUAUGUCUUUCGUGAGCUCGAAGCAAGUGGGGGAAACCUAAAGAAGAUUCAAAACAUGAAUAAAGAUACCUCCAAAUUGCUACACAAUGUAUAUAGAACAGAGUCCCGACAACCUGAAAUCGGCCCACGAGAAUAGCAGGUGAAUCAACAACAACGAAGUACAUAAAAAGAAAUAUCCGAAAGUCAAUAAAGCUCAACAUGUAAUCCAUAUUAUCCACACCUAAAUCAACAAAGCGAUACCAGGCAAACAAGAGGAAUGAGAGAAGAGAAGUAUGUAAUUCAAAAUAGGUUUCGUGACAAACUUACCUGGAGUUGCUCCUUAUCUAUAUUAUGCUCAUUCCCCUAUCACUGCUCGUUUCUCUUCUUUUCUCUUCAGCUCGCUCUCCCCGAGGGUGGCCAUAUUGGUGUGGAUGAAAGUGGUGGUUGUGAUGUAGGCGAUGUCUUCCAUGCAGAUAGAGGUGUGUGGUGCCACGUAGGGCGAGGCGCAGUGGUGCUAUGGGCGUGGCGUAAAGGUUGGUUCUAUACGGAAUAGGUAUGGAAGGCCGUGGAAGUGACCAGGAUGUGGGUAGCAACAAGACGGUGAUGAUCUGGAUGGGUAUAGAGGUUGCUAUAGAGGUGAUGGAGUUGAAGGUCGUGGGUGCAUAUGUGUUGGGUGUUGAGAUGGAGCCACCUACUGGUGUGGGCUGGGUUUUGGCGCUGUGUUUGGGAGCUUGGUGGUUCUCCUUAUUGGAAGCAAAAAAGAAAAAAAAUGGUGAUUUGGGUGAGGUGGUGAGGUUGCCGGUGGAUGGAGUUGUGGUUGCCCCGGUCUUCUUGGGUUUCCUUGGUGAGAAAAAAAUAAAAAUAAAUGGUGCUCCCCCCUUAAAGCCCAGAACCAAAUCCAAUUUCAAAAGCAAUAAUAUAAUAGCAAAACCAAAAAAACUAUUCUCCAAAAAAACAGGGGUCUACAAUAAUAAUAUUGUUUAUUCAUACUAAUUAAUCUUAGAAAUGAUGAAAAAUAUCCUCCAAAGAAUUAAAAAAAUGAUACACUAAAAAAUUGGAGAAGGCAUGAAUUACAAUUAAAAUUAAUUGAAAUCACACAAUUUCUUUUUCGACUUCAAUUAACCGUUGUAUUGUUUUUCCUAAUUUCAAAAUUUCAUCCAAUCUUUAAAACAAAAAAAAAAAAAAAAUCAAAUUUAGAAUAAAAAAUUAAUAACACAAUUUUCAAUUACUAAUUAACAAUAGAUACUUAUUUUUAAAUUUAUUUUAAAAAAAUUUCCACUUCAAAUAAUUAUGAUAUCCUUUAAAAAGAAUAAUUACACUCACACUUUUUUCACCCUCUAAUUUUUCUAAUUUUUUAAUUUAAUAUUUUUUUACCACUUCUAAUAGCAUUAAUAUUACUUAGGCAUACUAAUCAUCCUUAGAAAUAAUGGAAGUUAGCCACACAAAAAAAAAAUAAAAACACAAAUAAAUUUCCUUAUAUAUAUAUUUUUUUUAAAUUCCACUUCCAAAAAAUGCUUUUAAUAUUUAAUCCAAUCUUCUAAAAAAAUAAAAAAUAAAUGAAUAAAUUAAAAUUAAUAAAAAAAAUUAUAAUACCAUUUUUAAUUAAUAAUUGAUUGAUCAUAAUUCUAAUUUUUAAUAAUAAAUACUAAUUUUAAUUUAAUUAUAAAUUAUUUUUUUUACAAGGUCUUAGUGUUUAAACCUCAUAUCAUAAAAUGAGAUCACUUCCUUUUCAAAGAUAUGGUCACCGAUGGGUUACUUGUAGUAUUGGUUAUUUUGAAUUUUUUAUUCAUCUAGUGGUUUAUUCUUGUCGGUUAAAAAAUGGAGGUAUGUAACGAAAAGCACUGUUCGGUUUUAAGUCAUUGGAUGCCUAAGAUUACAUCUUCACCAUCCAUUUAAAAUUCAAAAAGAAAAAUCAACUCGACCGGUUAAGGGAAAAACCAUUUCAAUCUCUUCCCUUCUCACUUUUUCUUCGUCCAUUUUCCACAAUUUUGAAAACUUACACGUGGCUUAUUCUUAUCGGUUAAAAAAUGAAGGUGUGGUACCAAAAAGCACUGUUCGGUACCAUAGAAUGAUCCUCAUGGAAAGUCAUGAUUCCACGUUGAAAGACAAGCCCAAGUGUGUUCCUACUUACCCUCAAAGAAUAUGACUUUUUGUUCCAUGAUGAAAAAUAUGUGCCAACUGCCCUUCCUACCGACCCCUCAAAGAAUAUGACUUUCUGUUCCAUGAUGAAAAAUAUUAAAGGGGACCAGGAAAAAGACAAGACAUUUAUGUUUAUUUUUGAUGCUUGUACCAAAAUUUUAAAUGAGUUAUUUUUCUGAUGAUUCUGAAAUGAGGUGAUUGAAGACGGAACAUUACAUGUCAUCUAUUGACGAAGGGCCUUAAUUUGCAUUGGAUUUAGCAUCAAUGAGAUCAUGAAUGGAUGGCAAUGAUGAUUUCUUUAUGGGCAGAUGUAUAAAUUAAGGCUAAGUUGGAAGUUUGGCAUAGGGGUUCCUCUCUGCAGGCGCUAUUUUCAAGUCCAACCUUAAAUGUGGUCAGGUGGUAAGUUGUCUGGUUCAAAUCUACCAACAUUUGCAUUUUUUUAACCACCACAAGAAGGAACUAAGUUGAGAUGGUGGAAAUAAUACUAUCUUGACACCAUGGAAGUCAACUCAAGCCUCAAUCGUCAAGCUUUUCUGGAUGGUGUGCAGUGGGCAGUCCAUGGAGAUCUAAACAGCAAGAUCGAUAGUGGGAUCUGAUGCGUUUUCCAAGCCUCUUUCCCUGAAUUUGGAUCCUCAUCAGCAUCUCUCUCUCUCCGUUUCUUCAAUCAGGUUCAUUUUUUUUCCUUCAAUGUGAUUUUCCCCUCUCUACGAGUUGUUUGCUUGUUUGAUUUCAUAACAUUAAGUGACUGCACCUUAAAUACAUGAUCUAUUUCUAACCGAAAGGUUUGAGGGUGAGUUUGUGAUAUCCCAUGCAGAUCUCUUUUAUAUUAAGAAGAUAAAGCUAGAUAACAUGUUGGAAAGUUUUAUAAUUAUGUAGAGUUAUGCUACAGUCGCUAUUGCUCCUAUAGAGAAUUGAAGGGGGAAAACUCUACUUGUAUUUUUGUGGUUGAUAGUCCUUCAUCCAGUCCUGAAGUACAACGACUUCAAUUUUGUAGUAACCUUAUAACCAUUGGGUGUCAAACCUAAGAGAGAAUUGAAGAGGCUCUAAUUAAGGUUGGUUAAGAUGUAUGUGAUAGAGUGAAAAUGGCGUUAGAGGUUUAGAAAAUGGAUUGAGGUGGAAUGGAUGAGUGUUUAUGAGGAGGAAGGUGUGAAGAAUCGCCAAAAACAGGAGAGAAAGAUGAUUGAAAACUUUGAUUAAAAUAAUGUGAAAUAUGUUAGGAAGUGAGCAUGUUUUUAAACUUCCUCCUCAUGGUCUUUUUGCACAAAACAAUUUACACAAUCUAAGUCGUAUAGUGAAAGAGCUUAGCUUUAAAACUAAUGUAAUAUUUUUAAAAACAUGAUAUUUACACAAUGGUUUUGCUUUUCACAUUAAAUGGAUGUUUAAACUAUAAAAUACAAUGUUUUAAAAACUAGACCGGACUGAUCGAUCCAACCGUCGGCCGGUCAUCGUUUUGGUCCGGUUAAUUGGACCGGAUUGGGAUUGAACCUGGGUUGGACUUCUUGAACUGGUGGUCCAGCCGGUGAACCGGACGAACCAGCCGGUUCCCUGCGAAUCGGUGGUUCAAUUGAUUUUAAUUUUUUUUUUUUAAAAAAACAGCAUCUAAACAACGUCGUUUUGGAGUCCUAAGCCUGCAACCUCCAAAGUCCAAACCCUCCCUCCUCCCCCCACAGCAGCUGCCAGCUUGCCGCUCCGCCUGUCGCCGAUGCGUCGCGGCCUGCGACACCCAGUCAACUCCCGCCGGCAGUCGUUAGAAGCUGGCAACCCUCCCUAUUGCUGCCUCUUCCAGUCUUCCCAGUUCCCUGCCGUGGCAUUGGAAACCCCUCCUUGCCACUGGAAGCUUGGAAACCACCUUGACUGCCUAGUAACCCCCCACCUCUCCCGGCUGUAAACAUCCCCCACCUUCGGUGUUUCAGAGAAAAGAGAGGGAAAGGGAAAGAAACGGAAAAAGAAAAAAAAAUUGCCAUUAUUCAUGCAAUCAGUUUGGUAGUUUCUUUUUCAAAUAAAAAAUUUUGCCUCUCUAGUUUGAUAUUUUUCUUUUUGGGGGUUCAAUUAGUUUGGUAGGUUGACUAGUUACUUUACUAAUUUAGAUAGAAUUUAUUAAUUUUUUAAUUUUAAAUAAUAUAUAAAAUAAAAAAAUAUAUAUUUAUGACGUCACAGGUUCGACCGCCGGUCUGACCAAUAAAUCGUAAACUGGUAACUUUUCCGGUUCAAUGGCCGAUCUGAUUCUGAAAACAUUGAUAAAAUAUUAACUCCAACCCUAAUCUUAUGAAAUUGAUUAAUGACAAAUAUAGGUCAAGGGUUAAAACCCAAGCAUAUUUCAUAAUCUAAAGAUAAGUUAUAAUGAAGGAGAAAUACAACACAUUAAAUCCUCGAAUUAAAAAUCAGGUAGAGACAAAUCAAAAACAUAUAAAAUACAAGAACAAAAAAUGUGUGUGUGUAUAUAAAGCCACAAACUUGACAUUCCGUUUUAAGAGGGAGAUUCAGAAUCUAGAAUGCUCGGUUAAUGUAAGAUACUUGGAAAAUGAGAGGGGAUAGGAGUUGGUUUAUAGUGGAGUUUAAAUCCUUUGAAAUCUUAAUUGAUGAGACUAGAGGGAAGCGAAGAGGAAAAAUCUUGUUGAGAAACAAAUGUUUUUUUUUGUGGUUUAGGUUUAGGGAGCUAAGUUUAUCUCGUUAAUUAGAAGGUAUGUAAGCUUGUUAUAGGGAUGAAGAUGGUAAGUAAUGCAACAAAGUCCAGGUUGAAUAUGGUAGAGAGUUUAGGUUGGAGCACUGAUCAAAUAGGACAAGGAGGUACAUUCUCUGCUUGGUUAGUUCUAUGGAGGUUAAGAAAUUUUCUCUAUUUUUUCCUAAAGGAAGGGAUCUACCUAGGGGGUGGUCUAUUGUGGGUGAGAAGCUUCAUCAUCUUGGUGUGGUUUUUUCUUCAGAGGCAAGGUGCAUGUAGUCUCCUCAAGGAAGGUUGAGAAGCUCAUGGUAUGGUGGAUGAAGUUGUUUGGAUUCAGGUCGCGAUUGAGGAGGUUCAUAGGAGAAAGAAAUAAUUGAGGCAGGGGCGGACCCACCAUGGGCUCGGGGCAUGUUCUUUUGUUGAUUUAGGAAUUUUAGAAAGUUAAAAAAAAAUAAAAAUGCAAAUUUGUCCCCUCUAAAAAACUAAUUUUGUGUGUGAAAAAAUAGAUAGGAUAAAAAAUUAGAUAAGCACGAAUAUUGAAUAAAUUGAAUAAAAUAUUUGUUUGUAUUUCUAAUUUUAUUUAAUGUUUCUAACACAAUGAAUUUUUUAUAUUUUUGUAUUUGAUAUUUUAUUAAUUUCUUUUUUUGUUCUGAGCCAUGUUCUGAUUAAUUUUGAGAUUUUUAAAAUGUUUAAACUUUUAGGCUUAAUCAAGUAGUUGUUAAUUCAUGAAUAUCUACAUAAUUAUUCAAAUAUAUGUUAUUUAAUUGUUGAUAAAAAUUUAAUUUUGUUUAAAUAUUUGAUAUUUUAUCAAAUAUCAUUUUUAUUGAUAAGUUAUUUUUAGUUUAAUUUAAUGAUUUUUAUAAAUGUUCAGAUUUUUAGGUUUAAUAAAAUAUUUAUUAAUUUAGAGUUGACUAUCUAAGUUUUAAUAAUGAUAUUAUACUUACAUCAUAGACAACUUUUAAAUAAAAAAUUAUCACUAUAUAGUGAUUUAUGUUUAAUUAUUUAAAAACACCCAAAAAAUUAUUAGUGAAAUUAUUAAUUUUUUUCUAAAAGUUCUAUGGAAAAAUAUUUCUAAAAAAUGUUAAAAAUGUUUUGGUGAAAAAUUUCUUACUAUCUUUAAAUUUUUUUUCACAAAUAUUAUUUGACUUUUUUUGUUUUAUGAACUUUUGGUAGACUCUUGUCAAUUUUUUAGUAUUUUUAUUAUUUAAUUUAUAAUAUUAUAAAUUCUUCUUUUCUUUUGUAAUUAUCAUUAUUGAAUGACAUCGAUGCUACCAUUUCUAAAAUAUAAAAAUUAAUCUAUAUUUAUUAUAAUUCACAAAUUUUUAUUUUGUCUCUCACCAAAAUUUCUGGUGCCACUGAGUUGAGACAUUCUGAUUGGGAGAUGGGGUGACUAUUUAGAUCCAAGUCAUGUUUGGGUGGCCCUUUACCGCCUUUGAGAAGGGGGAGUGAAGAUUUCCUUAUUAAGGGGGGCCCUUAUUUUAUUUGACUUUAGGAAUGCUCUGAUGUUGAAGUAGAUGUUGAAACUACUCCUCUUUGUCACUUGUAGUGGGCUAGAGCAUUGGUGAGAUCAAAUGGAAGCAUAAUGCCUAGGUCGUUGCAAGUGAGGGUCUUUAUGUCAAUGUUAUUAAGUUAUGGUGGGAAGUGCCACCAUGGCUCUCUCAAGUGGUGUUGAAAGGUGCGACCAGUAGCCUGAAGGUUAGGAGUGAAGGAGAGGGUUAGGCAUGCACUGGAGAGAGCAUGAGGAGGCAGGCAUUGUUUGCGGAAAAGGAAGUAGAGGGCGUGUGGUCUUUUUGAUUGUUGGAGUAGGACGAUAGGAGGGGGCCGGGGCAGCUGAUGGUUCUGAAAGGGUGCAUGCAGAGGGGCUAGGGGGUGAUUAUGAUAGUGGGAGAACAAUGACAAUGGAGGCUGUUUAGACUUGGUGUGUUUUAAGGAAGUUGAAGGUGAGGUUGUAAACUUGUAAUUGGAAAUGAGGGUUGGGCCUUGAAGAUUUGAAAGGAGCCCACCUUCUUAAUGAUAGCUUUAGUGAAGAGGCAAGGUGUUGUAGAGGUCCAUUAGAGAAAAAAGAAGUUUUUUGUGGCUUGGUCGGGUCUGUUUGGGCGGAGGGGCCUUGUACAAUGAGAGAUCCUUAGGAUUUUUAAAGGGAGAAUUAUGUUUUGGGGGUAGAUGAGCCUCCAAAUUAACAAAAGGUUCAUGUAACUCUUCAAAUUGAGCUCAAGACCCAAUGAAAGUAUGAAAAUUGAGUUGAAGGAUAUCAUCAUUCAGUAUUUCCAAAAAUGCCCUUUGUUGAUUUUGAGAAAAAAAAUUAAUAUUUUUGAAAAAUACUUUUAUUUAAUUUAAUAUUUUUUAAAAAUACUUUUAUGUAAUUUAAUAUUUUUUAAAAUACUUUUAUUUAAUUUAAUAUUUUUUAAAAAUAAAUUUAUUUAAUUUAAUAUUUUUUUAAAAAUAUUUAAUUUAAUAUUUUUUUUAAAUACUUUAAUUUAAUUUAAUAUUUUUGAAAAAAAAAUUAAUUUAAUAUUUUUGAAAAAAAAUUAUUUAAUUUAAUAUUUUUGAAAACUACUUUUAUUUAAUUUAGUAUUUUUGAAAAAAAAUUAUUGAAAAAAAAUUAUUUAACUUAAUUUUAUAAAAUAUUUUAUAUGUGUUCUAAAAGGGUAUAUUUGUCUGUUACUAUUUCAUAUCCUUCAACUCAAUUUGAAGAGUUAUAUGGACAUUUUAUUAAUUUGGAGGUCCAUCUACCCCCAAAAGAUAAUUCUCCCAUUUUUAAAAGGAAGAAUUACUGUAUAGGAUGGACCGAGUGUGAUUAUGACUAAGAAGAGUCAUCUACUUUGAUAAUUCCUAAAGAGGACAGUAUAAGAGAGAAAAUUCUCUCCAAGUCCACAUUUCGUACUAUAAUGUGCUAAAAUACCAUAAAUGUCAUUCAACUAAAAGCUUUUGGAACUCAAAGCAUUUUAAACAAUUUACUUUUGUUUUAAGGUGUGUGGGUCCCAUGUUAGUUGUAAUCAAUGACACCAAAUUUUUAAAUCAAAAUUUUGGGUUUUAACUAUUACAAUUAUUAUAUACAAUGAUAGUAUAAUUUGUUAUUUAAAUUUGUUAUUUAGAACCAAAAUACUUCUAAGAAAUAUUUUCAAAAUAACAUCUAAUGUGUUUUCUUUUUACAUAUUUCUAUUUUUAUUUCUAAUUUUUAAUUUUAUUAAAAACAAAACAAGUUUUACAAUUAUGUAAUAAGAAUGAUGAACUUUUCAUGUACAUAUUUUUAAUUUUAAAUUGAUAAAUCAUGUUUUUGUAUUUAGUUCGAGCAAGAUAGAAUGUUUAAUUUUUUAUUUGGAUUGUCUAAAAAGAAUAAGAAAAUGAUGGAGAAUGUUUAACCGUUUUUUAUUUUAAUAAUAAAAUAAUUUUAAAAAAUUAUAUGAUUUUUCUACAUUUUUUUUUCCUUUGCAUAGUGUUUUUUCUUAAUUUUUGUAUAUAAUUUUUUUUCAAUGUAUCGAGUGGACGAUGUUAAUACAUUGAAUAUCAAUGAGGUAUAAAAAAAGAUCUUUAAGACUAUAACUUUUAUUAUAAAAUACAGUUAUGAUAAAAAUAUAUUAUAGUUACAGUAUAAAUAUACCUAUAUUACAAUAAAACCUAAUUGGGAAUUUCAACCUUUUUUAUUUUUUAUAAAAGUAAUAGUUUUGUAUAAUCAUAGUAUACUCCAUAAUAUACUUAUAUUAGGAAUCAUUUUUGAAACCAAAUAAAAUACUAAUUUGAAUUUGUAUGAGACUUGUAGGUUUUUAUUUUUAUUAUAUAUAUAUAUAUAUAUAUAUAUAUAUAAAUUAUUAAACAAUUUUAAUACAUUGAGUGAAUGAUAUUAAUAUGCUAAUAUGAUGUGUUAAUACCAAUGCCAAUGAGGUUUAAAUAGUUAUUUCUAUAAUUAUUAUACUUAUCACAAAAUAUAGGUACUACAUAAAUGCAUAAUAUUUACAAUACUAAUAUAUUAACGUUACAAUACAUUACAAUAUAAUUUAACUUAUUCUUUUUUGAAUUUUUUUCAUGUGCUAUAUUACUAAAUGAAUAGUUGUGUGUUAUUCAAUUCAUAAGUGCCUGUGAAAAAUUAUUUAUCAAAAAAAAAAUAAUAAUAAAAUUGAUGAGUGCUUGUGAAAAAUAAUUGCUCAUUCUAUUAGGGUAACAAAGUUUUUAAUUGUAUGUGACAUAUAUAAAACGACAAAAUAACCUAUAGUGUGGUUUUUAUUUAAGAGAUAUUAAAAAUUAAUUUUUUUUACCAGUUCUUUAAAAAAUCUUAAUUUUUUUUUGGAAAAUAAGAACUUGAAAAAAAAAGCAUAUUUAAAAAAAACAUUAAUUUUUUAUAAGAAAAUAAGAAAAAAUUAUAUAGUUUUUUAUUUUAAUCUUUUAUUAUCUUUGACACACAUAUAUAUAUAUAUAUAUCCUAUUUUCCUUUUUUUUUUUCCUUCACUUUUUCAACUUUGCCAAUUUUUUUCGUAACAAAAGAGUAACAAUGAUAUGAAAAAUUUAUUAAAUAUACUAUAUUGAUGUCAUAAUACAAUAUAAUUUAUGAUGUUAAUACAAAAUAAUAUAUUGGAUUAAUAAUACAUGAUUUAUUAUAUUAUUUUUAUGGAAAUUCUAACAUUCAAGUAAAUAAUAAAAUUAUCUUUAUCUUUGAUUUUUCUAAGUAAAAUUUUGUUAGAUAGUAGGUUCAUUGUUCAAAAGUGAAAAACAAUUUUUUGGGAUACAAGAUAUACAUUAUUGAUUGUACUUAUCAUCAUGACAAAUUUAUUUAUGAAUAAUAUAAAAAACCACAUUCAAAGGGUAAAAUUGUCCGAUGAUAAAUUUUGUCCUUUAUAAGAAUUCUUAAGAUAAGUACCCUUACUGGUUAUUAUCAUCUCCAACCCACCCUUUUUAAUGACUUUCCCUUUUUAAAAAAUGAGAGGGCUUCAUUGGUGUUUGGUGCUAUGGUUGGGUCCUUUGAUGCUAGCGGAAGUUUUAUCUCUUUCUCAAUGCCAACUCUUUCAUCAUUGAUCAAUCAUUCCUUGUUCAAUGAUGAAGCUAAAGGAAAUUACUAGAUUUCAAGGUUUUUUUUUUUUUUUUUCGGUAUUCUCCUUGGGGAUGAGGCUUCUUGUCCUUUUGGUGUGAUUUGAGGUUCAGUGAGGAUGAUUUGUCAAUCCUAGUUAGAAGGAGGGGAUGAUUGGAAACGCUCCUCGGUUUAUUGAUUCAAGCUCGUUGAGGAUGAUUUUGGCUGAUGAGAGUUCGAUGGUGUUUUUAACUUUAUGGGGAAGGAGAUUACAAAUAGGGAGGUUGGGCAAGAUAGAAUGAAGGGGAAGGUCGAUGGUUAUGCUAUAGGGGAUGAGGUUUAAUUGGAGAAUUAAUCUUUUAGUAGGUUGGUUACUUUCGCUAAUUUCUUAGGCAUGCAAUAAAGGGUUUUUGAGGAAGAGAUUUAGAUACUCCUUAAUAGAAUUAGGGUAAGAAAGAGAUAAGAGGCUAGGUGCAUGGUAGAAGAAAAUGUAAAUCUGUAUCUUCACAUUUUGAAGGAGAGCUCAAGAAGCUCAAGUGGUUAGUAAACUGUAAUAGAGCAGGAUUAGAGGGUGGAAGGGGCAGAGAAGGUAAGAUUAUUUCAUCAUGUGAGAGAUAAAGUUAAGACUUUUAUCUUGGAACAUGAGAGAAGCUAAUGACAAUCAUGAAAGGACGAUUAUAAAGUCUUUGAUUACAUGGCAGAAAGUAGACUUGGUCUGUAUACAAGAAACUAAAAGCUAAGAUCUAUUGACUAGUCUUAUGCGUAGUUUAGCAGCUGGUAGUUUCUUAAAGUGGGGUGCAGUGGAUUCAAGGGCUACUUCAGGUAGGGUCUUGGUUUUUUUUGGGACGAUAGGGUGUUGUAUUUGGUAGGCAUGGAAGUAGGUGACUACUAGAUUUCAUGCCUUUUUAAGAAUUAUGAUGAAGGGUUUGUUUGGAUAUUCAUGAGGGUGUAUGGUCCCUCCCUUGGGAAAGACAAUAAGGGCUUAUGGGUAGAGUUGGGGGCCAUUAGAGGGUUGUGGAAUAACCCAUGGUGCAUUGAAGGUGAUUUUAAUAUUAUCAAAUCUCUAGGGGAGCAUAGUAGAGUCAAUAUCUAUCUACUACCAUGAGAGGUUUUUCACAAAUCAUUGAGGACUUUUAGUUAAGAGAUCUUUUUUGAUUGGCAAAGGGGAGGGGGGGAGGUGGUUUGAAUAAUUAGUCCUCAUCGAGAUUAAACAAUUUUCCGGUAUUAGGGAGUUAGGAAGGCCACUUUAGCUGUAUAGUGCAAUGUAUCUAACCUAGACUUGUGUCAGAUCAUUCACUAAUUUUGUUGGACUUGGAGGGGGGGGGGGGGGGGGGGGGUGUUGAAGAGAGGCUCUACUUCUUUUAGAUUCGAAAAUAUUUGCCUUAAGAAGAAGGAUUUAAAGAUAUUCUUAAAAGACCGUGGAUGGGGUUCGGUUUUAAGGGUUCUUAUAGCUGCAUGACUAUUAAAAUUUAAAGGGGAAGGGGGUUUGAAGAGAGGCUCUACUUCUUUUAGAUUUGAAAAUAUCUACCUUAAGAAGAAGGAUUUAAAGAUAUUCUUAAAAGACCGUGGAUGGGGUUCGAUUUUAAGGGUUCUUAUAGCUUGAUGACUAUUAAAAUUUAAAGUUUUGAAGAUCAAAUCUAUUAACUUACAAAGAAUAGUACAUAAAUUUACUUAAAUGUUAUCUUCUCUUAAGGGACUUAUUCUAGCCAACACUUGCACAUCAAUGCAAUACUCUCUUGUACUCCUUAAUGGAUCACCCUAAUUUCAUGUUAAGGCUUAGUGAAGCAAAGCACCAAUCCUUGCUUUUCUACAUACCUUAAAGGGCUUUAAAGAAACUUCUUAAAAGAUUUCUAAGAAUUUGGAUCCUAAAGCAAAAUAAUGGAAGAUAGUUUUUUUCUUCAAGGGUUUUUUUUCCCGAGUUUUCUUUUUUUCUAAUGUGUGUGUGUGUGUGUGUAUAGAUAGAUAAUUUUUAGAAAAAUAAAAUAAAAUUGGUUAGGCACUUGUAUGCCCAAGGACAUUUGAGCAUCCUAAGUUGGAUGCUCAAAUAUUCUCCCUGGGUUUCCAUUUUUUCAUGCUCAAAGCUAACUUAAUCACUCCCAUUUUCUUUCAAGGAUUUAUUGUGCAUCCUUUUAGCCUUUACUUGACUAAAACUCAACUCUAGUUUUCCUUUAUUUUUACCCAUAUCGAAUAACUUGCAUUACAUGAGCCUUAGAAUGUAGUUUUCAACUAUUUCUCAAGGUAAAUAAGUUCCAAUGGAAUUAGGCAAUCUUGACUUAAUGCAUUUUUGGAGCAAAUUACCAAUGUAACAAUUACAUUAACUCACCUCUUUUGUCUUUUAUUAGGCAUUAAUCAAGAGUGAACCUCACAUUAUAAUGGUUUUACAAAUCUAAUUAAUGCUUACCAAGUUAGCUUUCGAGUCCUAAACAUAAAACAUGUGAAUAAGAAUGGGUAACUAUAGGCUUUAAUAGUCCCUUGCCUUCCAUGAUCUUUAAUGGUAUUCCAAUAUGGAAAAGUUACAUUUCCCUUUCUAAUGCUUCAAAGGCAAUAAGCUAAGACCUUAUUCUAGUCAAGUGCUUAGAUACUCACUAUCCAAGUACCAUGUAUAAGACUCUUUAGCUCAAUGGAUCAUAUACACAACUAGAGACUUGAGACUAUCCUUUUUAACCUAACCCUUUUCAUCUUAGACUUGGACAUCUUUUCAACAUGAUGAAUUUAGGUCUUAGACUGAUUUUGUACUAUAUUUUAGCUUGAAAUUAACAUUUCUAUUUAACACUCUAUUUUUCAAUUUAUGUGACACUCUCAUAAGUUGAUUCAACUUAGAUGGUAAGUUAUUAAACAUUCAUUUGUAGCAUCUAUUAACAUUGAAUUAUAGUCUUCCAUAGUGGUGGUAUUUAGUGCUUGAUAUUGAGUGAGAUCCUUUUAGAGACACAAUCCGCUUGGUCUUUACCAAGGUAGUCCUUACUCCACUUAGAAUUGUAACCUCAUCAACAUAUUAUAGGUUUAUUUUCAUAACUACAAGACUUCCCUCAAUUCAAUAAUGAUCAAGAAUUUUAGAACUAGGGUGUAAUAACUUUUCUUAGAACUCAGUUCUUCAUGGGUCGCUAUUACAUUAUGUAAGUUCUUUAAACAUGUAGCAUCCUUUAUUUCAAGAAAAGUCAAUUUGGUCAUGCAUUAUCUGUUCAUUUUUUACUUCAUUCAAUUCAUCCAACAAACUUUUAUGUGAGGCUUCCCAACUAACUUUUUCAAUCUUCAUUUUGAGAAAUUCAUCAUACCAUUUUAUAGAAUGAAUUAAACGAUAAUUGUGAAAAUUUGGGAACAUUAUUGAUUAAUUUACCAACGUACAAGGGAAAAUAUAUAGGCUAAAAACAGUGAACUAAAUCCCUGCAACAUUGGGAUAUUGUUUGACGAGAAAUGGAAUAAUUUGUAUAAUGGGAUUUGUAUAUUCAAUUGCUCUAUUAAAAUGGUUACAAAUGAGCUCAAUAUAUAUAGCCCAUAUAUGAUCUAAAUUUGUCUAGAAAUGUCUAAGGAAAGUUGACCCUGUAGAGUAGAGGGAUUGUAGUAAUCUGAUCCCUUCGCUUAUGCCUGUAAUGUAGGGAUUAUACAACUCAUGUUCACACUCCCCCUCAAGUUGGUGCAUAGAUGUUGCUGAUGCCCAACUUGUCAAGUGAGUUGUGAAAGACCUUACUACACACCGCCUUAGUGAGGAUGUCUACUAGUUGGUCUUGUGAUUUGAAAAAUGGGAAUCGAAUUAUCUUAGCUUCUAAGUUCUGCUUGAUAAAAUGUUGGUUUACUUCCACAUGCUUAGUUCGAUCAUGUUGGACUGGGUUAUGGGCAAUAUCAAUGGUUGCCUUGUUAUCACAAAGCAAGUUCAUCUCGCAACUGGGAUGAAAGCCAAUUUCUGUCAACAAUCUUCUUAGCCAGAGUAACUCACACAACCCCUUAGCCAUUCCUCGAAACUCCGCCUCUGCACUAGAUAGUGCUACGACCUUCUGUUUUUUACUUCUCCAUGUUACUAGGUUUCCUCCAACAAAUCCGAAGUAGCCUGAUGUGGAUUUCUUAUCAGAGAUAUUUUUUGCCCAAUCAACGUCAGUAUACCUCAUAAUUUUUAGGUGCCCAUUCUUUGAGAACAUAAUUCCCUUUCUUGGGGUUCCCUUAAGAUAUCUCAAAAUUUGAGUCACUGCAUUCAUAUGGUCUUCACUAGGGCAAUGCAUGAAUUGACUCACUACAUUGACCACAUAGGCAAUAUUAGGCCGGGUAUAUGAAAUAUACAUUAGUUUUCCAACCAAUCUCUGAUAUCUACCUUUAUCAGUGGGGAUCUGGUCAGGGUAUUCUCCAAGCCUGUGAUUUUGUUGUAUUGGAACAUCUACUAGUUUACAGUCUAGCAAUCCAACUUUUGAUAAUAGAUCGAGGGUAUACUUUCGUUGGGAAAGAAAUAUGCCUUGUUUAGAUUGAACCACCUCAAUUCCUAGAAAAUAUUUCAACCCACCUAAACUCUUCAUUUCAAACUCUACUGCCAACUAUUUUUGAAGUUUCGUAACUUGGUAUCAUUUCCUGUGAUGAUCAUAUCAUCUACAUACACUAUUAGUGUUGUUAACGCUUUAGAAAUGGAGUGUGAUUAGAAUUGCUAUGUUAAAACCCAUACUUUCUCAUUGCUAGGCUAAUGAGUCCAAACCAAGCUCGUGGAGAUUGUUUCAAGCUGAAUAGGGUGUGUUGCAGUUUACACACCGUCUUGCUAGACAUUUCAAUGUACUCAAGGGGUAUCCAUAUAAAUUUCCUCCUCGAGGUCACCAUGGAGGAAUGCAUUCUUUACAUCAAAUUGGAGUAGCGACCAAUCAAGGUUCGUUGCAAGGGAUAAAAGGACUCUUACAGUGUUCAACUUGGCUACAGGCGAGAAGGUCUCCAUAUAGUCAACUCCAUAAGUCUACAUAUAUCCUUUCGCUACAAGUCUCGCUUUGUAGCGCUCAAUCAACCCAUUUGCCUUGUAUUUGAUGGAGAAUACUCAUUUGCACCCCACUGUCUUGUGGCCUUUUGGUUAAGGGAUAAGAAUCCAUGUCUUGUUUUUCAACAAUGCUUCCAUUUAUUCCUUCAUUGCUUGGACCCACUUAGGGUCCUAUAGAGCCUCCUCUAAGCUUGUAGGAAUGUGAUGCAUUGAUAAUUCAUUAUAAAAGCUCUUUAAGGGUUUUAAGAGCUUCUCUAUUGAGACGUAAUUGGGAAUCGGGUACUUCGAUUUGUGUGUCUCAGUAUCCGGAGUGUAGCAUUCUGGUGGUUUGCCACGAUUAUGCCUAGGAGGUAAUUGAUAACCAUUGUUAGUUAAAUAUUUUGUGACAAGAGGAAAACUUACCUCAAGAAUCUCUUCAGGAAUAUUCUCAGAAGUUGGGUCAUGAGGUACUGUAGAGUGAGGGGGUGUCUUAGCGAUUGGAGUUAGUGUCUCAGUAGUUGGCGUUGGUGGGUCUGUAGUCUAUUCCAUACCUAUGGUAGUUGGUGGCUCUGUAGUUAGUGGGAUGUCCUUGAACCAAUUCAACUAUUCAUCGUGUGUCUUCCCCUGAAGAGAAGAAUUGGAUGGAUGAUAGAACAUCUUGGACUCGAGGAAGGUGACAUCCAUAGUAACAUAGAGCCACCUGUUUGUUGGAUCAUAGCACCAGUAACCUUUCUAAUUGGUGGCAUAGCCUAGAACGAGACAAUGACGAGCAUAAGGGUUGAGUUUGGUGCGUUGGUUGAGGUGAAGAUGAACGUAGACAAUGCAUCCAAAGGUUCGGGGAGGAAGUGUCGUAGCCGGAAGUAUUGAUAUGCUUGCGGUUAAGUCCUGUAGAGGUGUUUUGAAACCCAGAAUCCGGGAUGGCAUUCGAUUCAUGAGAUGCACAACAGUUGUAACCGCAUUAGGCCAGUGAGAACUAGGUAUAUGUGUACCUAAUAGGAGGGCACGUGUGGUCUCGAGAAUAUGGUUAUUCUUACGUUCUACUACACUAUUUUGCUUUGGAGUAUGAGGACACGAGGUCUGAUGUAUCAACCCAUGCUGGUGGAAGUACUCUUGGAAUUGUCGAUUCAUGUAUUCAUUGCCAUUAUCAAAGCGAAGGACUCCGAGUUUGGUAGAAAAUUGGGUUUGAAUCAUUAUGUGAAAUGAGCAAAAGGCAGUAAAAACCUCAUCUUUGUUUUUCAAUAGGCAGAGUUGUGUCAUUCAAGUGCAAUCAUCACAAAAAAAAAAUCAGCGAUAACUCGAUAGAGUAGAUUUUGAGAAUAGUCCCCACACAUUAGAAUGAAUUAAGCUAAAAGGAACAUCUCUCUUAUUCUUAUGUAAAGGAUAAAUUGCCCGGUGACUUUUUGCCAAAAUACAUGUUUCACAUUGAAAAUUUGAGAUAGAGAAUUUAGAAAGCAAACUAGGUAGUAAAUGCUUCAAAUAUCCAAAUGAUGGAUAGCCGAGUCGUCGAUGCCAAAGCCAAAUCUGUUCUAUUCUGGAAUCACCCAACCGUCCCACAUGAUGUGGUUGUCCUAUUGAAGUCGUCUAUAUUGUAGAGCCCCCCCUUCUUAGUACCAUGCCCAAUAAUUUUUUUCGUGAGAAUAUCCUGGAUAAGGCAAAAAUCAGGGUACAUCAGUGCUGUAAAAUUUAAGUCCUUAGUAACUUGAUUGAUAGAAAACAAUUUAUGAGAUAGGGAUGACACAAAUAAUGUAUUGGAGAGUGAUAACAUCACAGUUCCAACCCCUUGUACCAAUGAAAUACUGCCAUUAACAUUCGCAAUGCUAGUUCGCUUAGGAGCGGUAUGCUGACAAAAGUCCUGUGCAUCAAAUGUCAUAUGAUCCGUGGCUCCGGAAUCCAAGAUCCACAAGUUGCACUCACUCCUAGUAGAUCCAUGAGAUGCUAUACUUGGUGUGUUGCCGAUAGAAUCAGUAGGAAUUAGAGACAGUUUGGGUUCUACUGCUGCUAUUGUCGUUUUACCAAUACCGGGCUUAAUCAUUUACAUGAUUUCAGAUGUUUUGUUUAUUAUCUUUGAACUCAUGAAUCACCUUUGUGGGUCAAGUUAUAUCAUGCAACCGGGUUUCUCUUCUUUACUGUGUCUUUUGGCUCAGUGAAGGGACUGUUGAUUUGUUGGAUGAAGAGGGGUUGAUGUUAAAACUACCAAAUUAGUAGCAAAGAGAAGUAGUAAUGGGGAAAAGAGGAGAGAGUUGUUGGUUUGCAGUGGAAUCCAAGUCUUUUUGAAAUUUCUGUGGAUGUGUUUGGGAAUAAACUAAAGGGGAUCAUUGUGGAAAGAAGCAGAGGAUUCACUUCGUGGAUAAGGUUUGGAAGUUCCAGCUUGUGUUGGCUAUCGGAGGGAGUGGAGGCUAACUGUAGGGGGGAGUUUGGGCAGAGAUUCGUCAAAAGUUGGGAGGAUGGAGGUAGGAGGUUCAAACAAGAAUGUCGAGCAAAUGAGGCUGGCGGAUUUUUAUUGUGUUUAGUGGUAGACUUGGAUGCCAAGAGACAUUGUUUAGUGUUCCCAGAAGGAAAAGCUUUCUUGGAAGGUUGGGCUUUGAUGGCUAAAAAACUUCGCUCACUUGGAAUAUCGACAUGUGAUGAGCCUAGGGAAGUUUUUGAAUCUUCUAAGACUGAGAGUAGAGAUGGGGAUUCGAAGGAGAAGAAAGAAAAAUCCUACGUUGAUGCGGUGAAUACAAGAGGAGUUUCAAGAGUGAGAAGGCUAGGGGAAGCAGCAUGGCUACAACUUGGAGAAGAAGACGUGUCAAGAGGAAGGGAGCUGCUGGACCGAUGCCUUGUUGGGAGACGGGGAGAAACUUUGGUUUCAAUUCCACACCUGUGUGAUCUGGAAAGCUGGGGAAAAAGUCACUGGAAACUCAAAGGAGGAGUAAAGUUCGUGAGAAUGGGGGGCCCUUUUAUUUUGAUUGCGUUUGAGAAUAAAACAUAGGCAGACAAAGUGUUAUUGAGAGGUUUCCAAUGUUUUAAGGAUUUGGUUCUGCAUUUGGAAAGGUGGGACCCAAAAGUGGGUUGUUCUCAAAGUUGUGAACAUCUUAAGGAAGUUUGGGUGAGAGUGAUGGGAUUACCAUUGCAUCUUUGGAGCCGGGAAGUUUUUAAGAAGAUUGGAGACUGUUGUGGGGGCUUUGUUGCAGUGGAUGAAAGCACUGUUGCUUUAAAGGAGCUCCAAUGGGCCAUAUUACUAGUGAAGUCGGAGGGGACAGAAUGGCCAAGUUCCCUGCAAGUGGUAAUCGACACUACUUGUUUUGCUUUUCAACUGUGGUGGGAGGUGCUGCCAAGGGUGUCCGAAGUGCUUCCGGUGAUAAAAAAUGGGUCGGGGAAGGAGCAAGAGGCUAGGGAAUAAGAAGGGGGGACUUCACGCCGGCAGCAUGGUGAAGCAGAUGCAGCCAAACGGACAACCUACAAAGGUGGUUGUGCUAUCUGAAGAUGGUGAAAAUCUCUGUAGGACAGACAUGGAGGCUCCUCUUUCUGACUUGAUGUCGACAAGAGGGGCAGAGGUAGACAAAACCAAAAGAUGGCAGCAGUCUGUUUGGGGGAUUAAUUAAAAAAUUGGGCCUGCAGCUAAAGCUAAGGGAAUGUUGGGUUGGGAUGUGGAGCUGGCAGUGGAGAGGAGGCCCAUUGUGGAGGGCUUGAUUGGAAGCAAAGAAGUUUGUGGGCCAUCACUCUUAAGCCCAAUAUCUUUCAGGCUGGAGACAAAUCUCCAGAGGAGGCCCAUUGAGGAGGGCCAUUUAGGUUCCAUGGAGGACAGUGGGCUGUCCCAAUUAGGCGCAUUACCAAACACGCACUUAAAGAGCUGCGUGGAAGUGGGCACUCUGGAAUCUCAUAAAGGCCCAAUUGUGGGACGAUCCACUGUCAAAGACUCUUUUGAGGCUGAGGCUUGUGGAGGUUUCCGAGAGGAGAUCUGUGGGUGUCUAGAUGGGGCUGAUUUUGGACUCCAGCAGGUGCCAUCUCCUCCGACGCCAAAGACUAAAAUGCUCUAAGUUUAAAUGAAGAUACGUCUUCUUUCUAGGAAUGUUAAAGGGGCUAAUAAUUGUGAUAAGAGGAAGGUGAUCAAAGCCUUGAUUAAGAAGAAUAGGGUGGACCUAGUUUGCUUGCAGGAAACAAAAAUCCAAGAGAUGUCAAGGGGCCUUAUUCAGAGCUUAGGAGUGGAAAGGUUUUUAGAUUGGGGAACUGUGGAUUCAAGGGACUCAACGAGUGGUAUAGUGGUGUUCUAGGAUAAUAGGGUGCUGGAUUUGAUAGAGUUAGAAAAGGGAGAACAUUCAAUUUCCUGCAAUUUUAAAAACUGUGAGGAUGGCUUUAUGUGGACUUUUACAAGGGUUUAUGGUUCGACCAUGAGGAGAUACAGGGAAUGUUUGUGGAAUGAGUUGGGGGCCAUCUACGGUCUUUGGAAUGGGUCGUGGUGUGUUGUUUGUUAUUUUAAUGCCAUCUUAAGCCCUGAAGAGCGCAGUAGAAGAGGGAGCUUGAAUUCAGACAUGAAAAGAUUCUCAGAUGUAAUAGAAGAUUUAAAGCUAAAGGAUUUGCCCUUCAGAUUUUGGUCAAUGAGUCUUUCACAAGGAUAGAUCGAUUUUUGGUCAAUGAGGAGUGGGAUUACCGUUUUAGUGGUUCAAGGCAAUGUGUCCUCCCGAGACCAGUGUCUGACCACUUCCCAAUUAUGUUAAAAGGAGGGGGGCUGAGAAGGGGACCAUCUCCCUUCAGAUUUGAGAAUAUGUGGCUCAAAGUGGAGGGGUUUAAGGAGCUGUUGAAGGCUUGGUGGGAGAGGGACAGUUAUAAUGGUUCUGCAAGCUUUAUUCUGGCCGAAAAACUAAAGGUUGUAAAGUCUAAACUGAAGGAGUGGAAAAGAGAUGUCUUUGGAAGGGUGGAAUAUAGGAAGAAUUCAGCUUUGGAUCAGCUGCAGUUUUGGGAUGCAAAGGAGAAGACUAACAGAGUGUCCUUGGAAGAGAUGAAUGCUAGAAGAGAAGUGAAGGAAGAAUACAAAAAAUGGGUUUUAUUAGAAGAGAUGACUUAGAGACAAAAAUCUAGGGAAGUGUGGCUGAAAGAGGGUGACAGAAAUAUUAGAUUUUUCCACAUGAUGGAAAACGCUCAUAAAAGAAGAAACAAUGUGGACCAAAUUAGGAUUAAUGAUGUUUGGCAUUCGGAGGAGAAUGGGAUUAGCGAAGAAAUAGUGAAUGCCUUUAGAUCUUUGCUGUCCAAUCCCGGGGACUGGCGCCCUUCUUUAUCCUGGCUACAGUGCGAAACGUUGCAAAAUUUGGAUGUUAAUGCUUUGGAGGCACAGUUCACGGAGGAGGAGGUGCAUGACGCAUUGCUGGGUUGUAGUGGGGAUAAAGCCCCGGGGCCUGAUGGCUUCACAAUGGCUUUUUGGCGGUUUGCUUGGGACUUUGUGAAGGAGGAUGUGAUGAGUUUCUUCAAGGAGUUCCAUGAUCAUAACAAAUUUGUUAAAAGCCUAAACGCAACUUUUCUGGUUUUAAUCCCAAAAAAAGUGGGGGUUGAAGAUUUGAGGGAUUUUAGGCCCAUAAGCUUAGUAGGAAGCCUGUACAAGUGAUUGGCUAAGGUUUUAGCCAAUAGACUUAAAAAGGUGGUUGGAAAGGUGGUUUCUAAGGCUCAAGGGGCCUUUGUGGAGGGUAGACAAAUUCUAGAUGCAGUGCUAAUAGCUAAUGAAGCCAUUGACUCGAUUAUGAAGAAUAAUGAGAAUGGUUUUAUGUGCAAACUUGACAUAGAGAAGGCAUAUGACAAUGUGGAUUGGUCUUUCCUUCUCACAGUUAUGCAGAAAAUGGGCUUUGGGGAGAAAUGGAUAGGGUAGAUUAAGUGGUGCAUAUCCACUGCAAGUUUUUCUGUGUUGAUUAAUGGAACGUCUAAGGGUUUCUUCCAAAGCUCAAGAGGAUUGAGGCAAGGUGACUCUCUAUCGCCUUAUCUUUUUGUGAUAGCCAUGGAGGUUUUUAGCUCAUUUCUUAAAAGGGUUGUGGAUGGAGGUUUUAUGUCGAGUUGUAAAGUGAAGGGUAGGAAUGGAGAAGGGGUUCGGAUUUUCCACUUGUUGUUUGCUGAUGACACCUUGGUGUUUUGCCAAGCUUCUCAAGACCAACUGACUUACCUAAGCUAGUUGUUUAUGUGGUUUGAGGCCGUAUCAGGAUUGAGAAUUAACUUGGAGAAAAGUGAACUCAUUCCAGUAGGGAGGGUAGAGAAUAUUAAUGAUGUUGCCUUGAACUUUGGUUGUAGAGUGGGUAGUCUCCCAUCCACUUAUCUAGGCCUCCCCUUGGGUGCUCCGUUUAAGACAGUAUCAGUGUGGGAUGGAGUGGAAGAGCGGUUCCGUAAAAGAUUGGCCAGGUGGAAGAGACAAUACUUAUCAAAGGGGGGGAGAGCAACUCUAAUUCGAAGCACUUUGUCGAAUCUCCCUAUUUACUUUAUGUCCUUGCUGAAGUUACCAAGUUCAGUUAGACGAAGAUUAGAGCAAAUCCAAAGGGACUUCCUUUGGGGUGUUGGCAACUUGGAGCGAAAACCACACUUAGUAAGAUGGAAGGUGGUGUGCUUAAGUAAAAAGAAAGGGGGAUUGGGGGUUAAAUGUCUUUCCAUUCUCAAUAAGGCUCUCCUUUCCAAAUGAAAUUGGCGAUUCGCAAAUAAGAGAGAUGCUUUGUGGAAUCAAGUGAUUAGAAGAAAGUAUGGGGAAGAUAGAUUUGGUGAGCGCUCGAAUCUCUUUUAGAGUUGGCAAUGGGAGGAGGGUGAGCUUUUGGAGGGAUAGAUGGUGUGGGGACCCCCCUGCGUGAGUCUUUUCCUUCCCUCUUUGCCUUGUCUGCUGAAAAGGAAACUUGGGUGGCGGAUGUUUGGGAUCCCUUGGCCGAGGGGGGUUGGAGCCCCUGUUUUUCAAGAGUUCUAAAUGAUUGGGAGGUGGAGGAGGCAGAAAGAUUUUUGGAGCAUCUUCACGGGAAGAGAGUGCUUGGAGAUGUAGAGGAUAUGGUGGUUUGGACCAAAACAAAGAGCAGAAAAUUUUCGGCAAAGUCUCUCUACCUUGCUCUAGAAGCGGACUGCCCUGUUUUGUUUCCUUCUAGUUGUAUUUGGAAUGGGUGGGUACAACCCAAAAUCAGUUUCUUUGCGUGGGAGGCAGCAUGGGGUAAAACCUUAACCCUAGACCUUGUUCAGAAAAGAGGAUGGUCCUUGGCAAAUAGAUGCUUUAUGUGUCUUGAGAAUGAGGAGACCAUGGAUCUUUUGCUUCUUCACUGUUCAAAAACAAAGGCCUUAUGGGAGUUACUCUUUACCUUGGUUGGGGCGUCUUGGGUGUUGCCCUCCUCAGUUAGAGAGACUUUUCUUAGUUGGCAUGGUUCAUUUGUGGGCAAAAAACGUAAGAAGGUGUGGAGAGCUACUCCUCUUCAUAUAUUUUGGACGGUGUGGAAGACUAGAAAUAGAUUGGCAUUUAAGGAUGACUAGUUGUCAAUCCAAAGAUUGAAAUAUUCCUUUCUUUUCUCUCAUUGGUCUGAGGCUAAAUUGUUUAUAGUUGAACGCCCUAUAGCUAUAGUUAAUUUUAUUGAUUGGUUGGGAUCCUCUUAAGGUUGUUUUUGGGCUAGGUGACUUUUUGGGCCUCUUUCUUUUUCUUUAGCCUUUUUGGUGGUGGGUGUUUAGGUUUGUAUAACUUGCAUAGUUUUGUAUUCCUUGAGUUGCUUUUUUGGCGUCUCUUUUUAAUGAAUUAUCUUUACCUAUCAAAAAAAAAAAAUUAUGUUUCUUUUUAUCUUGGAGCUUGUGCCAUCAGUCUGGGUAUCCAUGGAGCUUAAAGCAAGAGUUUUGUGUGUGUUUGGAAUUUCUACAAUGGGAGCACGUUAAGCCUUCUAUCCAUUGCUUUGAAUUUGGGCUAGUGGGAUUAGAUUUAUUGAGUAUUAGAACUUCUUCUUUUCCAGAUGGGUUGGGGCCCGUUUUCAGCCCCUUGGAAGUCACCCCAGCUCCCAUCCUUUCAUCGAAACCAUUCUCCAUCACUGUCUGUCUCACCAUUUCCCGUCAGAUGGAUGCGUAAGCUUGCUUAAUUGUCAGAAAUGGUUGCAUCUAUAACACAGUGCUCCUGCCUUGGUCAAGUCGAUCAUCAAGGCCGUGAGAAACACAUAGACCCUCUCCUCCUAGAGAAUUGUGUUGUAUCGUUGCACAUCCUUAGGGCAUUCCAUGGGGUUUGGUCGUUGAAAAUCUAUUUUCCUCCACAAGCCUUGCAGCUCGUUAUAAAAUUUCUCCAAAGAUCCACCAUUUUGUUGUAGCCUACUCACCCGUUGUUGGAGCUCAUACACUUGAGCAAUGUCACUCUCGUCGAAGAAAAAGACAGUGAUGGCGUCCCAAACUUCUUUCGCAUUGGGAUACCGGAUGAACGUGCUAACAAGGGAUGAAUCCAUGGUGUUGAUGAGCUAGCCUUUGAUGACGUUGUUUUUCGGUUCUCCAUCGUCAGAAUAAUGGAUUAGUUGGAGUAGGUUGGGAUAAAUCACCAUUAAUGUAACCUAAUCUAUCUCUCCUGGAGAUAAACAUCUCCACAACUUGGGACCAUAGUGCAUAAUUCGAUUCAUUGAGUUUUAUGCUGAUCGGGGAAGUAUCCAUUGCUGCAGUUGGGGUUGGGGCCUUGUUCAGCACGUUGGCCAUUUUCAUGGUGAGUUAUGCUAAAAUAGAGGUUGUUGUUGGUGGAGACCCUCCUAUCUGAGAGUCUGAUUUAGGGAUUUUUCUAGGUUGUUGUUAAGUUGUUAGUGUUGGGUAGAAUCAAGGAGUUGAUACCAAAGGGUAGAAACAGACCUGCUGUGAUACCAUGUUGACAAGAAAUGGAAUAAUUCGUAUAAUGAGAUCUGUAUAUUCAAUUGCUCUAUUAAAAUGGUUACAAAGGAGAUCAUUAUAUAUAGCCCAUAUAUGAUCUAAAUUUGUCUAGAAAUGUCUAAAGAAAGUUAACCCUGUAAAGUAGAGGGAUUGUAGUAAUCUGAUCCAUUCGCUUAUGCUUGUAAUGUAGGGAUUAUACAACUCAUGUCGACAUAUUGAUCCCUAGAAAAGAUAGGAAACAAUCCAUAUAAAUCAGGGAUAAUAGAAAACAAUCCUUAUAAAUAAGGGAUAAUAGAAAGCAAUUCCUAUAAAUUAGGGAUAAGGCUAACUAAUUAAAUCAAAUAUUUACAACUUUCCUAACUAAUUAACAAUUCCUAUAAAUUAGGGAUAAAGCUAACUAAUUUCAAUCAUCACAAUUCCAGCCUGGCCUAGUCAACUUUGACACUCCUCCUCAAGAUGGGGGGUGGAUAUCAUCCAUUCCCAACUUGCCAACGAUGGUCUAAAUGAAUGAGCCGCUUAAUCCUUUGGUUAGCACAUUAGUAACUUUAUUGCUAGUAGAUACAAACAGCGUGCAGAUUAGUCCACUAUGUAUCUUCUCUUUUAUGAAAUGUCUGUCAACUUCUAUUUGUUUGGUUAGAUCAUGUUGCACAGCAUUAUGUGCAAUGUUGAUUGCUGACUUGUUAUCACAAUAAAGUUUUAUAGGUCCUUCCCAUACAAUCUUUAGAUCUUCUAAGAUGAUUUUUAGCCAUAGAAGUUCACAAACUCCUAAUGCCAUUGCCCUAAAUUUAACCUCUGCAUUUGACCUUGAAACUACAUUCUAUUUUUUGCUUCUCCAAGUUACAAGGUUUCCACUAAAAAAAGUAUAAUGGCCUGAUGUUGAUCGUUUAUAAUCAAUAGAUCUUGCAUAGUUUGCAUCUAUGUAGGCUUUUAAAGUUAAUUUUUAUCCUUUCUUGAAUAAUAUUCCUUUUCCCAAAGUUCCCUUAAGCUACUGGAAAAUCCGAUGUGUUGCUCGAAGAUGGACCUUCUUGGGAUUAUGCAUAAACUGACUUACCACUUCUAUUGUAUAUGCUAUGUCCGAUUUUGUAUGUGAGAGAUAAAUCAAUCUACCAACUAGUCUCUGAUAGGACUCCUUAUCUAACACUAUGUCUUCAACAACUUCACAAAGUUUGUGAUUUUGCUCAAUAGGAGUUUUUAUUGGUUUACACCCAAGUUUUCUUAUCUCACUUUGCAAAUCCAACACAUGCUUUUGUUAAGAUAUAAAAAUCUCAUGCUGAGAGUGAGCAACUUCAAUGCUUAGAAGGUAUUUCAACCUGCCAAGUUCCUUUAUUUUGAAAUUCUUAUACUAGACAUUUUCUCAAAGCUUCUCUGCCUUCCAAGUCAUAUGUUACAAGUAUAUCAUCUACAUAAACCAACAAGGUAGUAACUCCCCUUGAAGUUGAAUGUUUAACAAACAAUGUGUGAUCACCUUGACUUUGCUUUUAUCCCAUAGUUUUCAUAACUUUGGAAAAUCUACCAAACUAAGCUUUAGGGGAUUGUUCCAAACCAUAAAGUGCAUUUUUCAAUUUACUCAUCUUGUUACUUUUUGACAUAAAACUUGGAGGAAAUUCCAUGUAGAUUUCUUCAUCAAGAUUGCCAUGUAAGAAGGCAUUCUUAACAUCAUAUUGUUGCAUACUCCACCCACGGUUGAUAGCUAGAGACAACAAAAUCCUCAUAGCGUUCAUCUUGACAACUAGUGCAAAGGUUUCAAAAUAAUCUAUUCCAUAGGUUUGAGUAUACCCUUUAGCCACCAACCUAGCCUUAAACUGUUCAAGUGACCCAUCUGCCUUAUACUUCACAACAAAGACCCAUCUACAUCCCACUAGUUUUUUUUUUUCCUUAGGUAGCUUAACCAAUUCCCAUGUUUUAAUUUUUUCAAGAGCCCCAUCUCAACUCUCAUGGUUUCUUUCCACUCUUUAUCGUCCAAUGCCUUAGAAACCGUUUUUGGGAUGGUUAUAGUGUUUAGAUGAGAAAGAAAGCUGUUAUGACUGUCAAAUAACUUCUCAUAAGAGACAAAGUGAGAUAAUGGGUAUAAAGGAUGUUGGGUACACUUUCUCACACCCUUCUUAAUAGUAAUAGGAGGAUCAUAAUCAUCUCCAGGCUUGGGAUCAGAGAUAUCACUUUCAUAAGCUUCCGAGUCAGAAAUUACCUCAAUACUAUCAGCUCUAUCAUCAGCACCAAGGUUUGGUUUUGAUUUUAGGACUUGCAUAGGUUGAAUAGUGGAUUCUCUUCUCCUUGAACAGACCUAUAGUGGGCGAUUAACACUUUGAAUAUGUUUAUCCUUUCCCAUAGAACUUAGAGUGAUUGGAGUUGUUUGAUUAUAAGAUGGUGGCUCAUUUGGUGAUAGUGGUGGUGAAGGCAAAGAAGAUGAUGAAGAUGGGGAGAGUGAAAGAUCAAGUAAAAGCAAAUCUUUGUCAUUAUCUUCCAUGAAGGAUGUCUUCCCUAGAAGAUAAAGUUUGGUAAAAUGACUUUGAUGUUCAACAAAUGUAACAUCAACAGAUACAUGAAAUUUUUUUGUAGGAGGAUGACAGCUUUUAUAUCCUUUUUGUGUAGAUGAAUACCCAACAAAGAUGCACUUAAGAGCUCUUGAAUCAAAUUUACCCUUAUGAUGUGAAUGAAUAUGAAUGAAUGAGACACAACCAAAUAUUCUAGGAGUGAGGUGGUUUAUGGUUUUGAAAUCAGGAAAGAAUUUUGAAAAAAAGGUUCUUAGGUGUUUUGUCAUCAAGGACUCUAGAAGGUAAUUUGUUUAUAAGAUGAGCAACAGUUAAAACAACUUCUCCCCAAUAAUUUUUUGGAACAUUUUUUUGAAAGAGAGGCACAAGUAAUUGCUAGAAGAUGACCAUUCUUCUUUUCUGCCAUCCCAUUUUGUUAUGAUGUGUUAACACAUGAAGACUCAUGAAUUAUUCCUUUUGCUUGAAAAAAUUGUGACAAGGUUUGAUUAAAAUAUUCCCUAGCAUUAUCUGAUUGAACCCUCUUAAGUUUUACUCUUAAUUGAUUUUUAAUCAUGUGAAAAAAUUGUUUGGAAGGUUGAGCUAACAUCAGAUUUUUGUUUUAACAAAAAAACCCAUGACACAUGAGUACAAUCAUCAAUAAACAAAACAAACCAACGAGCUCUAGAAACAUUUGGAAUCGUAGAAGGUCCCCAGACAUUAGUAUGGAUAAGAGCGAAAUGAGAUGACAUUCUUUUAUUACUUAUUGGAAAAGAAGUGCAUUUGUGUUUUUCAAGUUCACAAACAUCAUAAUGAAAUAUCCCCAUAUCACUCCCUUUAAACAAAUCUGGGAAUAUAAUUUUAAGAACAUUGAACAAUAGAUGGCCAAGACGAAGAUGAUACAACCAAAGUUUGUUUUUAUGUGAAAGAGAUGACUUAUAAAGGAAUGAAAAAGGCAAAUUAUUCUUAGUGCUAUUUUUCUCAUUGGAUUCAAGGUAGUAAAGUCCAUUCCUCUCUCUAGCAAGUCCAAUCAUCUUCCUUGUGCCCUAGUCCUGAAAUUCACAAUGUAGAAGACAAUGUUAUAGUACAAUCCAAAUCCUUUGUUAGCUUAUGAACGAGACAAGGUUUAUAGACAACUUAGGCACAUGCAAAACAUUCUUUAAAACAAAUUUCAAAUUGAUAACCACAUCUCCCUGACCAACAACUAUAAUCAAAGUACCGUCUACUGUAGAUAUCUUUUUAUUAAUGGGGUAAGGACUGUAAGAGACAAAAUGAUGGGAAGAUGUAGUUAUAUGAUUUGUGGCCCUGAAAUCAAUUAUCCAAGAUCCUGAUGUGGGCAUAUUCAAGACACUAAGUGGGAAGGAUUGAGAUCUAUUACUUGAAAAAGCCAAGGAACAAGUACCGAAACUUGCAGGUUUUCUAAAGUUCCCAAAAAUGUUCAACUUUUCAAUCUCUUCUCUAUUAAACUAAGCUUGGUCUAGAAAAGAGUUUGUUUCUUCUCCUGGUUGCAUUCUGGUUACAUGUGAUUGUCUUUGUCCCUUUGUCGGUCCAUUCUUUGUCGUUUCUUUUGAUUGUUUAGGGAUUUGAAAGUUUGAGGGCUUACCAUGAAGUUUCCAACAUUUUUCCCUAGUGUGUGGUUUUUUGCAAUAAGUACACACCAUUGGGUCUUUAUUUCCAGCCUUUGACACCUUUGACUAGCCACUUUCAUUUAUCACUCCACUGGAAUGGGUGCUCAACUGGUGAUCUGCUCCACCACUCCUUGCAUUAGCAUUUCUUACCACCAUAGCAGAAUUGUCCAUUGGUUGAGGUUCUAAUAUGACCCCCUCCUAAUUUCCUUUCCUCGGAUUAUGCCAAUGGUUUCAUUCAAUGAUGGAAGGUUUUCUAUUCCAAGAACUUGGACUCUAAUGAGGUCAAGUUUAGGAUUUAGUCCAACAAGAAAAGUAUAAAUUCUGUCUUUCUCCAUAAAUCUCUUAUGAAUAGCAGCAUCUUCAUCACAUUUCAUCUCUAUAAAUUCAUAAUGGUCGAAUUCUUGCCACAAGUUUUGUGCAAGAUAUUGAAGUAUUUAGUAAUAGAGCAAUUACCCUGUUUAGUAGUCAAGAUUCUGGUCUUGAUAUUGUAGAUUUGGGCUGCAUCACAAACCUUUGAAUAUGUUUGUCUAUGGAUGUUCCAAAUAUCCUUUGUUGUCUCCAAGAACAUGCAAGUAUCAAUUACUUCAGGCAUCAUUGAAUUCCAUAGCCAUGGCAUUACCAUAGAAUCAGCUUCAUCCCAAGUGUCAAACUUUGGAUCCCCCGGUUUCGGACCCUUGCCAAGGAGAUGACCCAAUUUGCCCUUUCUUUUAAAAAUGGUUCGGACAAAUUGAGACCACUUCAAGUAGUUUUUCCUAUUCAACUGAUAACUUGGUUGGAUAUUCUGCAAAUGUCCGACUGAAACUAUGCUUGAUGUCCCUGUCACUUGAAUCUCGGACGUAUUGGACAUCUCAAUUGCAUCAGACAUGAUGAUGCUAUAAGGGAAAAGAGAGGAAAGAAAGAAAAAAAAAAAAUAUCUUGGGUAAUAAGGUUAAAGAAAAUAAUGCAAAUAGGAGAGUUUUUGGGCUGAAAUAAAUAGAUAAUAGAUGACUUCAAGGUACUCUGUUUUGGAUAAGAAAACAGAGGAAGAUAAGGUACUUCAGCAGUUUCAAUGAAUGAGACGACAAACACUUAAGAGAAAAAAAAUAUUCAGCAAUGAAGACUGAGAAGAAAAUAUCCUAAGGAGCCAACUUGGCUCUGAUACCAUGUGAAAAUAUGGGAAUAUUUUUUAUUAAUUUACCAACGUACAAGGGAAAAUAUAUAGGCUAAACAAUAGUCAACUAAAUCCUUACAAAAUUGGGAUAUUGAGAUAGAAAACAAUCCCUAUAAAUAAGGGAUAAUAGAAAACAAUUCCUAUAAAUUAGGGAUAAGGCUAACUAAUUAAAUUAAAUAUUUACAGCUUUCUUAUCCUAUAAAUUAGGGAUAAUGUUAACUAAUUUCAAUCAUCACAAUUCUAGCCUGGCCUAGUCAACUUUGAUAAUAAUUCAUUCUUUGAAUCACUAGUAUUGUGCAAUGCACUACACACUCAUUGUCAUGUUUGGUAUCAAUAACACAAUUAAACUUGAGCAAUUAUCAUUAUCAUCAAAAUUCAAAGGAUUAGAGGAACUUAUUUAAUUAAAAUCACUUUAUUUUAGUUAACUAGAUAUGUUUUAUUUAUUUAUUUUUUUUACAAUAUUAUCUUGUUCAUUUUCUUUUGAUAAUCAUUUUUUCACAUAUUUGAGGUCUUCCCCAAGUCAAGACUGCAUUUGGAACUUCAGAAAUUUCUUAAAUUUUCUUGCAAAACUUACUGGUUCAAAAUUGGACAAUUCGUUUUUACGAUUGUUUGCUCCUUUUAGUGGAAUAUAUGUUAUCCCCAAGUGUAAGAAGUGAAUUGUAGUAUAUAAACCCAAGAUUUGGUUGUGGUACCUCGGGAAGACAUGAUUAAGGGUGUAAAGAAGAUCAAGAGGUUCAAAAUUGAAUUGUCUUUCAUGUUGUGCAAAACCACGAUAAAGAAUAAUAAUUGGGAUAAAAUAAUAAGAAAACGAAAACCAAACACAACGAUUUACGUGGUUCGACCUUAAGUCUAUAUCCACGAGCGAAGAUGAAGAACUUUCACUAUUGUUGAAGGAGAUUACAACUCUUCAAGCUCUCAAAUCCCAAACCCCCAAUUUAUACCCAAAAAAGAGACACUCACUAUUUUGGUCAGUCUCUUCCUAUAUUUUUUUCCUAAUUACAAAGUAAGCUUCUAUAUAGGAAACUAAGUGUAUAAUAGUCAAAGAUACCUUUUCCUGAAAAGAAGAUCUCAUAAUAGGAUAUUUCUUAUAAUAAUAGGAAACUUCCUUUCAAGAAUAUCUUCUAUUAGGAAAUUGUCAAUAACUUUCCAAUUGACUCAAAAUACAAUUUGAGACACUUUCCAACAUUCCAAAAUAGAGAGGAGUUUUUGUUUCAUCAUCCCUAUGAUUGAUGAGCUAUCCAAUGGUAAACAAUUAUUCCAUGGGUUGAUGAUUGUAAUUAACCUAUAACUAUUAGCAAAGAUCAAGAAAUGCAAUUUCCUUGGCUACCACAUAAUUUCUCUUAAUAGCUUGACAAAUCAUGCACAUUGUUUUCAUAUAAUAGCCUAUAUACUAUAAAUGAUUAGAAGUGAGCUUGGUAGUGUUUUUAUUAGAAAUUUUUUUGUGAAGUAUUUUCUUUAGAAGUGGUUUUAGAAGCACUAUAAGUAAUUUAUCAACUUUUUAAAAGUGUUUUCUAAAUUUUACCAAACACCUAAUUUUUCCUAAGUGCUUUCUAAAAGCAUCACCAAAUGGACUCUAAUUAUACUUGUGUAUAUAUAGAUAUAGCCAAUAUUUUGUCUUCAAAAUUCUUACGAUAUCAAACCCUUUUUCCAAGCUCGAAAGAGUCUUCUUCCUUUCCAAUCUAAAGAGAUGUACCAAAACUAAAUAUUCAAUCUUUCCAUUAGUGUUCUAUCUUAAUCUCACUCAAGGUAAGUAUGUCAAAUUUUCUCUUGUGGAGUUCCUAAAUACACCCCUUAGGUUGUAGCCUAGGGAUCAUUCAUCAUCUCAUACAUAUUUACGAACCAACAAUAAUAUCUAUAUAUAUAUAUAAAGUAGAAAGUAACAAAAAUAAAGAUGCCAAUGCACAAGAUGAACUUUAGGGUCAACAAUGAUGGCUUUCUUUCCUCAUUGCUUCUCAUAAACAUAAGCGAAGAAGUGUUGAAUGUCAUCCUUGUUGCAAAAACUGCAAGACAGGUUUGGAGUUUUUUAGAAAAACAAUUGUUAUUGGCUAUUCCAAGGAUAAGUAUGUUCAUUAAUUCCUUUUGAAUAUGCCUCUUCUAGUUUUAUUUUUAUAGAACAAAACCAAAGGAUUAUAGCAAUGAGGCAAUAGAAAUGACAACUUAAUGCAGUGGAUGGAUAUUUUCAAUAGAUGUCAAGUGUAAUAAGGAGAGGUGGGGCUUUGUCACACCAAUGUUUGAAAAUAUGAUUUUAUUUAGUAUCCAAAACAAUUCCAUGAUUACUAAAGAGGUAAGUAGAUGAAUGUUGAAAAGUGUAUUUUAUUGUUGUACACUACAACCUUUUAAAUAUACAUAUGAUUUUUCAAAAUAUACAUAAACUAUACAAGGUAUAUGUAUAUUACUCCUAAACUUAAAGUAUUGACCAUUUAAUGCUCUUGAUUUGUGGGUAAGAUUGGUUUUCUCCUAAUAUGCCCUUGUAAGAUGGUGCUUCCAUUAGAAACACAAAUCUUGGACUAAGAGAAUGUAAAACGAGACUUGGGUAGCAGCUUGGUGAGUAAAUAAGCAAGUUGAUUUUGGGUUAACACAUGAGCAACUUGAGAGAGCCUCGUAGUUACUUUUUCCUGCAAAAAAUGGUAAUAAAGAGUAAUAUGCUUUAUUUUUAAUGGAAUACAAGAUUUGCACACAAAUCCAUAACACCAAUGUUGUAGCAAAGUAGACGUGGUGUCUUAGGAAAAGAAGCGUAACUCAAGAAAAAGAUUAAUGGCUUAAGUUAUUUCAACCACCUCUGAGGUAAUACAACGAUACUCAACUUUAGUAUAAGAGUGGGUUCGUUGCUUUUUAAAGCACUAAGAGAUUGGAUUGACUUCAAGGGAGAGGACAUAUGUUAAUAUGGAAGUGCAAUCAUCACAAUUGCUUACCUAAUUAGGUCCAAGUAGGCAGUUAAGUGUAAUGAUUGUGAAUGACGGAGAAUGAGAUCAUAGUCUAGGGUGUGUUUAAGGUACCAUAGAAGAUGUUUGGCAAUUGUGUGCAUCAUUUUUUGAAUGAAAUACAAGAUUUGUAACACCAAUGUUAUUGCAAAGUAGACAUGGAGGCUUAGGAAGAGAAACAUAACUCAAGAAGAAGAUUAAUGACCCAAGUUAAUUCAACCACCACUGACGCAACAAAACCAUACUCAACUUCACUAGAAGAUGGGGCAAUGGUCCAUUGCUUUUUAAAGCACUAAGGGAUUAGAUUACCUCUAAGGAAGAAAACAUAUGCUGAGAUGGAAGUGCAAUCAUCACAAUUGCUUGCCCAAUUAGUGUCUAAGUAGGCAAUUAAGUGUAAUGAUUGUGAAUACGGAGAAAGAGAUCAUAGUCCAAGGUGUGUUUAAGGUACCAUAGAAGAUGUUUGGCUACAAUCUUGUGAGUUUGAUUUGGAGCAUGCAUGUGCUAAGUCAAUUUGUUUAUAGAAUAAGCCACAUUAGGUCUAGAUAUGGAUAGAUAUUGUAGGCUUCCAAUUAGACUGCAGUACUGCGAGUUAUCAACUUGUGAAGACCCAUCAUUCUGAAUAAGCCAAAUAGUGCAACUGAGUGGUGUGACAUAGGAUUUGAUACCUUUCAUAUGAAAUCUUGGAAGGAGGUCUUGAACAUAUUUUUGUUGAGAGAGGAAUUGUCCAUUUGCUUGGGGAAUAACCUCCACACCUAGGCAAAAUUGAAGAUGCCCAAGGUCUUUGAUUGAGAAUCGAUCAUAGAGUGGUAAUAACAUGAUAGAUAAAUAAUAGAGAAUUUUUUGUAAUUAACAAGUCAUCCACAUAGACUAAAAAAUAAACAAGAAUAGAGUUGUGAGAAUGAAUAAAUAGAGAAGAAUCAAAGUGAGAGUUCAAAAAGUUUAAAGAUACAAUGAAGGUCUUAAGCUUGAUGAACCAAGCCUGAAGUGCUUGCUUCAAGCUAUAGAUGGAUUUGUGCAAAUGACAAACAUGAUGGGUCCCAGAUUGAUCAAUGAAGCUAGGUGGCUAGGACAUAAAAACUUCUUCAUGAAGUUGCUUGCGUCGUGGAGGAAUGCAUUGUUGACAUCUAGUUGAUGCACUUAUCAUAUGCGAGAGAGAGAGAGCAGUAGAGGGAAUAGUCUGAAUGGUUGUAGGCUUGAUCGUAUGAUGAGAUCUCUCAUGAUAGUUGAUGCUGAGUUGUUGAUGAAAUUCUUUGGCCAUGAGGCAAGCCUUGUAUUGAGUGAUGCUACCAUUAAGAUUAUGCUUGAUCCUAAAAAUCCACUUACAACCAACAAUAUUUUGUUACGAUUCAUAAGAGACCAGCUCCCAAGUAUCAUGUGAGGCAAGAGCUUGAAGUUCUUCACUCAUGGCAUCUCUUCAUUCUUUGUGUUUUAAGGCUCGAAGGGAUAGGAUGCUUGGUGGCAAUGAGAGUGAAAACUUUCUUGGGUUUAAGGAUGUUGUUUUUGAAUCGAGUUUGCAUAGGAUGGUAGGAAAGUGGAUUGGUCUUAGUGAAGAGAGCACUGGUGAAGGGUUCACUACUCGGGAUGGAGCUUGGUAGUGUUUUGGUGGUGGUCGGUGAGAAAGAGAGGUCAACCAUAAGGGGGAUAGUUAGAUGUUGCAUGGAGUCAUGGGUGACAUGAGAUGAGAAUGGAGAAAUGGGUUGAGGAUGCGAGGGUUGUGGUGUUGAUAGGAGAGAUUCACGAGAUGGAGAUGAUGAAUGGAGAGGCGGGUUUAGUAGGUGAGUAUGAGACAGAGUGACUGGCAGAAUGGGAUGGAUUGAAUGUUAAUGGUGUGAUAAUAGGAAUCCUGACUCGCUAGAAUGAAUGCACAUCUUGUGUGGGGAAUUGAUUUAUGGAAUAAAUAAGGAAUGAAGGUGGCAGUGUCCAGUGUCCAGAGUAGGCAGCAUUGAGUAAAAGAAUGGAGUGUUCAAAAUGGGAACAACAUGUGGUAUGGAGAAGAAUGUGGGAUUAGUUUGCUGUGGCAACAAAAAGGAAGAGUAAGUUGGAGGUAGGUGAGUCUAAAUAGGAACGGAGGGAAUAGGUGUGGUAGUUUCUUUAGUCAACAAUUUUGGGGCGAAUGAUUUGGGUCUGAUUAUGGGAUGAACAUGUGGCAAAUUGAGAGAUGUAGGGUUAGUGAUAUGGGAUGGUGAAAAGGGAUGGUGUGGAGGUGAGAAUAAGUUGACUGAAGUGGGAAUAUUUAGGCUGCAUAAGGAGGGUUCCAUAAUGGGUUGGAAAGGUUGUGUAGAGAGGAGUGUUGAGUUGAUACCUUGUGACACUAAAAAAGGAAGAGAGGAAGCUGUUAGAGGAGUAGGAGAAUUUUCCUAGUUAAUGAGGGUUGGAAUUUUCAAGAUGAGUUGAGGUGGAAAGUGAGUCAAGGGGCUGUGAAAUGGGGGACCAACAAGAGAGAGUAUGGGAAUUAAUUUUAUCGUGCUUGGUAAAUAUAGAUCGAGAUAGAUAUGAUGUCUCAUCAAAUUGAACAUGCCUAGAAAUAUAAAAGUUGUGAUCUAUAAGCUCAAAAUAAAUGUAAGAGUUAUGAAUAUGAGAGUUACCUAAGAAUAGACAAGCUUUUGAACAUUGUUCAAUUUUGUGAGAGGUAUAUGGGCAGAUCCAAGGGUAACAUAAACACCCAAUUAUUUUUAAUUUUGAAUGGUUAGGCUUAGAGUGGAAGAGGCAUUCAAAUGGAGAUUUAUUCUCAAGAUUAGGCAUAGGAAAUCUAAUAAAGAGAUAAAUGGCAAUUUUAAAACUAAGAGACCAAAGUCGUAAAAGCAAGAAUAUCGGAUGAAGGAGGGUAAGUCCUGAUUAGAUAAUAUGUUGAAAACGAUGUUCAAUGAAGGUGAUGUGUUGAGUUGUGUACAAAUGUGAGAUAAGAUUUAGAUCCCAUGAUUUUCGAACACAGAUUUGAAGCCUUGGUCUUCUCUCCCACCAUUAGAGUAAAUGGUAGUAAUAGAAGAUCUAAAGUUUUUUUGACCCAAACUUUACCCAUUGUGGAUGAUAUUUAGUUUGGUAGCAAUAUCAUUACCCUUGAUAAAGAUGAGAGCUACAGUACUGUAGUGUGACCUUAUUUUUGAAAUAAAAGGGAAGCAAAGAAAAUGCCUUUGAUCAAAAUAAUCUUGACCCAAACAAACAAUGAAAACAAGUCUUAAGCUAGUAUCCUAUGGAAAUUUGAAAUGAUACUAGUCAUAUAAUCAAGAUAUGUCUAGAACACACUCACCUUUUGUGAUUAACAAAUCUGGAAGUAUCAAUGACUUUGAAAUAUAUACGUAUUUGUAUGAAAUUUAAUUAUCCACAUGACAUGUACUUGUUAAUAGCAUUAUUGCAUAUUAUUCAAUGACACAUCAAUCUAAUGAUUUCCUAAGAUAUUCAAAGCUUAUCACCUCAAGAGGCUUUGUUAAAAUGCCAGCUAAUUAUUCAAUUGAAUACCAGCUAAUUAUUCAAUUGAAUAAGCUUCUAGAGUUUCUCUAAGUCUCCCCCUCUUCUAUUUUAUCCUAUUACUCAAAAUGAACUGAUGAACAUUUGAUUAUUAGUGUUUAAGAGUCAUAACUAACUCUUACAAGAGCAAUUUAGAGGCAAAACCUUUUCUUUCAAUUGAAGAAAUUCAAACUGCGUCAACCUUGGCCACUGGGAUUACUUGUCCUACUAGCGUAAUCCCAUUGUAUUAGCUGUGCAGGUGUGCCUAAGAAAAUGAAUUCCAUAAUAUAUUGAUGUGCUGGUACCACAGCUUCCAUGACGCGGGUAGGGCAAGGCUAAGACAAAACAAUAGUCUUUAGAAUAAUUUACAUUUGCUAAGUAACACCUAUUGUUUUUGGUGCAUGACUUACUGCUGAAAAAUAGCUUCUUUGGUUGAAGUAGCAUUAGCUGCACACACUUGUGCUGGCUGUGCAAGCUUCACUAGAAGUUACCUCUCUACUUUAUACUAUACUGGUUAUGCGAGUACCCAUGUGGUAGUUACGGUUCUACCAGAAAGCAAUGUUUGAAACUCUUUUUGAACAUAUUAACCUAUGCUCUCUCAACCUAACACAACCCUAUGUUUCUCUAGACUUUAGGAAUCCUACAAUGAUCAUGGAAAACACUUUAUACAGUCUCUAAGGAAAUGCAAUCCAAUAUUCUGUAAGCUUGAGAUAAAACCAUCACCUUCUUUACCUUUGGUGUUUAGUAUGAGCUUGUUCUUCACCAAUCUUGAUCUCACUGCAUGGAUGAUCGACUUUGUGAUUGGUAAAACAUUUUGGUGAAAUACCUUAGCUAUUUAUUACACUAGAAAUGUCAUGAAAUUCACCAAUAUUCAAAUGUUCUGUUUAUGGUUUCUUUUUUUGAUAAUUUUGUGACAAAACAUACAUCACAAAGAAGAAAAAAAAAUGAUUAGGAUGUCAAGAAAUAGAACAAAUCAACCAUAUGCUUCUGAUCAAUAUUGAACCUGGCUACACAUUACCACUCAAAAACACUCAUUAAUAGUUUCAGACAUAUACAAGGCACACCAUUAUGUAAAUGCAAGCUAAGGUGCAUUUCCUCUUUCUGACACUUCUCAAAACAAUUUUUCUGUCCCAUUUUCUGGUAUAACACACAUUCUUCUCCUAUCCAUAUGUGCAUACAUCCCAUGUCAACUAAUGUUAGCAGAUUAGAUUAGAUUUGUUAUAGAAUUUGAAUUGGUCAAGCUAUUUGAAUUUACUUUUAUUUUUUUAUUUUUUUUGUUAUUUCAGAUUAUGUAGGAUUAGGAGUUUUAUGUUUUAAAUUCAAAUAAGGGUAGAUUGUUAUCUGUAACAAUUCUGCCAUGAUCCUAGGAGUAAUUUCAGGACUUUGUUGAUAACCCUUAGUCAUCCUAAGUCUAUUUAAAUGUAUUGCCUUCAAAUAAUAAAAAAUAAUGCAGAUUAGUUUUAGAUCUGGUUUCAUGGUAUUGGACCCAAGAUUAGUCGUCGAUAUCUCUUUCUAAAGACAACCAGGGAUGUAUUGGAUGCUGCCCAACAAACGUACUUCAAUCUUGGCAACGUGUCACAAUUGUUCGAAAUUCAGUCCAAAUUAAAGGAGAUCAAGCAAGACACCCAAUUGAUUACUCAGUAUUUCACUAACCUGGAGGAUAAGUGGCAAGAAUUGGAUUUGUUUUUUGACGAAAACUCAGUGUGUGCAACCUGUAGUGUGAAGUAGAGGCAGAAUCUUCAGAAAGAAUGGGUGUAUGAUUUUCUUAUUAGAUUAAAUCGAGAUCUUGAUGAAGUCCAAGAACGCGUUUUAAGUUGAGUUCCAUUCUGAACAAUUGAUGAAGCCUUUGCUGAAGUUCGUAGACGAGAAAAUCGUGGAAAAGUUAUGUUGUCUGAAGAAGGACCAUUGAGUGCUCCACCAACAGAAGGCUUGACCUUGAUGACCAGAAACAAAUUGCAACCAAGAAAGAACAACAAUGAUUCAAGGACACCACAUCAAGGAGAACAAAUGUGGUGUGAUCACUGCAGCCGCCAUGGACACAUCAGGGACAUAUGCUGGAAGAUUCAUGGAAAACCUGCAAAUUGGGUUCCCCAAAGAUAGACUGAAGGCCGAGGUUUUCAAGCUCAAUAAAACCAAUACAAGCAAGGAAUAGAUUCUUCAACACAACAUCAGUUUACAAAUUCAUUAGUUUCGUUCAGCAAGGAAUAGCUUGGGCAAUUCUAUUGUCUUCUCAAUCCAUCACCAGUCCCAUCUUUGUUAAAUUCUAAUCUAUGGUCAUGUUAUGUAGCACAAUCUGGUAACCACUCAGUCCUAACAUCUUUGGUUCACUCUACGAAACCUUAGAUCAUUGAUUUCGGUGCCUCUGACCAUAUGAUAGGUGGUUCUAAUUUUUUCCUAUCUUAUACUCCAUGUCCUAGUUUUACUAAAAUAAAAAUUGUAGAUGGAUCUUUAUCUUCUGUUGCUAGAAUAGGUUCAAUAAGAGUCUCGAAGGACUUAAUUCUUCACUCAGUCCUUCAUGUUCCUGCCUUAAAAUGCAAUAUGUUAUCCAUUAGUAAAAUCACUCGUGAUAAUAAUUGUUUCAUUCUUCAAUGUGUCAAUUUCAGAACCUAUCAUUGGGGAGGACGAUUAGCAGUGUUAGAAAUCAUGAGGGGCUUUAUUAUCUUGAGAACAUAGAGUAUGAGGGUCGGCAAGCUUUUGCAUCAAGGGUUGCAUCUGUUUUUGUUUCUAGUGAUAGGGAAGCAUCUGUUUCUAUUUCUAGUGAUAGGGAAAUAAUGUUAUGGCAUCAUCGACUUGGCCACCCUAAUUUUUUGUACUUAAAAUGUUUGUUACCUUUAUUGUUUAAAAAUGAAGAUUUUGUUUCUUUCAGUUGUGAUAUAUGCCAAUUUGCAAAACAUACUUGGGUACCAUUUUCUCCAAAACCCUAUAAACCUUCAAUGCCUUUUGCCUUAAUUCACAACGUUAUCUAGGGUUCAUCCAAAGUUACCACAAUGAAUGGAAAACGAUGGUUUGUGACAUUAAUUGAUAAUCAUACAAGACUCAUUUGGGUAUAUCUCCUUCGAGAUAAAUCAGAGACCAAUCAAGUGUUCCAAAAUUUCAACAAUAUGAUCCAAACUCAAUUUGGGAAAAAUAUUUGUCUUAUAGACUAACAAUGGGAGAGAAUAUUUUCAAUCUAUCUUGGGAGAUUAUUUAUUGCAUAAGGAAAUUGUUCACUAAAGCUCGUGCAUUGACACACCACAACAAAAUGGUUUCUUAGAAAGAAAAAAUAAACAUUUAUUGGAAGUGGCUAAUGCUCUUAUGUUUACAAUGAAUGUUCCCAAAUAUCUGUGGGGGGAUGCCAUUUUAACCACUGCAUUUCUGAUUAGCCGCCUACCUAGCCACACCUCGACCUUUAAAUCCCCACUAUCCAUGCUUACAAACAAAUUCCCACUUCUCAAUAUGCUUACAAAUACCCUUCCACUCAAAACAUUCAGACGCAUUGCAUUUGUCCACAUUCACUCUCAACACCGAACCAAACUUGAUCUUCGAGCCAUAGAAACAAUCUUUCUUGGCUAUUCUCCAACCUAAAAAGGGUACCGGUGUAACCGUCCCCAAACAAAGAAAAUGUUUGUCACUCGAAAUGUCACAUUUUUUGAAGAAAUCCCAUAUUAUUCACACACUUCUCUUCAGGGGGGAAUCAAGACAGAUAAGUUUCUGUGUGGGAUUGGGAUACUAUUGUUUUACCUAUAUUUGAGAUUCUAUCGCAACCUAUUGUUAUCCCAUUACUCGAGACUUUGGCUACUUCGGCCGUCAUACUCGAGCUUACCUCAUCUGAAACCUCACAACCAAUUGAAACCUUGUCACAACAUUCACUUGCAUACCAAUCCCAUAAACAAGGGGAUAUCCAACCAUACCAAAUCAAUAAAAGCUAUGGGUUUACUCUUGGAAAAAGAGUUCUCAAGGGAAUAAGCCACUUAUAAGCAAUGUGCAUUAUCCAAAAUCUGAACAUGAGUUAGGAAGUGGUUCCUCAUCCUUAGCUAAUCCUGAAACCAUUUCUGAUAGACUAGAUGAACCUAUUGCACUUAGAAAAGAUGUUAGGUCAUGUACACACCAUCCUAUUUCUAAAUUUGUGUCAUAUAAUAAUCUAUCUCCAUAGUUUCAUGCCUUUACCACAAAUCUUUCUAGAAUUGAUGUUCCUAGGACAAUAGAAGAUGCUCUAGCUAUUCCCGAAUGGAAAAAUGUUGUUCUUAAAGAGAUGCGAGCUCUUGAGAAGAAUGAUACAUGGAGUUUGGUGAAAUUACCACAAGGCAAGAGUGUGGUUGGAUGCAAAUGGGUGUUCACUAUUAAGGUAAAACCAAAUGGCUCAAUCGAGAGUACAAAACAUGAUUGGUUGCAAAAGGUUUCAUACAAACAUAUGGACUUAACUAUACUGAGACAUGUGCUCCCAUUGCAAAGCUCAACACAAUUCAUGUCCUAUUAUCACUAGCAGCAAAUUUAGACUAGCCAUUGUAUUAACUCGACAUGAAGAAUGCAUUCUUAAAUGGAGAACUGGAGGAAGAAGUGUAUAUGAGCCUACAACUCAACUUUGAAGAAGAUAAAAAGGGCCAAAAUGGUAUGCAAACUGAAGAAGUCUUUAUAUGGUCUUAAACAAUCUUUGUGUGCAUGAUUCGAAAGAUUCUCAAAAGUGAUUAAGAGUAACGGAUAUUCACAAGGGCAAAUUGAUAGGACUAAACAUGUGGAGGUUGAUACACAUUUCAUCACGAAAAACUUGAGAAAUGAGUAAUCAGCAUAAAGUACAUUCCUAUAGACCAACGGGUUGUUUACAUACUCACAAAAAGACUUCAUGGACCAGCAUUCAACUUUCUAACAAGCAAGCUUGGACUCAUUGACAUCUACGACCAAGCUUGAGGAGGAGUGUCGGUGGAUUAGAUUAGAUUUGUUAGAGAAUUUGAUUAGUCAAGCUAUUUGAAUUUACUUAUGUUUUUCUUUUUUUCUUUUUUUUUUCUUUUUUUGUUAUUUCAGAUUAUGUAGGAUUAGGAGUUUUAUGUUUCAAAUUCAAAUAAGGGUAAAUUGUUAUCUAUAACAAUUGUGUCGUGAUCCUAGGAGUAAUUACAAGACUUGGUUGAUAACCCUAUGUUGACCUAAGUCUAUUUAAAUGUAUAGCCUUGAAAUAAAAAAAAUAAUGCAUAUUAGUUUUAGAUCUGCUUUCAACUAAUAACCAAGAUCAUGUAAAGUUUCUUUCCCAUUCUUUGGCCUAUUUAGUAUGUGUAGCAUACAAAACUCAUCUCCUUUAAAUUGAACUAAUGCUAGUUAAAACUCUCCCCUUAGCAUCGCUUGUAAUAUUAGUCAUUGGGUGAUUUUUGUUCACUCUUGAUGUAGUCUCUUAGAGAAUUAAAUGUAGAUAAAAAGACUUUAAAAUGGGGUUAAAAAAUAGAGGAAAACAUCAAAAGCAAGAUUACAUCAAAAGAGAAUGGACAUCUACUUUAAUUAAAGCUAAAACAUGAAGAAAUCUAAACCAUAGAAAAGAACAAAGAGGCCUCCCAAAGGAGAAGAGAAAAUCUCCCAACUAUAAAAUGGGGUAUGGUUACCUUAGCUUGGGGGUACAUGACGGCAUCCUAUGGAACCCCCAAAGAUCCAAGUGCUAGGAGGAAAGUGCUAAAAAAAGUGGGCUUGGGCAUCUGGCAAAAAGGGCACCACGCUUGGAUGGCAUGGGCCAUGGGGCCCAACUUGGUGCCCAAAGUCGCCGUAAAAUUUGGGGAGGCUGCCAGAUUGGGCACCAUCCUUUUGUGCACUGUGGGCCAUAGGCCAGAGUCAAAACGAUAGUGUGCAUUCUUCCCCUGUUUCAUGCACUUAGCGUUCCUCUUGCUGUAUUCUUGUGCUUUGGUUGUCUCAGGAGGCUCCAUUAUGUGCACUUAUUCACUCAAAUAGAUGCAACACAUAGAAAACUAGAGGAAAACAUAGGAAAACCAAGGUUAUGCGGGGCAAAGCAAAAAUGGUGAUUGGAGAAUGCACUUUAUGUCAAUAUCACACUUAAAAUGCAAUUUCUAGUCUCAUUUCUGACCAAUAUUUGCAUCAAUCACCUCAUUAUUAUUAUUAUUUUUUAUUUUUUGCUUUAGGUAUACUUUGUUCAAAUCUUUAUUUUGGAUACUCAUUGGUGUAAUUUUAGAAGACAGUAGUGAUAAUUGGAUUUGGUUCCAGACUUCAUCAGACUGACACAUAAAUGUAACCUGUAUGAAUACAUGACCAAAUCUUAUGUUUUAAGUGCUUUUUUUUUAUUUGGUUCCAUAUUUUGAGGAUAUGAAUGUUUAUGCUUUAACUAGUGUGAUUCAGCUAUAUGUUGAGUUCUCCAUGCUGUGAUUAAUUACUACUUUGGCAAACCAUUCUUGCACUAGUGCUGUUAACUUAAUUUACAAUAUUUUGUAACUAAUGAAUCAUAAUUGUUCAUCUGAGUUUCUAUUUUGAACUUUUGUUGAUGUUCUGAGUUGUAUACUGCUGAUAACACAGGAAUGACUGAUCUAGCUGGUGGGGCUGCAGGUGAGAUAUAUAAAGAUGGGAAACGCGUAGCGACUUUUGCCUUUAGCAAUAUUCUUUAUCUGAGGGAUCUGAGCAGAAACUCUAAAAAGUUAACUCAGGAAGCCACGAAUCUCAAGGAAACGAGGAAAUACCUAGAAAUAAGAAGAUUUAAGACACAGUCAGGCAUAAGAGAUUGGAUUGCUACGGCUUCGAUUAUUUUAAGGCAAGUGGAACGCCUAGAAACUAAAUACAACAAUGAAAAGAAGCAUCGAUGGAAAUUGUUUUCCCUUGCAAAUCUUAGCAAAGAGAUGGAAGUGAAGUGCCAAGAAGUUUGUAGUCAUAGGGAAAAGGGAGUCUUCAUGAAAGAAACAGCAGUCAUGGAAUUGCCAGAGCCUGUCCAAAGAAUACCUACACUCAAACUGGAAGAAAACUCGUCAUUGCACAAAGUUUUACAACAUGUACUGAGGUGUCUAGAGGAUAAAGAAGUAAGAAGAAUUGGUAUCUGGGGCAAGCUGGGAACUGGGAAAACCACAGUAUUGAAGAACUUGAAUAAUCAUGCAAAAGUUGCUGAAAUGUUUAAUGUGGUUAUCUAUGUAACUGUCUCAAAAAAGUGGAGUGAAAAAAGGGUACAAGAUGCAAUCCUAAGGCGGCUAAAAUUGGAUGUAGUAGGUAAUGCCAAUGUUAACGAAGCUGCUUGGCUAAUAUCCGAAGAUUUGAAGGAAAGGAAGUGUUUGAUUCUUUUGGAUGAAGUAACGGACAUGAUUGAUCUAAAUAGAAUAAUGGGAAUCGACGAGAACCCAGAUAGCAAGGUAGUGUUGGUGAGUAGAUAUGAUGACUUUUGUAAAUGUGUCAUGAAGGCUGAUGAGCUAGUUAAUGUGAAGCCAUUGUUACGUACUGAAGCUUGGAACAUGUUCCAGAAAAUAGUAGGCCCUUCCAUUUCUAACCCCUUAAUUGAACCACUGGCGAGGGGUGUGGUUAAUGAGUGUUAUGAGUUGCCACUGCUGAUAGACAGAGUGGCAAAAACCUUCAAAAAGAAUGGGGAGGAUUCUGUGCUUUGGGAUUAUGGAUUGGAACAGUUGAAAAGAUGGGACAGUAUCAAAAUCUAUGGCAAGGAUGAAGUGCUGGAACGCUUACAGAUUUGUUAUGAUGAUUUGGAAGAUGAUGAACAGAAGGUUUGCUUUUUGUAUGGUGCAUUGCAUCCCCAAGAAAGUGAGAUAUAUGUAGAUUACUUGUUAGAAUGUUGGAAAGCUGGAGGUUUUAUUAAACAUGCAAAUGAUUUCAGAAGUGCACGCAACAGAGGGCAUACGGUGCUGAAUGAGCUUAUCAAGGUAUCUUUGCUGGAGAGAAGUGCUAACAGGAAAUGUGUUAAGAUGAAUAAAAUGCUUCGGAAAAUGGCGCUUAAGAUCUCAUCAAAAAGAACAGAUUCCAAAUUUUUAGUGAAGCCACACGAGGGGUUAGAAGAUUUCUCAAAGAAGGAAGAAUGGGAACAAGCCCAUCGGAUUUCUUUGAUGAAUGACCAACUACGCACUUUACCAGAAACACUAGAUUGUCGCAAUCUGUUAACGUUGUUGCUUCAAAGAAAUAAGUGCUUGACUUCUAUUCCUGAGUUGUUCUUCAAAUCUAUGUGUCGUCUCCAAAUUCUAGAUCUCCAUGGCACUAACAUUGUAGUACUGCCUUCAUCCUUAUCCAACUUGAUUUACCUCAAAGGGCUCUAUUUAAAUUCCUGCUCUGAGUUGAAAGAAAUCCGAUCUAGUGUAGAAGCACUUGAGCAUCUUGAGGUGUUGGAUAUUCGAAAGACCAAACUUAAGUUACUUCAAAUUGGAAGUUUAGUAUGGUUGAAGUGUUUGCGAUUAUCAUUGUGUAAUUUUGAUGUGGCAAACUAUACUGAAGCACAAGUGUCAAGGUUUGAUUUGUUGGAGGAAUUGACUAUUGAUGUUGGUUCAUUGGAAGAAGGGUGGGACAAGAUUGUAGAUCCAGUAAUAAAGGAGAUAGUUAAGUUGAAAAAAUUGACCUUUCUUAGAUUUUGUUUCCCUCAAGUAGACUGCCUUGGCUUAUUUGUUGAAAAAAGCCCUGUGUGGGAGGAUCCCCGCUUGAUAUUUCAUUUUGCUGUUGGUUACCAUGACUCCGCCGUUGCUCAUGCUCUUGAGUCUAUCGAUAAUCCAAGCUACAAGAUCUUGAAGUUGGCCAAUGGUGAUGGUGUAAAUCCUAUAGUCAUGAAGGUGCUAACGAAAACCAAUGCAUUGGGACUAAUAGACUACAAAGGAGUUUCGAGUCUAUCGGAUUUUGGCAUCGAGAAUAUGAAUAUGAUAUUUGAUUGUUUGAUUGAAGGAUGCAGUGGAAUGAAGACCAUCACCUAUGGUAAUGGAACAUCAAAGGCUGUGCUAGAAUGGUUGAAAAAUUUGCACAUAACCAAUGUCCCAGAAUUGGAAAACAUUUGGCAGGGGCCUGUUCAUGCUGGAAGUUUGGCUCGAUUAACAACUGUGACAUUAAGUAAUUGCCCCAAGUUGAUGAAGAUAUUCUCUAAUGGUAUGAUUCAACAACUUAUUCAACUGACGCACUUGAGAGUUGAAGAAUGCCAUCAAAUUGAAGAGAUUAUCAUGGAAUUUGAGAAUACACAACUAGAAAACCAAGCACUUCCAAAGUUGGAGACCCUAAAACUCAUUCAUCUGCCACAACUAACAAGCAUUUGGGCUAAAGAUUCAUUAGAGUGGCCAUCUUUACAAGAAGUUGAGAUAUCUAAGUGUUUCAAGUUGAAGAGUUUACCUUUCAACAAGGUAAAUGCAACCAAAUUGAGAUCCAUUGAAGGGCAACAAUCAUGGUGGGAAGCACUAGAAUGGAAAGGUGAUGCCAUUAAACAAAGAUUACAACCUCUUUUCAUCCCCAACCAGCUCCUUUGAUUUCAUCUCUUAUGCGUUUUAUUGUAAAGCUAAUCAGGAUAGUUGCUGCUGCUGAGACAAAGUAAGUUUGUGUGCAGGAUUCAAAAACUCUGGCUUGCACUUGCUUGAGAUUUACUAUUUUUUUCUUGUAUUUGUUUGAGAUUUGAUACUUUGGGUUGUGUUUGUUUAAGAUUUGCUACUUCAUAUUGUAUUUGUGUAUGAUUGCUUGUUGUUUGGUUGUUGUAUUUCCAUAUAUCUUAUGUAAGGAUAAUAGAUUGAAAAUCUUAAGCUCUAUUUGGUUCUAGAAAAGUAUUAAAGAAAGAGGAAAAUGAUUUUCUCAUAUUUGGUUUUAAAUAAUUUUCUUUAUAUAGAGGAGAACAAAAAAAGUAAAAUGAGUUUAAAAUAGCAUAUGAAAAUAAUUUAUCGACUUUAAAUCUUUUUUUUUUUUUUUUCAGUUUUCGUCUCCAUUUUCUUUCUCUUCCAUUUUUUUUUCAAAAUUUUCAAGAACCAAAUAUAACCUUAGUCAUAACCGCUAAUAAUGAUUUUUCUUCUCAUAAGGUAGGACUGAACAAUUGUAGUAUUUGAUAUUUGUGGAGAAUUAUUCAUUUGAUACACAUAUUCUUUCUCUUGAUAUCAUAUAUGGUUUCUGAUUUUACUUGUUAUCUUAAUUUUUGGUAUUUGAAUUUGAUUUCUUCAUCUCAUUUAUUUUUAUUUCUUUGGGGAAAUGGUUUAGGAAUAUGAAUAUGAAGAUGUUCAAUUGCUUUACGGAUUUCUGCUAACUGAGUCAUCAUGUGGCCUAAGCCCAGCCCUUUUCAUGCCCAAGCCUGGCCCAAUCAUUGAAAUUUGGGCUUAGACAGAACUCAGACCCGCAAUGAUGGGCUUUUAAAAUAUAAAUGUUAUGCAACACCUUAUCUUUUAAUUACCUUUAUGUCUUAUAAAAAUAAUUAAUUCUAAAUUUCAACUCAAAGUUAAGUUGUCCAAAAAUCAUUAAAAAUAGGAAACAUUUUUUUAGACUUGAAAAAACGUUUGGUAUUAUUUUAUUUUUCGAAAACAGUUCUUUGAAAACUUGUUAUGGAAAUAAAAUAUUUUUUGAGAACAUAUUUUAAUUAUUUUUAAAUAUCUUUCCUUAUUUUUUGGGAUUUAUUUUAAAAAGUAAUUGUACAUAUAUGUAGAAUGGUCGGAAUAAAAUCAUUGGAAACAAAAGUUGUUUUGAAGAAAUUCAAAAACAUAAAAAGUAGUUUGAGAAUAGGUGGCAAGUGUGUUAAAAAAUAGUUCUAAAAAACAAUUUAAAAAAAAAAAAAAUUAUGAUAUUUUUAAAGUAAGUUUAUUUGAAAACCAAAAAUUUUUGUUUUCUAUGUUUUUAAAUAUGUUUUAAAGAUAUUUUUUAUAUGUAGUACUUUAAUUUUAAUUAUUUUUUAUAUUUAUAUAAUUUUAAAAAAAAAAAAUAUUUAGAAAAUAAAUGAAAACAAUUAAAGAUGUUCUCUAAAAAACACUGUUUUCUAUUUUUAAAAAUAAAAAAUAAAGUGUUUUUAGAAAAUAUAUUUUAAUUGUUUUUACUUGUUUAAAAAAUAAUUAUAAAGAAUAAUUAAAAAUAAAGUGUUAUGAAUAAAAAUUAUUUCUAAAAUAUAUUUAAAAACAUAGAAAAAAGGCUCAAAGUAUUUCAAGUUCCAAACAAAUUUUGUUUUGUAAAACAUUAGAAAAUGGUUUUUAAAAACUAUUCUCAAAGCUGCUUUUUAAAACUAUUUUUGAGAAUACUUCCAAAACAGACCUUAUUCUCCCUUCUUUCUUGCCCUAAAACAAGUAUAAAAAACUGUUCUUUUAAAGUUGUUUUUGAAAAUACUUCCCAAACAGACCUUAUCAUUCUCUCUUCUUUCUUGCCCAAAAAUGAGCGGCAGUUCCAUAAUAGCUCAAGCUUACCUUCAAGGAGUCACCAGGCUGACCUGAGCCUGGCACUCAAAACAAAAACCAAAUAUGAGACAACAUACUAAGAAUGCACUUGUGUUAGAAAUUUAGACACAGAUGAUACAAAUGCUGCUGGGAAUUGGUUUUUUGGGCUUUGAAAGUAAAAUGUUUUAAGGAAAAACCAGCCAAAAUGUGCAGCAGGCAUUCUGGACCACCCUCUUCAUUCUGGGGAAUUAAUGAUUCUGUUCAACCGGUUGUUCUUUCUAUUGUGAUUAUUACACAUGACACUUUCAAACAUGUCAAAUUCGUUAAUUUUUCGAUAGCAAUAGGUAGAUAUAUAUCCAUGAUUUUGGUCUUCAAUUUAUGAUUUCAGUCCCUUGAAAAUCAAAUACCUAAAGGUGAUGGAGUUCUCCGACUUUGGGUGCCAACCCAUGAACAAUUCACAACCUCCUAAAAGGAAAUUUGAAGUUGAACCAAUAGAAAGAGAGAUUGUGAUAAAGAUCUUAUUCGAGUAUGAAACAAGUCUAGGAUUUGCAUGACAAACAUUUUAUUGGAAAAAUAAGGGAACAAUUACUCUUAAAUGAUGGUUGUCUUGUUAGAAUAAUACAUUGAAUUUAGGGUGAUUCAGGUUCUUUGGUAACUUGGUAUUAACAAGAUUACAAACCAAGGUCGAAAACUAAUGUUUUUUCCGAACUAAAAAGACUAAAAAAAGCAAGCAACUAUUGGCAUAGUGACUUGGUCGAUCCAUCACCACAUAUAAUGCUUCUAGUUUCAUUGCACCCUUCAACUAAACAAACUAACAUGUUUGCCAUGUUGUGAAUGCCAAAAUCUGAUAGUGUUGAAACACCUUGUGGUUAAUUAAUCAGAAUGCAUAUGUCACCAUAAGUACCUCUGCGAUUACAGGAUGCCUCCCUUCACCAUUGACCAAUUCAAGCAAUUGAAGCUUGGAUAAUCAGUAGACUCUAGAAAGUAAGAGGAGGUUGAGUCCUGGUGACCAACAGAAAAUUGAAAUGAGAAGUGUGAGCUCUUCUUCCUUGCUGGGCUUCCAUGGACAAACAAUACAAGGAAGUCCACCGUAGGGAAGCAAAAUUGAAGGGAAGUUAAUUUUUGCAAGGUAGCCACCUCCUCCGUAACAAUCUUUAAAACUUGACAAGGUUGAAAUAUUUAUAUGCAUCUUCAAACUCAUUUACAUUGCAAGUGGGUUCUGACUGGAAUCCUCUAUUCCAAUAGGAAAUUUUUGAAAUGAGAUAUCCGCUGUUGGGGCCUCUAUUUCCUGCAUGGCUGCAAAGACAAAAGGAUUUGAUGGGUCUAGACAUAUCUAUUGAGGCCUCGCGUCCCUGGUGAUCUACGUAGUUGCCAAAUGGAUGGACGCACGAUCUCAACCAAUAUAGGUUCUUGAUUCAGUCCUUCUACCUGCAAAAGGCGUUCGGACAGGGUGUCCGGACGCACCCUCCGAUGGUUUUGUCAGCCAUGGUUAGAGAGAGAUAAAUCAGUUGGCCUUUUACUAGGUACCUCAAGCUUACCUUCCUCUUUGUGUGAAGGUUCGUAUAUAUAGUAUCAGAAGCUUUGUUCUCCUCUUUAAUGGUGGGGAGAUAUUUUGUGUUGUCAUGAUGACACUAGGUGGUGGCAGGCCAUCAUCACCCUACGGGCGGCUGACAGAGAUCGUGGUAGGUGAUGCAGUUGUCAGAGAUCGUGGUAGGUGAUCGUGGGAAGUGACUUGUUGUCACUUCAUCUUGUCCUUUCACUCUGCAGGUGGCGGAACGUGGGCCAUGACAGGCUGUUGUGAUAACGUGCAAGACUUGCUUACUUCAGUCAAUGAUCUGGGCAACGUAUCCGGAUGGCCUGUGUUUAGUCGUCCGGGUGCAUUUGUGGAAGUCGUCAGGAUGUCAUGCUUAUGAGUGUCGUGUGCUUCUCCUUGAGGUAGUCCGGAUAGGAGAAGCGCGCCACGUGUACUCUUGGGGAAAUCCGGAUGGGGUUGACCCCGGAUGAGAAUGUGUGCCACGUGUUAUCAGGGGGAGGGGUCCCUACAAUAUCCAGAGCAGGAAUCAAAGAUGCCAUCCCAUCUUGGUUCUGGAGUCUGAAUUUUGACUACAUGAAUCUAGCCUACAACCUGAUGUAUGGCACUGUUCCAAGCUUAACAGCUGCAUAUCAGAUCCAUCUUGGUUCAAACAAAUUCAGUGGCCCACUGCCCCGUAUCUCUUCCAAGACAUUUUCAUUAGAUCUUUCCCGUAACUCAUUUAAUGGAUCCCUUUCACCCAUCUUGUGUCAACAGAACAAUGAAGUGAACACUUUGAGGAGAACUUUCCGGAAACAUUCACUCAUUUAAUGGACCUCCCCGGAAACAUUCUAUCAGGAGAACUUCCUGACUGUUGGGCGUCCUGGACACUACUCAUGGUGUUGAGAUCAAGAAAUAAUAAUCUGACUGGACAUCUACCGAGCUCAAUGGGUUCCCUACUUUGGCUAAGAUCAUUGCACUUGCGCAACAACAGUCUCUCUGAUACUUUACCGUGUUCCAUGCAAGGUUGCGAAAGUUUAACAGUUGUAGACCUCAGUGAGAAUGAAUUCUCUAGAAGCAUAACGAUGUGAGUGGGGAAGAAUCUGUCCAGUCUUAUGGUUCUUGUCCUACGAUCAAAUAAAUUUACUGGGAGUAUUCCUAUGGAAUUCUGUCACCUCGAGUCCCUUCAAGUCUUAGACCUUGCAAACAACAUCACUGGUUGUAAAGAGAACAGAAUAUGAGUACAGUGGUUCUCUUCCCCUUCUAACUGGAAUAGGCCUCUCAUGCAACAACUUGUCAGGGGAGAUACCAAAAGAACUUACCAGUCUCCAAGGUUUGAUGUUCUUGAACCUCUCUGUAAAUCAUCUUGAAGGACAACUUCCUAUGGAGAUCAGCGCCAUGACAUCGUUGGGGUCCCUUGAUAUCUCCAGGAACAAACUUUCGGGUGUUAUUCCACAAAUCCUUGCAGGUAUAUCAUUGUUGAGCCAUUUAUAUGUGUCGUACAGCAACUUCUCAGGCAGAAUUCCAUCAGGCACUCAAAUCCAAGGCUUUAAUUCGAGCUGUUUUAUUGGUAAUCUUGAGCUCUGUGGGCCUCCUCUUACAGAGACUUGUGUUGGAGAUGAUCUCCCAGAGGUUCCAAUUCCAGGGCCUGCUGAUGAAGAGGACAAUGAUGAUUGGAUCGAAAUGAAGUGGUUCUAUAUGAGCAUGCCACUGGGGUUUGUGGUUGGUUCUUGGGCUGUUUUGGUUCCAUUGGCAAUCAAAAAGGCAUGGAGGGAUGCCUUUUUCCAGUUCUUGGAUAACAUGAAAUGCAAACUGUUUGGCUGCUCUCAGUAUGGAGAGCAGUAUUUGUGUUCCUUGAAUACAAAUAUAAGCGUCCUUUUGGCUGUAGGCUCAUCACACACGCCUAACCAUUCAUUGAUGUUUCAUGUGAGCUCCUUUUGGUUGCCGAGAAAACCUAGUCCAAUGGGACAAAGUAUGCUGGGAAAGUGCGUUAUUCAUGGUAACUUCAAGGAGAGUCCAGAUCAACCCUUAGGGCCACUAAGAGAAGAGCAGGAGAAUCAAGGGAAUUAAGAAUGAAGUGUUUUUAAGGAAGUAGUAGAUUGAAAGGAAGAUCGAUUAUCUUGCUCUUGGAUUUAUUGACCUAUGUGAAAGAGGGAGAUGACCAUGUAAUAAACACACAAUACCUUCAUAAACUGAAAAAAAUCUGUUUUUCAUAUUUAAAUUCUCAAAGAGAAUUUCAUUCCUAAAAACAAUUAAGAAUUAUUUUUAAAAUUAUUAUAAAAAACUAUUGUUUGAAAAAUAUUUUAGAAAGCAUUGUUAAACAGACCCCUAGUUGUUGAUUUUCUAUAAACACCAAAAGGACAAGCAAUUAUCCACAAACAUUAGACACAAUUCAUCACUUCAAUUAAAUAGCCAAAAAGUAUCAAGGCUGAAGGACUUACAGGGGACAGUUAUAAACGGGAAGAAUACCUAGGACAUGUCCAAACACAAGACUCCUAAAGACUAAGCUAUGAGGAGGAAAAAAAACCCCAAAAUCAUGUCAAUAGAACAGAAGAGCAAAAUUGCAUACUUAAAAUACUUUACACAAUUUAGAGGAGAGAACUCAGUACUCCCAUUUCCUAUUCUCCAUGCCAUCAGGAGGGCUUCCCUCAACCUUCUUCGAUCGAACUUCCUUCCAGUUUGUCCACAGCACUGUCCUGUUUUACUCCACAAGUUAAAAAAUAGCCCCAAGAAAAACAAUGUCACCUUUGAAUCCAUUAAUUUGCUAAUUUCCCUUUUAUAAUCCCAUACUCAAUUAGAAUGAUAUCCUAUGUAACUCCGGUUUUGAAGUCUUACAAAAGAUUUUUGCAUGGCCAUUCUUGUGUCUUCAUCUGCAUCUGGGUAAAUGUCCCGGAAAAAUCUGUUCAGAGCUGCAUCUCCAUCCAGCUUUUCUUCUUUCUCCUGAAAUUCAAACCACCAAAGAGUUGAUCGCCAUAUAAAAUUCCGAUAAUGAAAACCAAAGUAACAGCAUCUAGACUGCAGGCAAACCUCCUUCUUGACUUGUGCUUCCAGCUUAUCCCAAUCUACCAUUUUAGUCUUAGAGGACGGGUAAGUGGGCCUUUGAGAUGCAACACCUGCAACUAGAAAAAGGAAAUAAGCUUAUUAGCAUGAAAAGAAACUUUAUGCUGAAAAAUGGUAAUAGGCUCAUGAUUUUCAAGCAAACAAAUGCUCUGUAGGUAAACAUAUUAAUAAUCGAUCACUCAAUGUCCUCUGUUCUUCCAAAAUGUUACAAUCUUGGAGAAGCAUCAACAGAUUGAUAUGAAAGCAAAAGAAAUACCAAAUCUAUUGUUGAGUUUGCCACGUUGAGUUUUGUCACUGCUGCACAUAUCACACAGCAAUUCUUUUAUGUGCUCUUCUCCAAUUGUAACACUAUAUAAAAACAAAAAUUGUAUUUUGAGGAUGCUGUUUAUUAGUGAUAGCAGUAAGUGAAGACUGCAACCUCAAAACUGCAUUAUGAGGAAGCAGCCUACCCUUGCUAGCAAUCAAGUGAAGACUGAUGAUCCAGAAGUUGUGAAACAGAUGAUCCUGGAUGUGAGCUUAACAAGGAUGGACACACAAGUAUAAGAACAUCCUCACUAAAUGCAUUGGAUAGAUAUCAUGUCCAAUGGGUUUUUAUUUCCAUGUAGAUAUAGAAUAGUAUUUUCAGGCUUAUAUCGAGGAGCAGUAUGACACUGGUAGUGCAAAUAACAGAGAAAGAAAAUAUAAAGUUUUUCUUUUCUUCAAGUAUGGCAUGAUUUGUAUCAUGUAUGAGCUGUGAAUAGAAUAAAUAAAAUUUAGAUCACCUCUACCUUUGAAGAGAAAAAGAAUGAAAAAACAACCUGACUGUUGAGAUGGAUUUCUCUCUUGCUUGGGAGCUAGAAGCUGAUUGCCAAUUUCCACUGAGUCAUCAAAUCAGCAUCUGAUUUAAUGGGGACAAAUAUAGAAUCCAGCUUAUGUGUUAGAACUGAUGUACGCCACUUCAAUGCCCUCCACCAGUCGGCCUCUCCUAUAAUCACCUUCAAAUUAUUACUAGAAACUUCCAUGAUAGAAAGAGCUUCAAUUCUUGGGCAAUUAUAGAAGCUCAUCCAUUCCAAGUCUGGUGCAAUGUGUAGACCACUAGAAAUGCUGCCCAAUUUAGGUAAGUAAUGAAGUGGUAUCUUCUUCAACUUUGGAAGGUAUGUUUUGAGCAGCGUAUGUUCUGCAGGGACUUCACGAGUCACCAAGCUGUUUAUUUUGGGGCAGUUUUCAACCACAAGCUCCUCUAAAAGGUCGAGAUUUUCAAGCAAAGCCAAAGUAAAAGUGGUCUUCAAUUGGGGGCAUGCAUACAAUUCCAGAGACUUGAGACUGGAUAGACAACCCUUCCUGAUGGCCCCUUCCAUAUACUGCCUAAAUUCUUCAUGUAGUGAAGCCUCAAGUAUCAGAGUGAUCCAAGUAUGAUUUCUUGAUGAACGUCUCCAUCGUCUUUCCUUGUCUAUAAGUUUCUGCUCUAUCCACAAGGGUUUGAAUCUUGCUACAUUGCCCCAUUACACAAAAUUAUAGUUUCAUUAUGUGAGUGUUUAGCUAGGUUGAUAAUUCCGGACAAAAUACUUAAGUGUCCCCUAACUCGGCUUUCCAAUUCCUAUUUGGACUACUUGACUUUGAAGACUAAAACUUUGCUAAAAGGCCAAGGUAUGUAGCCGAGUGUGUGGUGAUUGGAUGUGAAUCAACCCAGUUUUUAAUCUUUAAAUGUGUUAGAAAGUUGGGAGAAAUGGUUUUUGGUGAAAGGCUUUCAUUCCCCUGUUUCUGGAUCGAUCCAAGUAUAGGGGUGGAUUGAUCCAACUAAUUUUUUUUUAGAUCAAAUCUCAACCAUUAGAUUAAGGGUUUCUUUUUACACUUUAAAAAGCAAUCUUCUCUCAUUUUUCUGAGAUGUGACUGUAGAAAAUGUGGAGAGAGCAGCCACACUCCUUGCAUUCUUCAUUUUCUCAUUUUGUUUUCCUAAUUUGGGGUUUUUGAUUGCAAAGAAAAUCCACUUCUCUUAAUGUUUUCCAAACUAGUUUUUAAUGGAUUUUCUUGAGCAAUAAAUGGGUUGAUUCAUUCCUUCAUUCACAUCUCAAUCUCUCAUUCUACUUGGGUUUGGGUACAUGCCCAUUUUCUUUUUGUGUGGAUUCAAGAAGAGGCCGGGAUUGAGCUUGGUGCGGACUCCAAGUGUGCUCCGAAAGAAGAAGGUGAGAAGCUGAAAAUGAAGGUACUAGUCAAGUAGUCCGGGAAGGAUUGGUUGGCUUGAUUUAGGUAAAACCUUGUACUCAGUUUUUAUUCUUCAUAGUGGAGUUUUUCAAUCGAUGAUAGGCCUGUGGUUUUUGAUAUUCGGAGGUUUUCCAUGUUAAAAAUCUGAUGUUCAUUGUCUCUUUCUCUCACUCUACAUUUUGAUUUAUUUUCUGUUUUUGAUAUCAUUGAUUACUUAGGCAUACUUGUUGAAUGGAAGAAAUAUGAAGUGAUUUAAGUGUGAUUAUCCAUUGAAUGUCUUUAAUAAUUCUUCUGUUCACUUUGUUUAAUGAGAUCAUGGAAUCAAUUGUUAUGAGUUGAGGAGAUAAUUGUUCUUUUGAUUUAUUUUUGAGGAGUGUUGAAGCAUUUGCAUGUGUUUUGCAUUGAUAAAUUGUUGAGAGAGUGUUGAUGCAUAUAUUCUUACUUGUGGAUGUUAUGCUUUGUUGAAAAAUUGUUGGAAGAAAAGUUUCUUGACAUUGAGAUAGUCUAAAUGUUUGUUGGGAGAAUUUUUAAAUUGUUCUAGAACACCUAUUCACCCCCCCCCCCCCUCCUCUAGGUGUAGUCCAUUAUUGAGAUUCACAUUUUCGCAUUAUAUUUUCAAUCCCAAAGACAGCUUGGUAAGAGUUAAAUGGCGUUCCAAAAGCAGACCGGUAGCAUGCUGGAGUACCUUCUCAAUUUCCGUUGGGACACUAUUACCAUUGACAUACUUCAAGCCUUUUUUUUGCUGUUCAAAUUUAUUUGCAAUUUCUGGUGGUAGUCGAGAUACAAAGUGUUUGUGAUGCCUGCCAAUAGUAAACCUGAAAUUCAUCAAUAAGAGGUUUAUCACUGAUGUUCCACUCCUCAUGAACUCAUUCACAAGUAUAACCUCUGGCAAGUACAGUUUAAGAGUCUCAAUGUGUUUGAAGCUGUGAACUUCCUUAACAAUAUCUUCCACGAUCACAUCCCAUCACUGAUCAUCUGGAUUCACAUGUAUGCCUAAUUCUUCCAAUUGAGUGAGUUCUGAUAUUGUGUUCGGGGGAAUCACUGUGUCCAACGACUGGUCAUUUUGUCCAGUGUGGUUACUGUACCCAUAGAAGGACACUUUCAGGCACUUGAGGUUGGUCAGUCUUCUGAUAUUCACAGGUAGGUUUAUAAUUUCGGUCCCUUCAAGAUCGAGCACCUCAAGAUUUCUAAGUUCUCCAACAUCAAGUGGUAACUCCAUGAGAAGUUGACAUCCUCUUGGAAGGAAAAUUCUGAGUUGGACCAAUUUAAAAAGAGAUGGUGGUAACAAUCUGAUUCCAGUGUUGGACAAGUCUAAGAUUUGUAGGACAGGCAUGCCUUCAAAGAACAUCGGAUGAAUAACUCUCAGACCAUUAUUGGCUUAUAAGAACAGUGCCCUGAGUUGAGGGCAAUCUGGACUUUUUGGUAGCUCAGAUAGUUUAUUGUUCAUCAAGUGCACCUCACUGGCUUUUUCCCAUUCCUCAUCUCUUGGUGGCUCGGUUAAUCCCUUUCCACCUAGCCAAAGAUAUAGUGACUCUCUUUCAAGUUCUAACAAAUUUAGCAAGACCUCAUGGAUUUCAUCCCGCAUUUUGACAAGAACAGAAUGUUCAUUCCAAGAACUCUCGAACAAGAAGGCGUCAAGAAGAUCCCGAACCAUCUCUUCUCCUUCAUCCACUUUUCUAAUUACGCUGCCUGUAAUCCACCUGCCAAUCAAAUCUACUUUCUCUAACUCUGUCCAGCGUCCCAUGUGUACAAAGAACUUCAAACAAUACAUUGCUGAGCCCAAACGCCCACAGAUGAAUGCUAAGGAAUUAAAUAAGACAUCGUUGUCUCUCAGCCAAGAAGUGGGUUGCAAGGCCAGUGCAUGAGAUGCAUAUUCCCAUGUGUGAACCUCAUUGACAUCUCUCAAGGCUCUAGCCAUUAGAACAAUGGCAAGCAAAUGACCCUCGCACUCUUUGACCGCACUCAUUGCUAGGCAUUGGAUGCCUGAAGAAUGCACAACAUUGCCAACAUCCAAGUUAACAGAUGAUCCUCCAACCUAAUCUCCAAAUCCACUUCUGUGUGAUUAAUUCUCCUUCCCAUAGAGCUAAUUGUACAAACCAUCUUUUGAAACGUCUGAGUUCCACGAAUUGGUCCCCACUUCGUUCGGAUUCGUUGAUGAAGCGACGUCAACACCAUCAAGAAGGAUCAAAAAGUUUUUGAUUUUCAGCAAUCCAUCCACUUCCUGUCUGCUGGAUGUUGAGAGACCCAGUUCUGUUGCAAUGCCAUCUUCAAUAUCUCCAGUAGUCUUACAAGACGAAGCCUUAACGUGAAUGACAAGAUCAAACAUUCCCUUUUCUUGCUGUGGAUUCUUCAAUCUUGACAUGAGGAACGCUGCAUUAUCUAUGCCGAAGAUAUAAAUCCUCUGAAAUUCUGGAGUUUCUAUAUCUUGUAUAAUUUGGCGAAUAGCAAAAUCAAUAGCCAAACUGUACACUUUUUGUAGUAGGUGUUCUACCCCAUAUAGUCGUCCUUUGCAUCUCCUCAAUGAUGUGUGGUGGAACAUAAGCUUCAAUAUCGUGGAUUGAAUGAGCAAGCAGUAGACUGAUUCUAGAAAGAGCUCUGAAACAUUGAUUACUUUCUCCCUGUAAACUGCUUCUCUUAGUUUCUGAUUAAUCGCCAAAACAUCAAGAAUCCAACCUGUGACUUUCUUGUAAGCAAUUCAUAAUGCAUAUAAACAAUCUUAAUUUGUAACUUAUGCCAUACUUACCUCCAGCCAUUGUUGGGUUGCAAGUCUUUGGUUUCCAAAACUCUAUCUCUCCUUAUGGAUGGUGUAGUUUCUGAAGAUUUUCAGCAGCAUGAGAGAGGAGCUCGGGACCAAGACCGAUAUUUAAAAUACAAAGAAAACGUGGCUUCCCAUCAAAGCCACGUUUCUCUGAUUUGCCACACGAUGAGCAGUUGAGAGAAACGUGCUCCUUAACAGCAGCUACAUGAUGAAGGACGUGGCCAAGUGUUGGACCACUUCAGGGCAGCGGAACGUGGGUGAUUUGAUAACAUUCUCCCACUUGGUCCACACUUUUAACCUCAUGUCCUAUCUUAGAUCAUCAUUUUUCCGCAUUAAGUAACAAAUAUAUGAAUCAUGGCGAUAAGUCCUCUAUAUAACGAGUGUUAUCUUCCAUGUAUUACAAUGUAUUCAUUUCUUAACAUUUUACUUUAUGUGGCAAUAUUGCUUAAUGAAUAAACCCUAUGUUCAUUCUUGGUCCAAUGAAGUUGAAUUUUCUCAAAAUUAAAUAAAGGUGCACAUCAAUAUGAGAAAACAUCAUAAUAAGAGUUUGUACAAUAAAACUACAUAAGGGAACUAAGUCCCAUGUUCAUUACAUGAUCCUUGAAUUUCAACGGUGGCAUGCCCUUAGUCAAAGGAUCAGCAAUCAUCAAUUCAGUGCUAAUGUGCUCAAUAACCACUUUCUUUUCUUUAACACGUUCGCUUAUGGCUAGAUACUUAAUGUCGAUGUGUUUGCUUCGACUUCCACUUUUAUUGUUCUUUGCCAUAAAGACUGCAGCUGAAUUGUCGCAAUAUAUACUCAAUGGCCUAGAUAUUGAAUCCAUAACUCUAAGCCCGGAAAUGAAACUCUUAAGCCAUACACCAUGUGAAGUAGCCUCAAAACAAGAAAUGAACUCAGCUUCCAUAGUAGAAGUAGCAGUCAUGGUCUGCUUAACGCUCCUCCAAGAUAUAGCUCCACCGGCCAAUAUAAAAAUGUAUCCAGAUGUUGAUUUACGUGAAUCAACACAGCCAGCAAAGUCUGAAUCUGAGUAGCCAACUACCUCUAAAUUGCUUGUUCGUCUGUACAUAAACUUGUAAUAUUUGGUUCCUUGAAGAUAUGUCAUCACUUUCUUUGCAGCUUUCCAGUGGUCUAUACCUGGGUUACUCUGAUAUCGUCCUAACAUUCCAACAGCAAAUGCAAUGUCAGGCCUUGUGCAGACCUGAGCAUACAUCAAACUUCCGACUGCAGAAGCAUAUGGAAUGUUCUUCAUUUGUUCCCUCUCAAGAUCGUUUUUCGGGCAUUGGUUCAGAUUGAACCUAUCACCCUUCACUAUAGGAGAAACACUAGGUGAACAAUUCUUCAUCCGAAAUCUCUCUAAAACUUUAUUGAUAUAGGUUUCUUGAGACAAACCUAAGAUACCUUUAAAUCUGUCUCUAUCGAUCUUAAUGCCAAUGACAUAAGAUGCCUCACCCAUAUCCUUCAUGUCGAAAUUUUUAGAGAGGAAUUGUUUCACCUCAUGAAGUAAACCCUUAUCAUUGGUUGCAAGUAAGAUGUCAUCCACGUAUAAAACAAGAAAACAAACUUUACUCCCACUGACCUUAAGGUAUAUGCAUUGAUCCAUAACAUUUUCAACAAAACCAAAUGAAGAAAUUAUGUUAUGGAAUUUUAAAUACCAUUGGCGGGAUGCUUGUUUUAAACCGUAUAUGGAUUUCUUAAGCUUACAAACCAAUUGCUCACCAUCACUAGAGGGGAAUCCUUCAGGUGUUUCAUGUAANNNNNNNNNNNNNNNNNNNNNNNNNNNNNNNNNNNNNNNNNNNNNNNNNNNNNNNNNNNNNNNNNNNNNNNNNNNNNNNNNNNNNNNNNNNNNNNNNNNNGAAGACAACUUCAUUUGUUUGUUUGGAUAACAUGAUGAUGGGAAAGAAAUUAAAGACCCUUUAGUGAAGGUAUUUGCAUUGUCUUCCAUUGGUCCUUGAUAGGCUUUAUUGAAUGAUUAAGCUUUAGAUAAGGAAAGAAUAAAAAGAAGAAGGAGACAAGUAGUGGUUGUGGCAAUCAAGAUGAGACCCAAAAAUGAAUGGUCUACAUGUGAUGUUCCCGAAACUAGGGAAAAUGCAAGGAAGAGAAAAAGCAAAAGAAAAAAUAAAGAAAAAUAAAAAAUAGAUUAAGAGUUGAUAAAUUAUUUUAUUUGCUAAUUCAAACUCAUUUUACUUAUUUUGACUAAUCAAUAUAAAGAUUAAAUAAUUUUAAAAUGCAUAAGUUGUAAGCAAUUCAUAAUGCAUAUAAACAAUCUUAAUUUGUAACUUAUGCCAUACUUACCUCCAGCCAUUGUUGGGUUGCAAGUCUUUGGUUUCCAAAACUCUAUCUCUCCUUAUGGAUGGUGUAGUUUCUGAAGAUUUUCAGCAGCAUGAGAGAGGAGCUUGGGACCAAGACCGAUAUUUAAAAUACAAAGAAAACGUGGCUUCCCAUCAAAGCCACGUUUCUCUGAUUUGCCACACGAUGAGCAGUUGAAAGAAACGUGCUCCUUAACAGCAGCUACAUGAUGAAGGACGUGGCCAAAUGUUGGACCACUUCAGGGCAGCGGAACGUGGGUGAUUUGAUAACAUUCUCCCACUUGGUCCACACUUUUAACCUCAUGUCCUAUCUUAGAUCAUCAUUUUUCCGCAUUAAGUAACAAAUAUAUGAAUCAUGGCGAUAAGUCCUCUAUAUAACGAGUGUUAUCUUCCAUGUAUUACAAUGUAUUCAUUUCUUAACAUUUUACUUUAUGUGGCAAUAUUGCUUAAUGAAUAAACCCUAUGUUCAUUCUUGGUCCAAUGAAGUUGAAUUUUCUCAAAAUUAAAUAAAGGUGCACAUCAAUAUGAGAAAACAUCAUAAUAAGAGUUUGUACAAUAAAACUACAUAAGGGAACUNNNNNNNNNNNNNNNNNNNNNNNNNNNNNNNNNNNNNNNNNNNNNNNNNNNNNNNNNNNNNNNNNNNNNNNNNNNNNNNNNNNNNNNNNNNNNNNNNNNNNNNNNNNNNNNNNNNNNNNNNNNNNNNNNNNNNNNNNNNNNNNNNNNNNNNNNNNNNNNNNNNNNNNNNNNNNNNNNNNNNNNNNNNNNNNNNNNNNNNNNNNNNNNNNNNNNNNNNNNNNNNNNNNNNNNNNNNNNNNNNNNNNNNNNNNNNNNNNNNNNNNNNNNNNNNNNNNNNNNNNNNNNNNNNNNNNNNNNNNNNNNNNNNNNNNNNNNNNNNNNNNNNNNNNNNNNNNNNNNNNNNNNNNNNNNNNNNNNNNNNNNNNNNNNNNNNNNNNNNNNNNNNNNNNNNNNNNNNNNNNNNNNNNNNNNNNNNNNNNNNNNNNNNNNNNNNNNNNNNNNNNNNNNNNNNNNNNNNNNNNNNNNNNNNNNNNNNNNNNNNNNNNNNNNNNNNNNNNNNNNNNNNNNNNNNNNNNNNNNNNNNNNNNNNNNNNNNNNNNNNNNNNNNNNNNNNNNNNNNNNNNNNNNNNNNNNNNNNNNNNNNNNNNNNNNNNNNNNNNNNNNNNNNNNNNNNNNNNNNNNNNNNNNNNNGCAGAAGCAUAUGGAAUGUUCUUCAUUUGUUCCUUCCAGAUCGUUUUUCGGGCAUGGUUCAGAUUGAACCUAUCACCUUCACUAUAGGAGAAACACUAGGUGAACAAUUCUUCAUCCGAAAUCUCUCUAAAACUUUAUUGAUAUAGGUUCUUGAGACAAACUAAGAUACCUUUAAAUCUGUCUCUAUCGAUCUUAAUGCCAAUGACAUAAGAUGCCUCACCCAUAUCCUUCAUGUCGAAAUUUUUAGAGAGGAAUUGUUUCACCUCAUGAAGUAAACCCUUAUCAUUGGUUGCAAGUAAGAUGUCAUCCACGUAUAAAACAAGAAAACAAACUUUACUCCCACUGACCUUAAGGUAUAUGCAUUGAUCCAUAACAUUUUCAACAAAACCAAAUGAAGAAAUUAUGUUAUGGAAUUUUAAAUACCAUUGGCGGGAUGCUUGUUUUAAACCGUAUAUGGAUUUCUUAAGCUUACAAACCAAUUGCUCACCAUCACUAGAGGGGAAUCCUUCAGGUUGUUUCAUGUAAACCUCCUCCUCUAGCUCUCCAUUAAGAAAUGCAGUUUUCACAUCCAUUUGUUGCAAUUCUAAAUCAAAGUGGGCUACUAAUGCCAAUAUAAUGCGCAAGGAAUCUUUCUUAGAUACAGGAGAAAAGGUUUCCGUGUAAUCGAUUCCUUCUUUCUGAGUGAACCCCUUUGCAACAAGUCUGGCCUUGUAUCUCUCAAUGUUGCCUAAUGAGUCUUUCUUUGUCUUAAAAACCCAUUUACAACCAAUGUUUUUCACACCAUUAGGCAACUCAACAAGGUCCCAAACACCGUUGCACUUCAUGGAACUCAUCUCAUCCUUCAUGGCAUUGUACCACAAUUCAGAUUCUUUGCAACUCAUGGCUUGUGAAAAUGAUUCGGGAUCAUUUUCGGCUCCUAUAUUAUAGUCAGAUUCUUGUAGAUACACUACAUAAUCACUAGGAAUUGCUGACCUCUUAGUUCGAGCAGACCUUCUUAAGGUUGUACCAAUAUCUUCCGAGGAAGUAUGAGGUUCAACUUGUUGUUCAGAAGUGUUAGGCAACUCCUGAUCAACUUGGUCUACUGGAAUGUUGUCAACAACUUGUGGAACUUCAAUGACUGGUUGAACUUCAUCGAUUGUUCGUUCAACACCCGUUUGUACUUGAGGGGUGUUAUGAACAAUAAACAAUCUAUCGCUUGAAGUGGAAGGUUGAGACUCUGUAUGAUCAAUAUCAGAAACUAUGUUCCUAAAUUGAUCGCUCCCACUGACCAAGUCAUAUUCAAGAAAUUUAGCAUUUCUUGAUUCCACAAUCCUAAUGCUGUGAGAUGGACAGUAAAAUCUGUAUCCCUUAGACUUUUCAGCAUAUCCAAUGAAAUACCCACUAAUAGUCCUUGGGUCCAGUUUCUUCUCCUGUGGAUUAUAAAUUCUCACUUCAGACGAGCAUCCCCAAACGCGCAUAUGUCGCAAACUCGGUUUCCAACCUUUCAAUAACUCAAAUGGCGUCUUUGGGACAGCCUUGGUUGGAACUCGGUUUAAUAUAUACACAGCUGUCUUAAGUGCUUCAGUCCACAAGAAUUUAGGAAGUUUUGAGCUGCUAAGCAUACUCCUCACCAUGUCCAAUAAAGUUCGGUUUCUUCUUUCUGCUACACCAUUUUGGUCUGGAGAACCAGGCAUGGUGUAUUGGGCAACAAUCCCAUGCUCUUGAAGAAACUUCGCAAAUGGCCCAGGUGAUUGUCCAUCUUCCAAGUAUCUACCAUAAUAUUCUCUACCUCUAUCUGAUCUCACAAUCUUAAUUUGUUUACCAUAUUGUUUCUCUACUUCUGCCUUGAAGACUUUAAAGGCAUCUAAAGCUUCAUUUUUAUUAUGAAGUAUGUAGAGAUACANNNNNNNNNNNNNNNNNNNNNNNNNNNNNNNNNNNNNNNNNNNNNNNNNNNNNNNNNNNNNNNNNNNNNNNNNNNNNNNNNNNNNNNNNNNNNNNNNNNNUGAGAAACUUGGUACAUAAAAAGUCUUUUGCAAUUCUAAAACAAAACCACUAUUUAAAGUUAAAUAACAUAUCCCUAUUGCUUCCACAUGCGAGCCCAUCUUGUUUCCGGAUAAGAUGAAUUGCUCACUUGUCACUGGCUUCCUUAGGUUUUGCAUACCCUGCAAGGAAUUUGAAAUGUGGAUUGUAGAUCCAGAAUCAAUCCACCAUGUGUUGGUGUUUACAUUAACCAUAUUAGAUUCAUAGCAAACAAAUGAGGUAGGGUUACCUUUCUUCUCAAGCCAAUUCUGAAAUUUCAGACAUUUCUUCUUCAUGUGUCCUUUCUUUUUACAGAAAAAACACUUUUCGUCUUUCUUAAUGUCAGAUUUGGGAGGAAUUUGUUUCUUCCCUUUCUGACUAGCUUGAGAUUUUCCUUUCUUUCCUUUCCUUUGCGUCACCAGCAUGGCACUUUCUCCUUGUUCCAUCAAUAACCUUCCUUCCUCUUGAACACACAUGGUCAUCAAUUCAUUGAUAGACCACUUAUCCUUAUGUGUGUUGUAAGAGAUUUUGAAAGGUCCAUACUGAGGUGGAAGAGUGUUAAGAAUAAAGUGCACCAAGAAAGAUUCAGACAUUUCUACCUCGAGUUUCUUCAAUUGAGCCACAAUGUCCCUCAUCUCCAUGAUAUGUUCACGCACACCUCUUACACCGGUGAGCUUCAGGGAUGUGAACUUCAUAAUUAGGGUGCUUGCCAAGGCUUUAUCUGAAGUGACGAAUUGCUCGUCAAUAGCCUUUAGCAAUUCACGGACAUUCUCAUGUUGCUCGAUUGAACCACGUAUACCAGCACUGAUUUUUGUCUUAAUAUACAUCACGCUAAGGCGAUUAGAUUUCUCCCAGCGUUCGUACAAUAAAAUUUGUUCAGGUGUGCUGGUAUCUGUGAUCUUAUGCGGUUCAUCUUUCCUUAUAGCAUAAUCUAUGUCCAUGCACCCUAAUUGAAGAAGAAUUCUCUCCUUCCAUAUCUUAAAGUUAUCUCCUCUAAGUUCGGGAACCUCACAACGAAUAUCAGAUAUGCUAGGUAAAACUGCACAAAAGGAUUAGAAGCUUAUUAAAAAUUUGAGGCUUUAAUAUAAAUUCAUGCUUUACCAAUGUAGAACAUGCUUAAAAUUGAAUCUAAUUUUACUAAAAAUUGCCUGUGGGCUAAAUCUUUAAUUCAAUAAGAUUCAUUAUCUUUAUGAUAGACUUUAUCAAACUAUUUUAUUAAAUCAUGAAAUUUAUUCUAAAUAUAGUUUGAUAUUUUCUGUCUAUAAUCUUUAUGAUAAACUUAUUAAAUUAAUUCUUCCUAACUCCUGUGGGUAAAUUAGAAAAAAUUAAUUUUAAUAUUUUAUCCUAAUUAAUUAUAUAAACAUAAUGAAAACCCUGUGGGGUAAAACAUCAUAUUUAUAUAGUUAAUUACAAUUAAUGUCCAUAAUGCGAUCCUUAUUAAUAUAUAAUUUUUUAUAUAAUUAAGGAUGCUGUGGCUAUUCCUUAAUUAUUUAAAAAAUCAUAUGGAUUCACUAGACAUUAAAAUCAUAUGAUAUAAUUUUAAUAUAUCUAACUAAAUUUUAGGCAACAUUUGCAUGCAUACUAUAUGAUAUAAUCUUAAUAUAUCUAACUAAAUUUAGUCAACAAUGUCAACAAUUGCAUGCAUACUAUAUGAUAUAAUCUUAAUAUAUCUAACUAACUUUAGUCAACAAUGUCAACAAUUAGGCUAUAUUUUUACACAUACAAACAUAUAAAUUAAAAUAAAUAAUUUAAUUUGCAUGUAUAAAAAUCACACAUAAUUUAGAAUAAUUUAAAAGGAAUUCAUAUUAUGAAAGGGUGCCUAAAUCCAUAUAAAAACAAUUAAUUCAAAACCAAUAAAAUAAUUUAUCAGAUUUAACCCAUGGCCCAAUACACAAAGACCUUUAAUAAUUUUAUUGGUCACUAAUAAGCCUAAUGGGUCCAAAAGUAAAAACCCAAUAUCUCUCUAGUUUUUAUUUAUUUAUUAAUUUAUGUGUUCCAACAUUCAGCACGUUGGCAUCAUAACCACCCUAGUCUCCUGCAGCCGCAUCAUCCGCGGCACCAAAACAACACCUCAAAUGGCGCUUCUAGAACGCCCGAAAAUGGUGCCUGCAGCGGCGCUUGACUAGCUCCUGAAUGGCGCUUGCAGUGGUGCCUGAAUGGCACUCGGAACAGGCACCUGCAUUGGCGCUUGAACAGCGCCUGAAUGGCGCUCGUAACGGGGGCUUGCAGCGGCGAAGAUCAGCGCUUGAAUGGCACUGAAAUGAGUGCCUGAAUGAUGCUGGAAUGAGUGCCUGAAUGGCGCUCAGAAUUGGGGCUGAAUGAUGCUCAGAAUUGGCGCCUAAAUGGCGUUUGGAAAUGGCACUUGCAGCCCCUUUGACCAGCACCAGCAGCAGCGCUUUAAUGUCGCUUGAAUGUGGGGCCUGUAGUGGCUGAAACUGCAGCCCCAAAAGCACCGAAAAUGGCUCUUUUGGAACGCCUUAAAUGGUGCCUGCAGCGACGCUUUGAAUAGCACCUGCAGUGGUGCUUAAUGGUGCUCUAAAUGGGGCUCGAAAUGGCGCAUGCAGUGAAUAUAUAUAUAUAAUAUAUGUAUGUAGAUAGAGAAAGAAAUGGGUUUUUAUGGUGAAGAAAAAAUCUAGAUCAAAGACGUUGUAGUUGAAUGGGUGGCAUGGCUGUAGGUGGAAGUAAACCACAAAAGCUGAACCAUUUCACCCAAUUUCUUGUUCUAUUUGAUUUUAUUUCCAGAAAGGAAACAAUUAUCUAAGCAACUAACACCAAGGCAGAGGCAAGAUUGCAAGGCUCUGAUACCAAAUGUAAGCAAUUCAUAAUGCAUAUAAACAAUCUUAAUUUGUAACUUAUGCCAUACUUACCUCCAGCCAUUGUUGGGUUGCAAGUCUUUGGUUUCCAAAACUCUAUCUCUCCUUAUGGAUGGUGUAGUUUCUGAAGAUUUUCAGCAGCAUGAGAGAGGAGCUCGGGACCAAGACCGAUAUUUAAAAUACAAAGAAAACGUGGCUUCCCAUCAAAGCCACGUUUCUCUGAUUUGCCACACGAUGAGCAGUUGAGAGAAACGUGCUCCUUAACAGCAGCUACAUGAUGAAGGACGUGGCCAAGUGUUGGACCACUUCAGGGCAGCGGAACGUGGGUGAUUUGAUAAAUCUUUGAUGACAAAAUAAGGCGUAUGAUAUCUUUCUUCCUGUUCAGUUCCAAAGUUUUGUCCGUGAUUCUGUGUGUGGCAGAAACAAAGCAAAAUCAUCGUCAGAGGAUUAGUUUAGACCUGUAAAAGUUAGCCACUUAUCAUAAGUAUAUAUAGAAACACAAAGACAAGAAUCUCUUCAGAAUCCAUAAAGAACUAAAAAUUUAUUGUAUUCCAACACUCUUUAUGAAUAUUCACAGUUAAUAAAAUAAAAACUCUUAAUAAUGAAUAUGUAAACCUUAUAAGAUUUGACAACUCAAAAAUAAAAACUAAAAUAAUCACUCAAAAUCAAAAAGAAAAACCCUACCAAAACGAGAAAACCAACUGUAAAACUGCCUCCACAUUGCUUCAUACCAGAAAUUAUCAAAGACCUAUUUCUAGAAAAAAGCAAAAACAUACCUCCAAACUCUCAAAUUCAACAAACAGAGGGCACUGACUGCGAUCCCAAGAGACCCACUUCAGAAAAAUGGAAAAAGAACGCCCUCAAAGCUUCAGACAAGCAAGAACUCAACUACUGCAACAGAAAAGAUUAAAGUAGCAGGUUUUUUUUAUCUUUUUUGUUUGGUUUCAGAGAAAAAACUCAGAAAAGUGAGAAUGCGAGUGGGACAGAUGUUGAAGAUGGGUAGAAAAAAUUUCUCAGAAUUUUCCAUAAAUAAGAAAGGGAAUCGGAUUAUUAUGGAAGAGAUCCAUCUCAUAAAGUGCUCUUUAUUAAGCAUUCUAAGAGUUUGUUUCUUUAGCAAAUCUAUAAAAAAGAAUAAAUAAAUAAAUAAUAAAUAUAUUUUCAUGCCUUUUAAAAAAUAUUAUAAAUAAAUAAUUUUGAUCCAUGGGUUAAUUAUUCUUUAGAAGUAUUUUUUUCCUUAGAAAAUAAAAAAUAAAUAAAAAUAUUAAAUUUGUUUUUUAAGAAAGUAGUAUAAAUAAAUAAAUAAAAAGUUACUUAAUUGUUUGCAAUUUUCUUUUUUUUUUUUUAAUUAAAAUUGUUUUUUAAGAUAUUGUUUUAUAAAGUGAUAAGUAUUUUUAAAUAAAAUUUUUGUUUCUAAUUUAUGAUAGUAAUUUUUUUUAAUUUAAAAAAUUAAAUAAUAUCCAAACUUUUUGUAAGUUUUCAUGUUGUAGAGUGGAUUUUGAAAAAAAAUUAGAGAAUAUAAAGUAAAAGAGAAUUUAUGUACUUUUAAAAUAAAUAGUAUAAAUAUUGUGUAUCAAUUUAAAUAGGAAGGAAUUUAAGGAUUAAAAUAAAAUGAACAUUUUUAUGUUAAAUUCUUUAAAAAUUCUACUUUUCUUAUUGGAAGAGUGAGUUUUUGGGGUAUGGAAAUGGAUGGAAAAUUUUCAUUUUGAUGAAAAAAAAAAAGACACCUUUAAAUGACAUAUCUUGCAUCAACCCAAGUGACAUUUAGAAGGAUAAUAGGAAGAACUUUUUUCGGUACCUAUUCCAUUCCUCCCCUAAUAGGAAGAGUUUGGAAUAAAGAUAAAUCAGUUGGGGAGUGGUGUUUGGAAAGUUUUUAAAAACGCAAGACAUGUUUGGAUGAGUUUGAGUAUUAUUUUGUCUAGUUUUGUCUUGAAUAUAUGUAAUUUUAAAUAAAAAUUUAAAUGGAACGUGGUGAGGUUGGUAUGAGAGUUUUUCAUAUUUGUUCCACCCCAUCCCUUUUUAUUUAAUAUUUUUUUAUAUUUAAUGAAUUUCCGAUGGGGAAGAAAAAUGAGAUGCUUGAAAGAGGAAAAAAAUUAAGCGACAAAGGGAAGAAAAGAAUAAGGUAGAGGAAAAGAAAGUGACAAAAAAAAAAAAAAAACACUAAGGGAAUGACUUUUGGGUUAGUGUGAGAAAAAGAGAAAUAUUAGAGUUAUGUUUGGUUUUUAAAAAUGUUAAGAAAAGAAAAAUAUUGUUACAGAAAAUAUUUUCUCUUAUUUGAUCAUAUUUUGAAAAAUACCAAAAAAAUAAAAUAUAAUUAAAAUUAAUAACAAACUUAUGUAUUUUUAAAUAUUUCAUCUUUAUAUCCAAAAGUUAAAAUAAGUUUAAAGUAGCAUAUAAAAAAAAUUAUUGAUUUUAAAUUUAUUUUAUUUUUUAUUUACUUUUCCUUUUUUUUUUUCCCCUUUGUAUUUUUCCUUAAAUUUCUUAGGAGCCAAACAUAACCUAGAGAUUUAACAUAGUUUGAUGUGUUUAUAUUAUAUUAUUAAAAAAAUAUUUAAAAAAUAAUACAAAAUUAUAUAUUUGGAAGGGAAAAAGGUGAGGUUGAAAUAAACCCCCACCUAUUUGUCUUACUCAAUAUGUCUUUAUUUACUUUUCAAAGUCUUACUGUUUUUUUUUAUAUAAUUAUUAAGUAUAGUGCUUAUAUGCAAUAUUUCUUUUAAUUAUUGUUGUAAGAAUAAUAUAUAUAUUUUUAGUAGAUAAUAUUAAGCCCUAAUCACUAUUUUCAAAUCAUUUCUUUUAUCUUGCUUUUAGAUUAGUUGUUUCACUUUGAUUUAGUGUCAUAAAUCAAGUCGAUGCAAAGGUAAUGAAUGGAUUUCCAUAUUAUCUAUUUAAUCAACAUGAUGAAAUAGAUAAGAUAUAAAUGAUUGAUGUCAUAUAAUUUAUUCUAUUGAAUCUGACAUAAUUUGGGGUUAAUGAUAGACAUAAUUUGAGGUUAAUGAUAGAAAAGAUUUUUUUUUUCAAAUGAAAGACCUUAUAUUUUGUAUAUGGGGUUUGCCCUUGUGGUUUAAUAACGAUAUGAUUUAGGUUUUGGUAAAAAGAUUCUCUUGAAGCAAACUAACUCGUAUAUUUUACACAAGGCUUAUACUAUUGUUGGAAUGAACAUGAAUUUGGUUAGAGGAGAGUUAUGCCUCGGACAAACAAAAUUUAGAAAAUAAAAUUUGGAUACUUUGUAUAUGAGGUUUGCCCUUAUGGUUUAAAGAACGAUUUUUGAUAAAAAGAUUCUCUUGAAGCAAAUUAACUCAUAUAUUUUACAUGAGGUUUAUACUAUGGUUGGAAUGAACAUGAAUUUGGUUAGAGGAGAGUUAGAAAUGCCUCGAACAAACAAAACUUAGAAGAUAAAAUUUGGCAGAAGCAUGGUGUACUAAAAUUAUGUUGCAUCAUAUUAUAAAUGACUAAUAAUAUUUCAUUGUCUCCUACAAUUCAAUUCAAUUUUUAUUGGUGAAAGAAAACAAGAAAAUUCUUUCAAAUAACUUAUGAAUUUCAUUGAAUUGCAUGUACUAUAUAGAAGUCAUCAAACACUUUCUUUGGAUCUCUUGUUUAAGAAAGAAUUGCCAAAUUUUACUUAUGAUAAUGUUAUGUUUGGUUUUCAAACGUUUGAGGGGAGAAAAAUUUUUAGUUGUUCAUGAAAAAGUCGAAAAAAGCAACUUAUAUUUAUGAAAAUGCAUUUUUCCUAAUUUUAUUUUCAAAUUUGAUCAAUUAUCAUUUUAAUAUUAAAUGAAUUUUCAAAUACCAACUAUUAUAAAAUGUUACAUAUUAUAUCAUUCAUAUAUUAUAAUAUAUAAUAUGUGUAUUAUUAUUUCUUAUAUCAUUUUUAGGAAGUUUCCAAUAUUUUCAUAAAAUUUGAUUAGUUUUUAUUCUAUCGAUAUUUUGUGUUAAAAUAUCCACCAAUAUUUCCCAAUAUAUCCGUAAAAUUAAGUUAUCGAUAGAUUCCACCGAUAUUUUGUGUUAAAAUUAAGUAAAACACUUUUGGUAAUGGAUUAUGCAAAUUCUCCAUUUUUAGCCUUAGAAUUCUUUUGGUAAUGGAUUAUGCAAAUUCUACCUUCUUAGUUUUUUAAUAAUUCCUUUUAUAAGGAAGUCUAGACUAGAACUCUGGACUUCAAACCUUCUAAUAAUUACUUAAUAAUUUUAUAAGUUACAAUUUUAUUUUUGCACAGAAUCGUUAAACUUUAGCAAGAAUCUUGUUUAGCUUUUGUAGGGAAUCUUGUUAAAACUUUUUAGGGUUUUUUGUUCAACUUUUGUAAGGAAUCUUGUUAAAACUUUUCAGGGUUUAAUUUUGUUCAGCUUUUAUAGCGAAUAAAAUUUUACAAUGUAUUAAGCUUUUGCAAGGAAUCUUUUAGCUUUUGUAAGGAAUCUUUCAACUUUUGUAAGAAAUCUUAUUCAAUUUUUCAUUCAAAUUAUAGGCUUGUUAUUUGGUCCUCUACACAAUCUUCCUAGUAAUCCAAGUUAUCAAAAUCUUCAUUGUCUUAAUACAAAUGAGUGCAUCCUAUCCAUGGUUGAAUAAGUACUCUAUAGAUAUACCUUAUUAACCAAAAUUCAUUUUUUAUUUAAUCUAAAAACUAUAAAUUUUCAUAAGCUUCCUCUUGAUAGUUUUGCAUGUGAUAUGUAUGGGUUGAAAAUAACUGUUCAAUGGAUAGGGCUAUGCCUUGUUCUCCUCUAUGGCUAUGAUUGCAUAAGGGAAUAAGGAUAGGGGUCUUGCCCUAUAAUUCAUUAAGCCUCAAGAUGAGGAUGACCUCUCAAACAAUCCUAUGGCUUGUAAUAAUUUUCCUUCUAUGAUGGAAAAAACUACUUUAAGCAACCCUUUUUUUCUAUUGCUUUAUGCUAUUAUUGACCUUAAUUAAGAUUUCCAUGGGGAAGAAUAUUAUGAUGUACCAUGCUACUAUGUAUAUAAAUAGAUUUGCUUCUUUUUGUUGUGAAAAUGUGGAGUGUUUCCCAUGGAUGUUCUAGGUUUGGAUUAAGAGAAAUGCCCUUGUCCAAGAUGGUCGUGUAUACUCUAAAAAGUGUAUUUCUAAGGAUGAGAAUGAGAUAGGUUUUUUCAAGUACCCACCCCACCUCUAGUGAGAUGGGUUUGAAUUUAAAUAAAUGAAUUUAGGAUGAGAUUGAGAUUUUUUAAAAACCCAAGACAAGUUCAGGUAUUGUCUUGUCCCGCCUCAAUUAUAUAUAAAAUUUAAUUUCAAAAAUUAAAUUAAUUUCAUUUUUAUUUUCCUAUUUUUAAUAUAUAUAAUAAAAUACUUUUAAAAUAAGUCAUGGAAAAAUAUAAUAUUUUAAUUAUUCAUAAAUAUGUUUAUUUUAAUGUAAUUUAAAAAUUUUAAAAUAUUUAAUUUUUUUUAUAAAAAAAGGACAAACAAUUUAAACGAGGCGACUAUGAAAAUUUCUCAUACCCACCGCGCUUUGUUUAAUUUUUUAAAUGGGAUGGAGAUGAGAAAUAUUUUGAAUAAAUAGGACGGGUUGGGGAUAGGGGGAACCUGUCUAGAACUCGCACUAUUGUCAUCCCUAAGUAUUUUCUAUAAUAUGAUGGAACUUUGGAAUAGGAAAAUGGCUUCACUCCUACUAAAAUGUCUUGAAAGUACUUCAUUUGGUCUUAUCAUAAGAUAUCACCAAACCUGAUAUUCAAACUAUCCCAUGUACAUAUAGGGUUGAAUACCUGAAAAUGAGCACUCUACAUAUAGUCUAUCCCAAUUUCACAUUUCUCGAGUUAUUUCAGAUACUUCAAAGCAAAUGUGUUAUUCCAUAGAUUUACCAUGCAAUGAUCAACUUAGGAUGACAUGUUGACAUAUACAUUCUUAUAUUUCUUCUUUAUAUAAGAAUAAUCAUCUACCUCUUACAAAAAUAUUAUUGAGGAACAAGGAAGGCUGAAGGUUGAUUUCCUUUGGGAAUUAAUACUUGUUUCCUACAAGGUCAACCUAAUAUAUAAACAAAAGUUUACUCAUAAUACUCAUAAAAUAAAACUCAUAUUAAUCAUGGAUGGUCAACUAUAAAAGAAUAAGCAUAGAAAGACAAGCUAUUAAGGUGUCAUUUGGAUACACUAUCUUUUUUCUAUUUUUAAAAAAAUUUAAAGUAAUAAUAACUUAUAUAUAAAACAUAAUAUAUCUUAUGCAAAAUAUAUAAACUAAUGUUAUUUUCUUAAAAAUUAAUUUCAAAAUUCUUGAAAUUCGAGGUAGUAUUUUCUUUUAAAAAUCUAGUAUAUCCAAAUCAUGACUAAAUUAAAACAAAAGAGCUAGAAAUUAUUCAUAAGAUAGAUGGUACCAAUUCAUAAAUAUGCCCUUUCACAAUUUGUUAACAUUAAAAAGGGUUUUCUUAAUAAUUGAUUAUUUUUUCUCCUAAAACAAGAAUUCUAACUAUAGGCUAUGAUUUUCUAAUGACUAGGUCAUUUUUUUUUGUUCAAUUGCUUCCAAAGAACUUUUCAUGCAGACUUAUACAAAGAUAGAGAAAAUUAGAAGCUUUGCAACUUAUAUGAAGUAAAGGAGAUUUUUAUUAAUUUAAUGUAUUUUACAUUUAUUAACUCCAUAAAACCAGAGUAAUCAUUUUACCUCAAAACUUAAUCAAUCUUAUUGAUUCCCAAAACAAGUAUUUUUGAUAAAUAUAGAAUAUGAUAUUAUAAUCAAUAUUUGCUUUAAUAUCUUUUCAAUUUGGUUACUCAAUGCCCUUUUUCAAGAUUAUACUCGUACACUUUCGUUAAUUAUAUCAUGCUUUGAAUUUUUUUUUUUUGUGGAGAAAAUUUAUAUUUAGACAAUACGUUUAAUUCACUAAUUAUGAAGUAUCUAAUUAUCAAGUGCAUCAAUAGAAAUAUUUGUUUUUUUUUUUAUUUGAACCAAAAUUUAUUUUUUGGACCCUUGUCAUCAACAAGAAAUUCCAUUACUUUCUAAAUUAUCAUUUGGGUGUUCCUUAGGCCCAUCGAUAACACCACCUAAGAGGAUUGUUUGAUAUUUGAAUGAUCUCCUACAUUCCAAACUAAGGAAUAAAAUAUUGGAAAAAAAAUUCUAGAGAAACUUUUAAUGGAAUAAAAAUUGAUCAAAACGUGUAAAAAUAUUGAAAAAACUAAAAAUAAUGAUAUGUGCUUCAUAAUUUUUUUCAUAUUUUUAAGACAUAAAUCAUAAGAAAAGUAUCAAUUUUCUUGAAGAAAAACAUCAAAAGAAAUGAAGACAUACCCAUCAUUAUUUUUAAUUUGUAUUUUUAACACAAGAACCAUAACAAAAGUUACCAUUCUUCUCUGCCAUUUGUCCAUGAGUUGUUCAUCUUCCUUGCUACAUCUUUGGAAAAUCAACCAAAUAUGGUGGAGGAUUCCUCUCCAUAACCCAUAUUUGGUUGAAAAGAAAAAACAAAACAAGAAAAACGGAAAACUUUAUUGAAACUAAGAAUGACGAUGUUAUCUCCUAAAAUGCAUAUGAAUCCUCUCCCAAUGGUAAACAAAAGGUUAAUAAAUAACUUUCAUGCCUAACCCGAAUUGGAAAACACAAAAACAUCGCAAAAAAUGGCAAAGAAACCUUAAAAAAAAAAAUCAAGUGUCAUAAUAAAAUUGACAAAGUUAAUUUAACUUUAAUUUAAAAAAAUUAUAAAAAAAUGGUGUUUAAUUUAAUUUACCCUUUUGACUUAUGGGGUCCGAAAACAGUACUAUUGGUGGGGAAGGUUGAUGAAGAGUUGACUUUUGAAAAGACCCAUAAGAACAAAUUUUCAUAUGAUGAGAGCAUAGAUAUUAAUGAGGGUUAAAAUGGAUAUAUAAACAAUAAAAAGGAGGCAUACAACAAAUAAUAUGAACUACCUGUAUUAGGCUCCACCCACAGCUUGUCAACUUCCUAUAAGAGUAAGGCAUGAUUGAGAAGCGAAAAACAACCAUUGGGAUUUCAGUGGAGAAUGCCAGUGAUUUCGACACUAAUGAUCUCAAGGCAAAUCCAAUCCUAGGGAGAUCAAUGUGGUUACCGGCCCAUGUCAGUAUAUAUUUAGCUUGAAUAGUUAAAAUUUUGAAAAAUGUACAAACCUCAAUUUAUUAUUAUUAUUAUUAUUUUUUAAAUCUUUUGAGUUAUAAUUUUAAAUUUUUAUAAUUUGAAGAGUAAAAAAUUUCAAUUUUAAGCAUUAAAAUCUUAUCAGACCAAUCUAACUAGCUUUGAACCAUUGCAUGUGACUCAAUUUAAGUUCCUUUGAUUAGAAAAGCAUCAUGUUAUUUUGAAAGAAAACCUAAAAAUAUCUAGAUUUCAUGUUCGGAUCUUAUUACUAUAUAACCCAAACGAGUUAUAAUCAAGCUUCAAGCUCUAAAGUUAUGCUAAUACAUAAUUAAAUUUAUGUUAUAAUUAAAACUACAACUUGGACGGAUUAAUGACUAACCCAAAUCCAACCUGAAUUAAGAAACAAUUAAUCUGAACUCAACCCAACUUGAAAUCUAACCCGAGAUACUCAAUCUAAGCCCAACCUAACUUCAAUUUUUUGAGUUCGGGUUGUUCAAGUUAGACUUGGGGUUGAUCGGGUUAGAUUCAGGUUGAUCAAAUUGAAUAAUUUAAAACCCAUUUAAAAUAUUUUUAAAAAAACUUUUAUGUUAUUUUAUUUAAUUUAAAUGGAGAAUUGUGUAUAUUUUACAAUAUUAUUAACAAUUGAGAAAGGAUUAUUUAAUUGUAAGUGCCAAAAAAUUAUUCUUACGUCAAAGAAAACAUCUUCAAGGUUUAUAAACUUUAAACUUGACCUUAUUUGAUAAACAACUUUUAUCAAUAUUUGUUCAUUGAAGUCACAUCUAAAAUAUUUAAGAAAGUGAAGUUUACUUUUUAUUUGAAAAUUAUAUUAUCUUUUUUGACAAAUAUUUUUGAAAUAACUCAACUACUUGAUCAUUCAAUUCAUGAUAUUGAAGCUUAUAUUCUACCUUAUGUGAUUAAGGAGAUGCAAAAGGAGACUCUUGAGAGUAGAACUCCUAAAAAGGAAGUGUAUAAUUUGGCUAUUAAUUUUGCUACUCCCCAAAUUUUAGAAUAUAUAAAAAUUCUCAAAUUUCGGAGAAAUGAGAUUUUAGGAGUGCUAGAUGACACAAGACCAUUGUCGAAAUUGAAGAUAGUAUCAUAAGAGAAUUGGGACUCGCAAAAUGGAGCACACAAUAAGGAAUGGAUAAAUUAUUGCAAAAUAAAAGCUUUUUAAUCCUUCUAAGUAACGUUGAUUUUUGAUGAUUUAAAAGAUACUUUCUACAUAUACACUUCAUACAGGCUGUGACAAACGAUUGGAUUUGGAGAUUAGGUUGAAGGUUCCUCCCUUUGGGGUCUAAAAACAAUACAACUGGUUGGAAAGGUAGAUGAAGAGUUGACUUCUAAAAAGACCCAUAUGCCCCUUGAAAAAAUUCUCAUAUGAUGAGAGCAUAGAAAUUUAUGAGGGUUCAAAUGGAGAUAUAAACAACAAAACGGAGGUAUGCAAUAAAUAAUAUGAACUACCUAUAUUAGGCUAGGCUCCACACAAAGCUUCUUGUAGAGGUGAGGCAUGAAUAGCAUGAAUAGGAAGCGAAAAACGACUCUUGUUUCAGUGGAGGAUGCCAGCCACCGUAAAGCCGAAGUCAAUCCUGACCCGACCAUGUAAGCAUAUAUUUAGCUUGUAUGGUUAAAAUUUUGAAAAAUGUAUAAAUUUUUUUUUUUUUUUUUUUAAGUCUUUUGAGUUGUAAUUCUAAAUUCAUGUAAUUUUAAGGAUCGAUUUGUUCAAUUUUAAGUAUUAAAAUCUAAUUGAACCAAUCUAAUUGAUUUGUAACCAUUGCAUGUGACUAGGUUUAAGUUCCUCUAAUUAGAAAAUUGACUAUUUUAUGUUAUUUUGAAAUAUAACCUAAAAUAGCUAGAUUUUAUGUUAGAAUAAUUUAUACACAAACAUAAAAAGUAUUGUAUCUUGUUUGGCAUCUAAUACAAUGAGUUUGAGAAAAAUAUAAACAAGUUUGUAAAUCUUUUUAUCAAAGGAGGAUUUGAGUUUGAUUUUAUCUCGUCCUGAUUAUAUAAAUAAAAAAUUAUUUUAAUUUUUUUUCAUUUUAAUUUUUUAAAAAUAUAUUAAAUAUUACUUUUCAUAAAAAUAAAUUAUGAAUAUUUAUUAAUUUUAUUUUUUUUAAUAUAAUUUAAAAUGAAAAACAAAACUAAGAGUUUUGAAAAAAAAUAUAAAAAGCUAAAUGGGGCAAGAGAAUUCUCCCACCUUACAUGUUUAAAUUCAGUUUUUUGGAUAGAGAUGAGAAUGUAUAUAAAUAAAAAAAAGGUUGGGAUGGGGUGACCCGUCUUUCGCCUCUUAUCAUCCAUAAAAAAUUAUUUUUGAAAGGAAAUAAUAUAUACAAGACACUCGUGUCCAUAUUUCUAUAUGAAUAAUCAUCAGGUUGAUUUUAUUUUAUUUUAUUUUAUUUAGUUUUUAUAAUGGAAUACCACAAAUAUGAUAUUUUACACUUUAAAUUGAAGAGUUGUAUUUUACAAUAUUAUUAACAAGUUUAUGUCUUUGAGAAAGGAGUAUUUAAUUGAAAGUGACAAAAAAUUAUUCCUACAUUAAAAAAACAUCCCCUAGGUUUAUGAACUUUAGAUUUGACCUUAUUUGAUAAACAACUUUUGUCAAUUUUUGUUCAUUGAAGUCACAUCUAAAAUAUUUAGGAAAGUGAAAUUUACUUUUUAGUUUUUAUUUGAAAAUUAUAUUAUCUCUUCUAAGAAAUAAUUUUUAGAAAGCAUUUCCCAAGAGUAAUAUAUAUAUAUAUAUAUAUAUAUAUAUAUAUAUAUAUAUAUAUAUAUAUAUAUAUAUAUAUNNNNNNNNNNNNNNNNNNNNNNNNNNNNNNNNNNNNNNNNNNNNNNNNNNNNNNNNNNNNNNNNNNNNNNNNNNNNNNNNNNNNNNNNNNNNNNNNNNNNUAUAUAUAUAUAUAUAUAUAUAUAUAUAUAUAUAUAUAUAUAUAUAUAUAUAUAUAUAUAUAUAUAUAUAUAUAUAUAUAUAUAUAUAUAUAUAUAUAUAUAUCGCCACUACUAUCUAGUUGAUUAAUAUCAUCUUCAUUAUCUGAAUCAGUCCUUGAUUCAGAAUCUGAGGAGCUUAACAUUACCUUACAAAGCAUAUUUUUUAGGUCAUCUGAGACACUUAAGUUAUUAAUCUUUUGCUUAACUCUACAAUCUUUCUUAUAAUGGCCAACUUUGCCACAUUUAAAACAGAUCAUUGGCUUAACAUCUAAAGGAGUUUCUACCUUUUUCUGGGCAUCCUUGCUUAUUCUCCUUUGGACGUGUCUUGAAUGCUUGGUUUCAUUCAUCCUAUAAUUACCAUGAGUACCUCUUUUACUAUGGUAAAAUUUAUCUUUGCUAGGUUUCCUGUUGGUUUGUUGCUUAGAGGGAGGCUUAGUUUCCUUUUGGCUGAAACCAAACUGGCUACAGAAUGAUCCAAAUUCAUUCUUGUAGAUUUUCUGUUCAUUCUUCAUUUGUUGCUUGAGCUUGAAGUCAUUGCACAACUUAAUCCCUUCAGCUGUGACAAUGCUUAUAAUCUCACCAUAGGUUAGCUUAUCAUAAGGGAUUUGUCCAUUAUACUGUUCCCUUAUCUUGAUCCUAAUUCUCUCAGAGAUGAAUUUUUCUGAGAUGAAUUUUUCUUUCCAAAAAGACUGGUUACAGUCUGACCUUAGCAUGACUUUGGUUAGGAAGACUUCCUUAUACCACCUAAAAUCAUGAAGCUUGGGACACUUAAGGUUGGUUAAGAGAUCUGCAGUUUUAUCCUUAAUUUUUGCACGAUCUCCAAUGAAGUGCUUGGAUAUUGAGUAGAUAAGAGUAGCCACUGCAUCCUCUAUAUCUUGGCCAUCUUCGUCCUUAACAACUUCAUUAUUUUCAUUAAUCUUAUAGGCUUUUAGGAUACUAUUUCUAUCCUCAAAAGUGAGAUAAUUAUCCCACCAACCCUUAAGCUGACCCGUAAACCCAGCAACAAUGGUCUGAGCUACAGCAUGAUCUGGCAGUCUAUUGUUUAACUUAUAGGCUGUACUUACCAUGGUCAUUUCUUGAAGCUUAGUGAGUAUGUUAUACUCGGUCAUACCGUCUAUGUUCCAUUCAUAGAUAGUACCACUGGUGUAUGAGGCUUGAGUAUACUGAUUUCUUUCCUCAAACUGCAUGUUAGGAAAAGUAGGCCUAGGAUAGUAAUUCCUAGUCUUAAAGGCUUCCAAGUUGUUAAUAAUUUGAUUAUGGGGUUCCUCAAACAUCUUAAUUAGUUCAUCAGCUUCUUCUUCUGAACUAAUAUCACCUUUAACCAUAUUGAUUCUCUUAUCAGGUUGAACAGUCAAAAGGGCAACAAGAUUAUCCUUAAUCUUCUGAUUAAUCCUAUCAACAAAAGCCUGGUUGAUUUGGGGAUUUUCCUCGAAUUCCUUAGAAAAUUCAAAGGACUUAGUUUUAUCAGUGCUCUUAGUGUUGUUAAUACGCUUACAAGGAUAAUAUGGAUAUUCCUCUUGUUUGAAGAGUUCAAACCAAAUCCAAAACUUAAUAUUUUUCUUUUCUUGUCUUAAGUAAGCAUAGAAUUCUUCUUGGUAAAUGGUUCUAAUGACCUUAGGGACAGUGCUAAAGAACCAAUCAUUUCUUUGCUUAUUGAUUUCAGAAUAGAAGUCCUUUCUUAAGAGAUCCUUGUUGAUCUCAAAGUCCUCAUCGCUUAGGCUUAUUGUGUUAAUCAUCUGGGAAUAGGUAGGAGACAUAACAGGGGACUCAUCCUGUUGGGAUUCCUGAGUAGACUCAUUUUCUUCACUGUAAAAUGGUCUAGCCACGUUGAUGUGACUUCUAACACCUGUUAGCUUAAUGUUCUUAGGGUUUCCUGAGCUGGAUCCUUCUUCUUCCCUAGUGGUUCUAACUGGGAUGGAAGAGCUUGAAGCUCUAGAGGGUUCAUAAACAGAAACUCUAGGGCUGCUUGAGUGUCUGAAAGAUUUGGAGAAGACCAGUUCUCCUCCUCCAUCUGGAUAUUGAACUAUUUGUUCAAUACUUUCAGAACGCUGUGCUAUGGCUGGAACAACAUUAGCAAAAUGCCAAUUUUCAGGGAAAUCAACAUCUUUCCACAAGAUCUUCUUGGGGAUGAUGAAAUCUGACUUAUCUAGCAUAUCUGAGUGAAAAUAGGUGGUCUCACCUUUAGGACUGGUACAAAGAGCCCCAGAUCCAACGCUUGUGUUCAUGCUCUUAUAGGCAAACCUGGUUAUGAUAGAAACAGGAUUGUUUCCUAGUUUGAUCUUAAAGCCAUGAGUCUUAAUAUGCAGGACAACGGAAUCUAAGAUGUCUGCAUCUCUUAUUCUAACUGUGAAGUUAGGAUAGCACUGGAAAUAAACCGGGCCAUCAUUCAGUCCAGCUUCGACUGCGCCUAUAAUAGAAUCUCGAUAUUUCAGAUGCCUAUUAUCCCUUAAACACAUGGCAAUAGAGGUGUUUAAACCUAAUCUUGUCAAAGGCUUAGCUGCUACUUGAAUCAUACCAAAGUGUAUGAAAUUAUAGCCAUCUUUCUUAUGCUUAUCAAUGGAUCUGUUAUCUAGAAGUCUUAUGACUUGGUCAUCUUGUUCUAAGCUGACUGACAUUUCAGAGGUCUUAAUGGUAUAAUCUGUGAAGAACUUAAAGGUUCAUUUCUUAUAAAUUUCUUGAUUAGACACCUUGGGUAACUUCCAAUCAUCUAAAUCAUUUUGAAUCUUAGGAUAAUUGAUCUCUUCACUGUUUACAACAGUAUCUUGAGAAUCGCUGGAUCUCUUAGACAUGGUUCUGAAAAUUGAACUCAUUUUAGGGUUUUUGAAAUAGGGCCUAAUAGCAGAUUGACAGACCUUAUGAGACGUCACCCCAACCCUCUUACAGCCUAACAAACGCCUAUCCACGGCUAACAACGGCUCAACCGGCAGGGCUCGCGCUCCUAGGCACACUGCUACCUAUCCUAGGAUAGGCCAAGAACACCCAAAACAAGACCCAACUUCCCUCCCACAUGGCUCUGAUACCAUAGACACCCAGGACAAGGUCAUAUGCAAUGAAAACAGGAAUUAUGCCAUGAUUCAAAACAAAGAAGAGGGUUAGAAAAUACAAAAGAUAUCCAACAAUGAAAUUUAAAGAGAAGAAACCAAAAACUUGUUAGUUCAUAAUAAGCUUAAAACCGACCAUGUAGGCGGUAUAAAAUAAAAACAUAAACUUAAAAACAAAGCUUAAUUAAAACCGACCAUGUAGGCGGUACAAGAUGAAAACAUAAAAUUAAAAUAAAAGCUUAAUUAAAACCAUCCAUAUAGGAGGUAAUCAAAACAUACUUAUAUUAUACAUAAGGAGAAAUAUGUUACAAUGGACAAAGGUAGGAAAGCUUGAAGAAAGCUUGAAAACUUGAAGGGCUCACAUGAUGAGAGAGAAAGAAGAGAGAAGGGAGAGCAUAAGCUUGGGAGAGAAACAGAACUAAAAUUAAGCGUGCUUACAAAUGGGGACCGAGCCUCCUUAAAUAGGCAAAAAAGGAAUGUUGAAUAGUAACCAUGAAUAGUAGACCCGUGCUUGAAUAGUGAAUAGUGAAUAUUGAAUAGUAAGAUUCACUUUUAUACCGAAAUCCCCCGAAAAACCAUCUUUCGGCUGAAAAGACCUCUGGCAGGCUGCUUUAAACUGUGUAUACAUAUGCUUGCUGCUUUUUGGAAUAGAAACUGCAAAGCUUGAAAUAUUCUUGUUGACCGGCCAUCAUGAGUAAUCCUUACGAUGUUCUUCAAGAAGCUUGAUAUCUUCAGUAAUAGUCAUAGCUGGAAGAGGGUCUAACUUCUUGCCACAGAAAAUUUGAUGACAAGAAUCUGCAGCAAUGAGAUAUCCCAUAUUUCUUGGAAAAGCCUCAAAAUCUCUGCAAAUAAUUCUGGCUCUCCAGUGAUUGAUUUGCUUAAUAAUGGGUUCAGCACAAAUAUCAGAAAAUAGCAGAGGGUUAGACAGACGAGUAGGUCUCCUAUUCUGAUAGUGAAGAGAAACAAUGUGCUGAGCUGGAAUAAGCUUGCCACUAGAAACCCACUCAGGAGCUUUGCUGAUGAUGAUGGCGUUCGCGAAUUUCUUGUUUAUUUUAAAUCCUUGGGUUAGGCCAAGAGCAAUUUUUCUUCCAAACUGGGAAACUUAGUUGAGAUCAGAACAGAUGAUUUGAUGAACCAGACCAUGGUCCAAAAGCUUUUCUGGAGUUAAUAGUAAAUCUUCACCCUUGAAUUUGAUGCUGAUUGGCGAAUAGUAUUGCAAGUCCAAGCAAACACGACUGAUUGUGAAAUUUCUGUUGCAGUUGCAAAUCAUUUUCUUAAUGCCUUUUUGGUACUGGAAAUGAUCUUCAAUCAUUCUGCAAAUUUUUGAAUCAUCAACUUCCUUAUCAGUAACCAAGCUUAAACCUGGGACCUUAAGACCAAUAUUGGUAGAAAGAUAGAGAUGAAGAUCCUGAAAGUAUGAAGAGAUGAAGCUCUGUCUUUCUUCUGCUGAGGACUUAGCCUUUUCCAAAAUUAGGAGACGUAGAUCUGGCUUAAGAGAGUAUAGAUUCUCUGUCUUAUGAUGAUACAUUCUUAGCAUACGGUAACCCAACUCUUCCUCACUCAAUUUAUCAUUCACCAGUGGGGUAGAAUGCUUAUUCUCACCAUUUUCCAGUGGGGAAAAUGAGGCUUGAGCUUUUAACAUGAGCUUAUGAAAGUCAACUAAUUCAAGUUUUCUUUCAAGAGUCUCAUACCUUCCCUGCCAUUCAAAAAUGCAAUUGAUAUAAUCAGAUAAAGUGUUAGUAUUGUUAAAAGAUGGAUUUGUGGGGAAGGAAUCUUCCACAAAAGGUAGAGAUUCCGAGCUUGAAUCUAUAUCCCUGCUAGGGGAUGCUGAAGGAAUGUGAUGAUUGAAGUGGCUGGAAGAACCUGCUACUUCAAAAUGGUCAUAAUAAGAUGGCAUGAAUUUCUCAGAAAGAGCUGAAUGGGGAUUCUUAGAAUCUGUAGGUUUAAUGGACCUAAAAGGUUGUUUGUCUUUCUUGGGUGCCAUGUUCAUGUGAAUCCUGCAAAUUCCAUGAGUUGAGUGAUUAGGAAUGGAACUUUCUCCUUUAAUAAGCUUAAUUUGAAAAUUAGGGUUUAAAAUAAUCCAAUCAAUUAAAUUAUGCUUAAAAGCUAUAUACUUAAUUGUUUUCUCAGAUGUGAAAACAACUUUUAAAAUUCCUUGAUUCAAAAUAUCAGUUUGAUAUUUUGAAAUACAUAAAUGAAUGCUUAAAAUAUCAUUUAUAAUGAGCUUAUGAAUGCAUUGGGUACCUAACAUCUUAGGUGGAUCAUCAAUCUUAACAAGAUUAAUUUCUUGAUCACAAGGAGUGAUGCUUUCAACAGGAUUAACAAAUUCAAAAAGAAUUUCCUUAUCAAAAAGCUUAGUUCUUAUACCUUGGUUAUCUACCCACAAUGGAUAAAUAGAACUUAAGAAGGGUAUUCCUAGAAGGGCUUUUUCCUUAAGAUCCUUAACAAGGAUAAAGGUUUGCUUAAUACAGACGUCAUGGUUAUGGAUAUGAACAUCUGUUAAUUUAUACUUAAUGGCAAGUCUUUUGCCAUUGGCUCCAAAUAGAGACAUACUAGUCUCUUCGCAUAAAGGAAUAGGUACAAGACCUUCUUGAAGGCAAUUUUCAGUUGCGCCUGAAUCAAUCAGAGCAAUAAUAUCAAAGACAAAUUUAUCUUUGACUACUAUAGUAAGGGAGACUUCCCACCUCUGGAAGAUAACCCUACUCACAGUAUUCAAAAAAGUAUCUGUCUCAUUAUCAUUAACAUGAGAAGAUUCUGGAAUAUCCAUAUGGAUUUCUUGGUUGCCAAUUCUAUUGAUUUGAUCUUGGAGAUCGGAGAGACCUAGACUUAUGAAUUGUCUUAACUCCUUAAUCUCCUUUUUAUGCUGUUUAACUUUUUCAUGAAGUUCCUUAAUGCUGACUUCCUUGGGAGACUGUUGGUCAAACCUGUUUAAGAUAUCAUUAAGGUUGUAAGGAUUAACAGUCUUCUUGGCUUCUACUUUAACAACAGAUUUCUUAAAAACUUCAUAAAGAUUUUGCUUAGUCUUUUCAUCUUCAACUUUUCUUAAAGUAUCUAGGAUAAAUUCCUGAUCUUGGCUUAUGACAUUUAUAGUAUUAGGACGACAAUUACAAUUACCUUUAAUACAUUCUGCUUGGUCACUAGAAGAUUGGCUAGAAACUUCACCACUACUGUCUAGUUGAUUAAUGUCAUCUUCAUUAUCUGAAUCAGUCCUUGAUUCAGAAUCUGAGUUUAACAUUACCUUACAAAGCAUAUUUUUUAGGUCAUCUGAGACACUUAAGUUAUUAAUUUUUUGCUUAACUCUACAAUCUUUUUUAUAAUGGCCAACUUUGCCACAUUUAAAACAAAUAAUUGGCUUGACGUCUAAAGGAGUUUCUAUCUUUUUCUGGGUAUCUUUGUUGACCCUUCUUUGGACGUGCCUUGACUGCUUAGUAUCAUUCAUCCUAUAGUUGUCAUAGGUACCUCUCUUACUAUGGUAAAACUUAUCUUUGCUAGGCUUCCUGCUUGGUUUUUGCUUAGAGGGAGGCAUAGUUUCUUUUUGGCUGAAACCAAACUGGCUACAGAAUGAUCCAAAUUCAUUCUUGUAGAUUUUCUGUUCAUUCUUCAUUUGUUGCUUAAGCUUGAAGUCAUUGCACAACUUAAUCCCUUCAGCUGUGACAAUGCUUAUAAUCUCACCAUAGGUUAGCUUAUCAUAAGGAAUUUGACCAUUAUACUGUUCCCUUAUCUUGAUCCUAAUUCUCUCAGAGAAAAGCUUGGGUAAUCCUGAGAUGAACUUUUCUUUCCAAAAAGACUGGUUACAAUCUGAUCUUAACAUGACUUUGGUUAGGAAGACUUCCUUAUACCACCUAAAAUCAUGAAGCUUGGGACACUUAAGGUUGGUUAAGAGAUCUGCAGUUUUAUCCUUAAUUUUUGCACGAUCUCCAAUGAAGUGCUUGGAUAUUGAGUAGAUUAAAGUAGCCACUGCAUCCUCAAUAUCUUGGCCAUCUUCGUCCUUAACAACUUCAUUACUUUCAUUAAUCCUAUAGGCUUUAAGGAUACUAUUCCUAUCAUCAAAAGUGAGAUAAUUAUCCCACCAACCCUUAAGCUGACCUGUAAACCCAGCAACAAUGGUCUGAGCUACAGCAUGAUCUGGCAGUCUAUUGUUUAAUUUAUAGGCUAUACUUACCAUGGUCAUCUCUUGAAGCUUAGUGAGUAUGUUAUACUCGGUCAUACCAUCUAUGUUCCAUUCAUAGAUAGUACCACUGGUGUAUGAGGCUUGAGUAUACUGAUUUCUUUCCUCAAACUGCAUGUCAGGAAAAGUAGGUCUAGGAUAGUAAUUCCUAGUCUUAAAAGCUUCCAAGUUGUUAAUAAUUUGAUUAUGGGAUUCCUCAAACAUCUUAAUUAGUUCAUCAGCUUCUUCUUCUGAACUAAUAUCACCUUUAACCAUAUUGAUUCUCUUAUCAGGCUAAACAAUCAAAGGGUCAACAAGAUUAUCCUUAAUCUUAUGAUUAAUCCUAUCAACAAAAGCCUGGUUGAUUUGGGGAUUUUCCUGGAAUUCCUUAGAAAAUUCAAAGGUCUUAGUUUUAUCAGUGCUCUUAGUGUGGUUAAUACGCUUACAAGGAUAAUAUGGAUAUUCCUCUUGUUUGAAGAGUUCAAACCAAAUCCAAAACUUAAUAUUUUUCUUUUCUUGUCUUAAGUAAGCAUAGAAUUCUUCUUGGUAAAUGGAUCUAAUGACCUUAGGGAUAGUGCUAAAGAACCAAUCAUUUCUUUGCUUAUUGACUUUAGAAUAGAAGUCCUUUCUUAAGAGAUCCUUGUUGAUCUCAAAGUCCUCAUCACUUAGGCUUAUAGUGUCAAUCAUCUGGGAAUAGGUAGGAGACAUAACAGGGGACUCAUCCUGUUAGGAUUCCUGAGUAGACUCAUUUUCUUCACUGUAAAAUGGUCUAGCCACGUUGAUGUGACUUCCAACACCUGUUAGCUUAAUGUUCUUAGGGUUUCCUGAGCUGGAUCCUUCUUCUUCCCUAGUGGUUCUAACUGGGAUGGAAGAGCUUGAAGCUCUAGAGGGUUCAUAAACAGAAACUCUAGGGCUGCUGGAGUGUCUGAAAGAUUUGGAGAAGACCAGUUCUCCUCCUCCAUCUGGAUAUUGAACUAUUUGUUCAAUACUUUCAGAACGCUGUGCUAUGGCAGGAACAACAUUAGCAAAAUGCCAAUUUUCAGGGAAAUCAACAUCUUUCCACAAGAUCUUCUUGGGAAUGAUGAAAUCUAACUUAUCUAGCAUAUCUGAGUGAAAAUAGGUGGUCUCACCUUUAGGACUGGUACAAAGAGCCCCAGAUCCAACGCUUGUGUUCAUGGUCUUAUAGGCAAACCUGGUUAUGAUAGAAACAGGACUGUUUCCUGGUUUGAUCUUAAAGCCAUGAGUCUUAAUAUGCAGAACAACGGAAUCUAAGAUGUCUGCAUCUCUUAUUCUAACUGUGAAGUUAGGAUAGCACUGGAAAUAAACUGGGUCAUCAUUCAGUCCAGCUUGGACUGCGCCUAUAAUAGAAUCUCGAUAUUCGAGAUGCCUAUUAUCCCUUAAACACAUGACAAUAGAGGUGUUUAAACCUAAUCUUGUUAAAGGCUUAGCUGCUACUUGAAUCAUACCAAAGUGUAUGAAAUUAUAGCCAUCUUUCUUAUGCUUAUCAAUGGAUCUGUUAUCUAGAAGUCUUAUGACUUGGUCAUCUUGUUCUAAGCUGACUGACAUUUCAGAGGUCUUAAUGGUAUAAUCUGUGAAGAACUUAAAGGUUCCUUUCUUAUAAAUUUCUUGAUUAGACACCUUGGGUAACUUCCAAUCAUCUAAAUCAUUUUGAAUCUUAGGAUAAUUGAUCUCUUCACUGUUUACAACAGUAUCUUGAGAAUCGCUGGAUCUCCUAGACAUGGUUCUGAAAAUUGAACUCAUUUUAGGGUUUUUGAACUAGAGCCUAAUUGUAGAUUGACAGACCUUAUGAGACGUCACCCCAACCCUCUUACAGCCUAACAAACGCCUAUCCACAGCUAACAACGGCUCAACCGGCAGGGCUCACGCUCCCAGGCACACUGCUACCUAUCCUAGGAUAGGCCAAGAACACCCAAAACAAGACCCAACUUCCCUCCCACAUGGCUCUGAUACCAUAGACACCCAAUAAGAAAAUCUAAGUAAUCAUCAGCCUUUUGUCUUCCAUCAAGAAUAUUUUACAAGCUUUGCAGUUUCUACACCAAAAGCAGCAAGCAUGUGUCUACUCAGUAUAAAGCAUCAUGCAAGAAGUCUUCUCAGCCGAAAAAGGGUUUUUCGGGGGAUUUCGGUAUAAAAGUGAAUCUUACUAUUCACUAUUCACUAUUCAAGCACGGGUCUACUAUUCAUGGUUACUAUUCAAGAUUCCUUUUUUGCCUAUUUAAGGAGGCUCGGUCCUCAUUUGUAAGCACGCUUAAUUUUAGUUCUGUUUCUCUCCCAAGCUUAUGCUCUCCCUUCUCUCUUCUUUCUCUCUCAUCAUGUAAGCCCUUCAAGCUUUCAAGCUUUCUUCAAGCUUUCCUACCCCUGUCCAUUGUAAAGAUAUUUCUCCUUAUGUAUAAUACAAGUAUGUUUUGAUUACCUCCUAUAUGGAUGGUUUUUAUUUAAAUUUUGUUUUUCAUUUUAUUUUAUGUUCUUGUACCGCCUACAUGGUCGGUUUUAAUUAAGUUUUAUUUCUAAGUUUAUGUUUUUUAUUUUGUACCGCCUACAUGGUCGGUUUUAAGCUUAUUAUGAACUAACAAGUUUUUGGUUCCUUCUCUUUAAAUUUCAUUGUUGGAUAUCUUUUGUAUUUUCUAACCCUCUUCUUUGUUUUGAAUCAUGGCAUAAUUCUUGUUUUCAUUGCAUAUGACCUUGUCCUGGGUGUCUAUGGUAUCAGAGCCAUGUGGGAGGGAAGUUGGGUCUUGUUUUGGGUGUUCUUGGCCUAUCCUAGGAUAGGUAGCAGUGUGCCUAGGAGCGCAAGCCCUGCCGGUUGAGCCGUUGUUAGCCGUGGAUAGGCGUUUGUUAGGCUGUAAGAGGGUUGGGGUGACGUCUCAUAAGGUCUGUCAAUCUGCUAUUAGGCCCUAUUUCAAAAACCCUAAAAUGAGUUCAAUUUUCAGAACCAUGUCUAGGAGAUCCAGUGAUUCUCAAGAUACUGUUGUAAACAGUGAAGAGAUCAAUUAUCCUAAGAUUCAAAAUGAUUUAGAUGAUUGGAAGUUACCCAAGGUGUCUAAUCAAGAAAUUUAUAAGAAAAGAACCUUUAAGUUCUUCAUAGAUUAUACCAUUAAGACCUCUGAAAUGUCAGUCAGCUUAGAACAAGAUGACCAAGUCAUAAGACUUCUAGAUAACAGAUCCAUUGAUAAGCAUAAGAAAGAUGGCUAUAAUUUCAUACACUUUGGUAUGAUUUAAGUAGCAGCUAAGCCUUUGACAAGAUUAGGUUUAAACACCUCUAUUGUCAUGUGUUUAAGGGAUAAUAGGUACCUCGAAUAUCGAGAUUCUAUUAUAGGCGCAGUCCAAGCUGGACUGAAUGAUGGCCCAGUUUAUUUCCAGUGCUAUCCUAACUUCACAGUUAGAAUAAAGUCACCAUGAUGUAAUUUUAAGUUAGUUAUACUUUAAUUUAGAUGGUUUGUUUUUUAAUUGAAUAAAAAAAUCAAAAUAUUUGACUUUUUUUCUAUUCAGAUAAAAAUAAUCUAUUAAUAUUAAUUAAUAUAAUUAAAAGUGAACUUGUUAUUAAUAGAUUCAGUUUAGUUAUAUUAGUUGAUAUAAAUAAGUUAUUUUUAUCUGAAUAGAAAAAGCUCAUAUCCAAAUAACAAACACCACUUUAGUCUCUCAAUUUUUAUUUUUUUUUAAACAAUGUUACCUUGAAAUUAUGCCUAAAUAUUAAAUAUGUAAUUUUGUUAAAAAAAAAAAAAAACCAUAUGAGAAGCACAUAUAUAUUGUUAUUGGUUUUAUGUGGUAUGUUUGGAUAAACUUAAUCUAUCCAUAUGUUUGUUAGGUGUAUACACAAUUGAGUCUAAUUUUGAGUAUUAAAAUUACUAUUGAACCAUCUAAUUGAUUUUCAUCUAGUCAGAACUAAGCAAACUAGAAUUACGAAACCCGGUGGUCCAACAAUCAUAAUAACUUGUCUAAAUUGGUGUACUUCACUUUGAUUUGGUAUAAUUUGAUUUAAUAUUAAGAACUAUUUUUUUUUUAUUAAUUUGGGUGAAAACCCAAUAGCUUACAAUUCAAUAUCAUGGGUUAAAGAACUUAAAUAAUACUACUAUAAGAAGUUGUCUUAAGAACUAUUCAAAUCAUAUCAUUAGAUUCAUUACAACUCAUACUAGUAAUUUUUUUUUAAUAUCUCAAAAUUUUAAAUAAUUUGUAAAAUUAUUACUUUUUUCUAUAAGAGUUUUUAUGUCUUAUAUAAAAGUUAUUGCUAUUAUCUAAUUUUAAAAUUAAAAAACAAAAAACAUAUACAAAUUCAAUAAAAAUAUAUUUAUUGAGUUCUAUGUUUUAAAAAAAAAAAUUCUUUUACUUUUCCUUCUUCAAUUUUUAUCCUUAUUUUCUCUCCAUUGUACAUUCUCUUAAACAUAUUUAAAUUCGAACAAAGUUUUAAUCUUCCUCCAUCUUCAUCUCAUUUUAUGUUAAGUAGUGAUUUGUGGUUGGUGACAAAGCUACUUCAGAGAUCCCUCUUGAAACAUUUUUCAAAUACAAAAAUUCAGUAUCUUUUCCCGAAUUUGUGAAUUAGCCAAGAUUCUUUUAUACACGAUAAUAAGUAGCACAUAAAUUUUAUUAUAAAUGCGAAAUACUUAUCAAGUAAAAAUGCAAGGUCAUUUCUCUGCUUGGCUAGUGAAGCAUGGGCUAGUUCAUAGAUCUUUGGGCUUUGAUUAUCAGUAUAAAAAUGGUUUUACCUUAACACUUCUAUCGAUUGCAUUUCUAUUAGAUCAUAUACAUAAAAAAAAAUAGUUAGUGUUUAAAUGUAAAUAAAAAACUAUUUUCAAAGUGUCAUUGAUACUAAAAAAAACAAACUAAAAUAAAUAUAUGAAGUGCAAAUCUAAGAAUUGGGUGAUUCUUUAGGUUUUUACUAAUUUUAAUCAUAUUUGAUUUUAUUUACUAUUUUUCAUAGUAAGAUUAAAUAGAAGAAAAUUAUUUUCCUUCAUAAUACAUAUAUAUUUUUUUUACUUUUUUUUAGUACAUUUUAGGAACCAAAUAUAGCAUUAAUGGGGUAUUUGUAAUUUCAUCUUCUCAAAUAUUUUUUUACCACUUUUAGGAGGUUUUGGCAGCAAGCUUUAAGAUGGUGGGCUGGAGCAGUGAUCUUCUCUUAAAGCAAGCAGCAUGUGACGACAGGUGGCAUCGGAUACUUUUCUUGAAGCAACCCGCAUGUGACAGGUGGUAUGGGAUUCAGAGGCCGUUGGGAGUAAGCUUGGGCAGUAAGAAAUCUGAGCCGGAGGGUGAGAAAAACAGAGAGGAGCGGAUGCAUUGUUUUUUUUACAGAGAACAGGGUGAGAGGUAAGGAUUCUGGACAGAAAACCAUGGUAAGCUGAGCUUAGACCAUGGGUGAGCUGUAAGAGUGAGAGAGAACGGAGGAGAAGGGUUUUCUAGAGAGAGCUAAAACAGAGGAAGAAAAAUGAAGUGAGAGCAAGGAGGAGAGAGUGAGCUGGGGAAGACAUCUGAAACAAGAGGAGCUAUAGGGAGGUGAUUUUGAGCUGAGCAGGGGAGUGAGUUGGAUUUUGAGAGGGUUUGAGGCUGUGAAAAUGAGCUGAACAGUGAGAGGGGCAGAGGAGAGAAAGGGAGUGGGUUUGCUGCGGUUUUGAUGUAAGCUUAGGAGAAGAAGCAGAGCAGCUUGAAGCCCAGUUAGUUCCGCUGGAGGGGAGCAUUUCCAGGUACGUUUGCUAGACCACGUAUUGAUUGCAGUUGAUUUUCUUUGGGUUGCUGUGACUGUGUUAUAAUAAAUCCAUGCUUGGUUCUUUAUGUGAAAUUUGUUUAAGAGUGAUCUAGCUCAUUUUUAGCUUUCCUUUGAGCGUCCGAGUCAUAUUUUCGAUCUUAUUUUCUCCUGGUUUUUCCCACCCACACAUAAGCCCAUCGACUUCAAUAUGAGAAGGGGCUCGGUUUAAUGUCUUCUUUGGCUCAUUUGAUGCUCUGUUUUUCCCUGAAAAUUUACCAUGAGUGGGUUCUACAUUUCAUGUGCACCAAAAAGGUGCUUAUGUUUUUCUCUAGUUUCUGAGUUUCUGAGCGCCCAAACAGUAAAAAUGCAGAAUUAGUUCUAUCGUUUUUGGUGUUUUUUUCACUUUAUUCAUGAAAUUUCUGAUUGUAUAUUGAAAUUGUAUAUUAUUACAUUGUUUUUGGUUGGAUGCUUCCUUUAAAUGCUUGAAAUCUUCAUUUUUUUUAUUGCCCGGAAUGGAAUUUUUGGUCAUAUUUGAUGAUAUAUGAGUGCAUAACAAAUGUUUGCAUGUCCAAAUUUACAAUAUUUUAUAAAUUUACACCUGCAACUUAGGUUGUGCCUCAUUUUUCUUUGGUGCUCCUUGGGUGUUGUCCCUUGCAGUUUAGUCACUAGGAGUCUUCUGCACCUUGUGCCUUUCAUAUUUCAUUGCAAUCCUAUUUAGGGAAAAUAACACUAACUUGCCUUGAGGUUUGUUGUUAGAAUUAUAGUGACCUCCCCUCACAUUUGAAAAAAGAUGCUAUUCUCACUCAAGGUUUGAUAUAACUAAAGCAGUGAUAAACACAACAGACAUGUAAUGUGGUCCGGUUCCUUUUUUACAAUCGUAAUUCUCAGAGGAUUUCUUCACCAAUGAGGGGUUUUUCUUUGAUUAUGUAGGAGUUUAGCUUUAAGUAUUCCUACAGUGGAUGAGUCUUUUUAAUUGGUCUUGUGGCUGAGAUAUGCAUCUGUUAUUUCCUUAGAUUACUUUUUCCAUUCGGUUGAUUGGGAGGAACGUUUCCAAAUGUGUCCUAGUGCAUUUUUCUUAGACCACUUUCUGAUCAUUUCUUUUUACUGUGGUGGGGCUAGGAUUUGGAGAUGGAGAUGUUCUUUCAGGUUGGAGAACAUGAGGCUUCGAGUGCAUACAGUGCAUGAGUUUGGAGUUGUUAAAAAUUGGUAGUUUACCUAUCAGUUUACGGGUCUCUCCAGUUUUGUCCUUUGCUAGAAAGUUGAAGGCUCUGAAAGAUGAUCUGAAACAUGGACUAGAGAGGUAUUUGACACUGUUCCCUUUCAUAAAGUUUGUGUCUUGGAGUGAAUUAGCUUUUAGGAUUGUAAGGGUGGGUAUAAGCUUUAUUUGGAUGAUAACCACUUAGCAGUGUGGGAAGAGAGGUCUGAGUGAUGGAAGUCAAGAGGUGUUCUGUGCAUGCUAUUCAUUAACAUGCACAUUUGUCCCAACCACUAAAACAUAUUAAACUACAUGUUCAAUAUCCACUUCUACCCAAUGCUGAAACCUGUGUUCCAACACAAGUAGCCCUGUACUCUGUUCACAGUCCAUGGCUAUGCCUGAUCAAGGGACGUUGGUGUCUUUUUGUGCCAAAAUGUUUUGACAUCGUGAAAUUCAUAAUCAUUAUUUCAAAGUUAAAAAUAUAAUUAUAAAAAAUUAAUGAAGGAAACAAAAUAUUUUGUAGUUAUACUUGAUUGUACUUGAGAUGCAAACCAUCAAGACCAAAUGACUCUUAUAUUAAAAUAUGUGGACAUUUGAACAGCUCUUCUACACGUAGAUUAAUAUUUUUAGAAUUUUUAAAAGUUGAUGAUGCAUAUACUAAGUGGUUGUCAUAACCUCAAUCUGAUUUUUUUUUUUUUUUUGAUUAAGUAAUAAGAUUUAUAUAAUAAUAAUAUUAAAAGUAAAAGAAUAUUUUCAGAAUUUUUAAAAGUUGAUGCAUAUACCAAGGGAUUGUCAUAAACUCAAUCUGAAAAAUAAAUAAACAAAUUUUAGAUUAAAUUAUAUUUGCAUAAGUAAUAAGAGGUCUUAUUUAUAUCUUCAUUUAUUUAUUUAUUGCCUUAGGCCACAUUUCUUGUUGAGCCUCCCUUUGUGUCUUUUGUUUUGUUUUCUUCCCUCCCCUGCCCCCUUUUUUAAGCAUUUGAUCCCCAUUAUCGUUCAUCUAAGUUAUUGUUUUGAAUUUGAAUUCUUUUUUUUUUCAAUUGAUAUUCUGACUUCAAUGUUGUUGGUACCAGAAGGAUGGCCUUAGAAGCAGCAGCAGUGGAAGCAGCAGUGACUGAUGUAUAUAGAGAUGGGCGAAGCUUAUUAAGUUGGUAUGGUCGUAAAUUUGGUUAUUGGAAGAAUCUAAAAAGAAACAAUGAAGAUUUAAUGCAGAAAGCUAGAGAGCUUUGGGAACUGAGAAAUGGCAUAAGGGAAGGAAUAAGCCAAAAUAGAAUCAGGCCAGACACAACAGCAUGGCUGAGAUGAAUGAAAGUGAAGCGAUAGAACUAGACACCAAAUACAAUGAUAGAAAAAACCACCCAUGGAAAUUGUUUCGUUUUUGGAAGGGUGCUAGUCUUAGCAAAGACAUGGCUGAGAAGUGCAAGCAAGUUCUUAGUCUUUGGGAAGAGGGAAAACGUAAAAGAGGAGUGUUGGAUGCGGAGCUGCCAAAGCGUGUCGUGGGAAUACGUCCAGCCAAAAUAGAAUAUAAUUGAAAACUUGAACACUCAUGACAAUAUUAACAAAAUGUUUGAUAUUGUCACCGGGUAACUGUCCCAAAGGAGUGGAGCGAGGUAGGGUUGCAACAGAGUAGGCUAAAUUUGAAUAUGGGAGGCCCUACAGACAUUGAGGAAAAUACACAGAUAAUAUUCGAAGAGUUGAAGGAAAUGAAGUGUUUGAUNNNNNNNNNNNNNNNNNNNNNNNNNNNNNNNNNNNNNNNNNNNNNNNNNNNNNNNNNNNNNNNNNNNNNNNNNNNNNNNNNNNNNNNNNNNNNNNNNNNNAUAUCAAACAUUUUGUUAAUAUUGAUCAUGAGUGUUCAAGUUUUCAAUUAUUGUGGUCUUCCCGGUUCCCACCAUUCCCCAGAUUCCUAUUCUUUUUAUUUCCGGAUCCUCUAGAAAAAGCACUAGAAUAUCUUUUUAUUUCAAUUAUUGUUGACUUAUUCUUAUAUGUUUAUCAUAAGUUCUAUAUAUAUACUAAGAAUUGCAAAGUCUUUAGAAUAUCUUAUUUCUCAACUCGGUACUAGAGCAGCUCAGUCACGACAAUGGCUACCUCUUUUCAAAGUAAUCAAUGAUCAAGCUUGGUAUGUCGAUAGUAGAGCCACUGAUCACAUCACAACCAAUCUGAGCACACUUUCUCAAAAGACAGUGUACAAAGGUAAAGAGAAGCUGGUUGUAGGAAAUGGUCAACAAUUUUAAACCAUUAUUCAUGAAUCAUGUUCUACAUGCCCCUUACAGUUUACUAAAACAAUAAUGUUUGCUGAAAUUUACAAUAAUCCAUCAAAGAAAUUUAGUAUUUGGCAUAGCUAACUUGGCCACCCAUGUGUACCAAUUCUAAAAUAUGUUAUGAAUACAAUUGGUAUUUCGAAUAAUUUUGAACUUGAUUUUUGCACUACUUGUUAACUUGGAAAGUCUCACCAAAUUUCUUUUUCAAAGUCGACAAAUGUAUCAUCUUAUCCUCUUGAACUAAUUCACUUAGACAUAUGGGGUCCAACACCCGGCAGCUCAAAGGAAGGAUACAAAUAUUACAUACAUUUCAUAGAUUACUACACAAAAUACACUCACUACAAAAAACCACCCUUUUGAUGUUUUCAAUAAUGCAAAAUAUUUAUGCUACAACAAUUUGUCAUCACAACAAAUAUGCAUUUGCUAAAAAUAUUUCUAUAAUAAAUUUAUUAUUUUAGUUAUAAUAAUGUUAUGAUUAAAGAUUUAUUUUUAAUUACAAUUAUAUAUCAUGAAAUAAAAAUUUAUUUUUGAUUAUUGCAUUUAUAUGUAUUUAUAUAGUCAAACUAAACUUUAACUAUAAUUACAUAUCACCAGGAAAAUUUUAUAAAUCUUCAAUGGUCUUGAACAAGUGCAUUUUAUUGGUGGUACAUGAUUAUCCCCAAAAAGUAUAAAAAUGUAUUUUUUAUAUAAUUAUUACAUAAGAAAUAGAUAAAGUAAAUGUUAUCACCAAAAAGAAUAAAAGUGUAUCUUUUAUAUAAUUAUUACACAUUACAAUAAAAAUAGAUAUAAGAAAUAUAUAAAAGUAAUUAUAGAUGGAAUGUCGCCUGCCACCAACUGCAAGAAAACAAAUAAAAUAAUAAUUAAAUUAUUAUUGCAAAAAGAAACACACAGCACACACAAAAAUAAAUAAUAUUAAAAAUUAAGAAAAAAGAAAUCAUAAAUAUUUAAGAUUAGCUUCUAUUCAUUCGUAUAUAUUCAAUAGGAUUAAAAAAAAUGAAGAGCAUUAUUUAAAAAAAAAGAAGAAAUAUUAAAUAAAAUUUUUGCAUAAAAACAGAAAUCCAAGUGAAGGAAAAAUUUAAAUACCGAUUGUUUUUUCAACCGUAGUCUUUCAAAGAGAACUCUCCCUUGAACACUUUGAAAGAAAAAGAAAUGAAGAAAACUUCAGCAAAUAAAAAAAAUCAAAUAACUCUGUUGAAAAAAAAAAGUUUUUUCUAAAUGGAAAUAAAUAAUAGUAGGAUAAAAUCUCUCUAAAAUAAUAUUUAUAUAGAAAGUCUUUUUAUUCAUCUUUGACAUGGCAAAAUUUUAAAAUAAGCCUAUGAGUUGACAUGGUGCCCCAAUUAAGAGUAGUACAUAUAGUGGGACUAUUAAAAUUCACCAAAGAUAAGCUGGGACCAAUGUUUUCAAAAUCGGAUCGGUCAUCGAAUCGGAAAAGUCAUCGAUUCACAGUUUAUUGAUUGGACUGGUGGUUGAAUCGUUUUCAGAAUUGGACCGGUCAUAGAAUCAGAAAAGUUAUCGAUUUACGGUUCAUUGGUUGGACUGGUGGUUGAACAACGAUCGAACCGGUGACGUCAUAAAUAUGUAAUUUAUAUAUUAUUAAAAUUAAAAAUAAUUAUAAAAAUUUUAAAAUAUAUAUGAAUAAAUUAAAAAUCAAUAAUAUUAUUUUAUAUCUUUAAUAUUAUCAAAUUAAAUCAUAUUAAUAUUUUAAAUUUUAUUAAAUGAAAUAUGUAUAAAAUUUAAAUGUAAAUAUAUUAAAAAAUGAAAAUUUAAAAUAAUUUUGCAAUUUUUAAAAAUAUUAUAUGAUUUUUAUUUAAUAUUACAAAAAAUUUUAAAAUCCAAUAUAUAUUGUUUUGUUUGAAAUAUUAGAUAACAAAAGGCAUGUAGCUGAGUGGUGUCCUAGGUUGGUUACAGAACCUGAGGUUCAGGCUUCAAGCCUUGGAUUUCCUCAUUAGGGUCAAGGCGUCACCACGUGGGCUCAAGACUCAGCCUACAAAAUGGUUGGGGGUGGGUGUGGGCUUUGUCAUUAUAAGACAGGGCCAGCAUGGGCUUUUAACAAAAAAUUUUAUACAAUGGAGCCUUCCAUGCUUACAAAAUGAGGGGGCAACUUCAACCGUUCGGUUCGUUUAAAGCAGUGGCUAGGACAAGCAAAAAUAAAGCAAAAAUAGGAGUGAGGCGGAAGCAAAGAGUGCAGAUAUCAAGCUGAGAUGCCGGAGUAGUGCAACAGCAAGGCCUCUACUGCCUAUAGUUCGACUCCUCAUCAUGAGCACUGCAGUCUGGCCUGCAACAUAGACGCUUAGAAAUCCCAUAAACACCCACAUAGCUAGUCGGUUUGCUUCGAAAACAGAAACGGGGCCUUGCAUAUACUUCACUCCAAGUACAUAAAUCAGGAGGGGAAUGAAAAACCCUAAAGCAGCAUCGAGUUGAACUGGGAAGCCUUGUCCACUAUAGCUGCACACAUGCACCACCAAAUCAUUAAAGUCAAGUGCCAAGCAAAAGGAAGAGCAUAUGUAGCUCCGCAGUCCAGGAAGACCAAAAAAACAAAGUGAAAAGUAGUUAAGAGUUAAGACAAGCUCCAACUAGCAAAAAAACAAAAGAAAAGAUGUUGUUAUAGCUAAAACUUUAAUGAAAAUAAUAUUAGUUAAUAGUUCAAGAACAUAAAGGUAAAACCAUCUAGACGGAUUAAGAUAUAUAAGAUUUAAAAAUGAUUUGACCAAUCAAUUAUUUUUCUGACUCUUUCUAUAAAUGUUUUCCAACUCUUUCUAUCUAAACACUGAAUUACUUCACUCUUUCUGGUGUCUCCCCUUUUUUCUUCCAUCUCCAUCCAUCAUGCGUAAUCUUGGAACAUCCAUCUUCAUCUCAUAACCUACUAAUUAGAAUUUGAGACACUUUCUACGAAAGAGAAGAAAAAAAGGUUACAGAAAGAGGUCAUGGGAACAAGGGGACAAAUUAACUCAACAAGUUCCGAACAAGAAAAACUGUACUGUCAUAUCUUCUUUCAACGGAAAGUUGGAAACUGAUAUGGCAACCAUGCAGAGAUGAUUUCAUUGUGGAUGCAUGAUCAGAGGAAGACUGAGAAUGAGAAUGAGAAUAAGAAUAAGAAAACUGGGGAGAAAACGAAGACCAUCAGCAAGCUAGAAUGAAAAUUUUAAAAAUUUGAUAAAAUAAUUUAAAGAUUUGAUAAAAUUUCUUAAUAUAAUAAAAUGUUUGGUUUUGCUUGCUUUUUCUAGAACUAAACUUCUUAAACAAUAAUAAAGAAAUAUGGUAAGAUCUUUUUAAUAAAAGUUUUUUUUCUCUCUUUUGUUAACAUUUGUCUUGACUACAACAUAAUUACUUUUCCCCUCGUAGUUGUAGAAUACAUGAGAAUGAGAAAUUAAAUUAAAUUUUAUAAUUAUUAAAUAAAUAUAUAGUUUAUUUAAUAUAUUAUUUUAUAAACUCCACAUAAAACUAUAUGCAAUAUAUAACAUUAAAAAAAAAUCAACCUUUAUUUUAGUGUUUUUAAAAAUAAAUUUUAAAAUCUUAAAACUUUGAUAAAUAUUUUACCAAAAAAAUGAUUUUAAAAUAUGGCAGACAUAAAAAAAAUGAAGAUAAUUUAUUUAUUUGUCUCAAAUUUUAAUAAAUGAAUUAACUUAAAUUUUAUAAUAAUUUUUAAAAAUUAUCCUAAAUAUAAUAUUUAUAUAGGAAUGUUUUUACAAAUUCAAGUAUGAGAUGAAGUGUAAACUUGCAUAUGCAUUAUUUUCAUCUUUAAUAAAUUUUUAUAAGAAUUGUAUGAUUUUAUUCUAAAUAUAAAUUUUUUGAUAUAUUCUAUUACUAAUUUAAUUUAUACAUAAAUAUAGAUAUAAUAUAUAUUGUUGCUUCACUCAUAUUAUAUUGUCAUUAAAUGCAAUCAUUAAAAAUCUUUAGAGGCAAUAAUAUAUUUGUGUCAUGAAAAAUAGGGUUUUAGUGACUACAUUUCAAACAUAGCUAAAAUUGUUGUCACUAAAAGUCAUUUUUCUUGUAGUGACUUGGAUCCAUCCCUUACGGUUGAAAUCAAAAUCCAAAACCAAAAUUCUAAAUCCUAGUUGAAAGACACUUUGAUAGGAAAAUCAAAAUACUACAAACUAAUUUCCCGUAGGGGGGGUGUUGGGGGGAGGGGGGGUGUGUGAAUACCGCAAUCUUAAACAAUUUCUUGAACAAUAUGCAUACAAUUCAGACAUCCAUGCAUAUACACACACCAACUGUGCCCUUAUCUUUCUUGUGGAAAGCCUUUAGCACAACAAGCUUUCUCAUAAACCACCUACCGACUCUUGCCUUUCGCCUAUCUUUCUCCAAUUGAGGCCUUAUUCUAUCAAAAACUAGACUUUCAAUUUUUAAAAACUUUCAGUUGUGCUUGCUAUCCUCACUUAAGACCAUAUAAUAAUAAGAAGCCACAAUUUAGAUCCUCUAAGUGUGUAUUUUUAGGUUAUAGUACUUAUCACAAAGGUUACAAGUGCCUACAUCCCUCUAGAAGAAUUUACAUUGCUUGUAGUGUCUGCUUUGAUGAAAAUGAUUUCCAUUGUAUUUGGUUUUCCAUGUUCCAACUCACAUCCAGAUUACUCUUCCACUGAAAAUUCAUUUUCUCCUUGUCAUCAGUGGAUUCCUAAGUUUGAUUGUCCAAGUCCAAUUAAUGUUGGCAUGACAGUUUCUGGUGCACUUCAGAUCUUAGAAUCCACUACAUCCUCACCAAGCUCUUUUGGUUCAAGUCAAAACAAUAAUCAAGGUAAUAGUUCUGGUCUUUCUCUUACCAAUAAUAUUGAAAUUCCUUCCAUUGAUUUGUCUGAAGAACUCUUUUUUAAACCUAUUGAGCAACAUCAAGAUCACAUACAAAAACAACCCGAAAUAGUCCAUCCUAUACCUUGUCAAACCUCAACUCACCUUAUAACCACUAGAUCCAAAUCAGGCAUUUCUAAACCCAAGCUCUACCUUACUAACACAAAACCCAAAUCAGCAUUUGUCUUAAUUGAGAACUUAGAAGCAAGCCAUGGAUUAGGGAUAUGAGGCCUUAAUGAAAAAUAACACUUGGGUUUUGGUACCAUAUGAGGUUGGUAUGAACAUUGUUGACAAUAAGUAGGUAUUCAAGGUUAAGAGAAAUUCAGAUGGUACAAUUCAAAGAUAUAAAGCCCAACUGGUUACCAAGGGCUUUCAACAAACACCGAGAGUUGACUACUUUGAAACAUUCAGUCUAGAAGUGAAGGCUUCAACAAUCUAGGUUGUUUUGACUUUGGCAGUAACAAAAAACAGGGAUAUACAACAACUUAAUGUAAAUAAUACUUUUCUGAAUGGAGAAUUACAAGAGGAAGUGUAUAUGCACCAACCGGUAGGCUAUAUCAAUCCAUUCAAAGUAGAAUUUGUUUGUAAACUCAAAAAGGCUCUCUAUGGAUUAAAACAGGCACCCUGAGCCUAGUUUGACAAGCUUAAGGUAGCAUUAAUCAGUCUUGGUUUUGUGAACUCCAAAUCAAACAACUUUUUAUUUGUGUUCAAGUCUACAAACGCAAUUCUCCUAUUGUUGGUAUAUGUUGAUGAUAUCUUGAUAACUGGGAAUGAUCAAGUGAAGAUGAAAAAGAUUAUUGAAAGCUUGAAUGCACAAUUUGCCUUGAAGAAUUUGGGAUCAUUGAGCUAUAUCCUAGGUUUUAAAGCACAUUGAACAAAGUCUAGAAUCUAUCUCUGAAGAAAUAUAUGAUUGAUCCAUUGUACAACGCUAACAUGUUGAAUGUUGAAAGCAACCCAACACCUAUGUGCCAAGGAACAAAAAUUCACCUUACUGAUAGUGAUUUAUUUGAACAACCAACUCUAUAUUGGAGCAUCGUUGGAGCUUUGCAAUACCUAACUCUAACCAGGCUAGACAUAUCAUUUGUUGUAAACAAACUGAGUCAAUAUUUGCAGACACCAACAGUUAAUCACUGGAAAGCUUGCAAAUGCAUCCUUAGAUACUUAAAUGACCCUUUUGACUAUGGGCCUCUCUUCUCGCCAACAACAUAAGUGACACUAGAAGGGUAUGUUGAUGCAAAUUGGGCUAGUUCCUUGGAUGAUAGAAAAUCUACAAUAGGUUAUUCUAUUUAUCUUGGUGGAAACUUAGUUGCAUAGAACUCCAGAAAAUAAAAGGCAGUAUCUCGCUCAAGCACUGAACCACAAUAUUGUGCCCUUACUUAAGCUAUAACUGAACUUGUUUGGUUGCAAUCUCUAUUAUUUAAAUUAGGAAUUGAGAUAAAUAGGUGCCUUACACUCUGGUGUAACAAUACUGGAGCUAAACAACUUUCUUCUAACUCAAUCUUCUACUCAAGAACAAAACACAUUGAGAUUGAUGUUCAUUUUAUCGAAGAUAAGGUAAUUGCAAAAGAACUGGAGAUAAAAUAUGUGCCAACAGAAGAUCAAACUGCUAAUAUCUUUACAAAGUUAUUAUCCAUAUCUCAAUUCCACUUUCAUAAAGGCAAGCUUGUUGUUGUUCAAUCCCCACGGUCUCGUUUGAGGGAGCAUGUUGAAGACUUUUUUGUAUGUGGAAAAUGACCUAUCUUAUCAAAAUUAGUUAUAGAGUCCCUCCAAACUCAAACUCUAUCAGAGCUCUCUCGGACUCUUUCUCUUUCUGAGAAGCUCCAUUCUCAUCCUUAUCUAUUGGUUAUGAUAGGCUUUCCCUUAUUCUUAUCUGUUAUCAUAAGUUUUAUAUUCUAUAAAACCACUCAAGUAAAGUUAAAAUAGACUAAGAAUUGCAAAGUCUUUCAAAGCUCCAGAAUCUCCUAUUUCUCAACUAUAUGAUAUCCAAAAACCUUUUUAAUGUAGCAGUAGAAUGAGCUAUAUAUAAAUUCAAUUAUUAUAAAGUCAAACAAAUAAAAUAAAACUAGAAGAUAAGACUUCAUUUAAAAUAAAACUAGAAGAUAAGACUUGAUUGAGUCUUAUUAUUCUGGGUUGUUUAGUUUGGAAAAGUCCUAGAUUUUGAGGAGUUUGAAUUUAAAAUAACAUCAGAAGAUAAGGCUUGAUAGAGUUCUAUUAUUCUAGGUUGUUUAUUUUGGAUGAGUCUUAGUGUAUUUAAAUUUGAUUUUAUUUCUAAUUUGAAUUAGAGAGAAUAUUUGAGUAUGUUGGUUAGUUGCUAAAUUUAGGGAUUGCUUUGUUUAUUUAAGUUCUUGAUGUAAACCAAAAUUUUUAAUAAAGUGUUAUCUAGUUUCUCUUCCAAAUUCAAUAUGGUCUUAGAUCUUUAGUGACUUUGCCUAUAGAGAGCAGGUUACACGUAGGCAAGCAAUCUAAAGCUAUUCUGAAGAAUGGAAUAAUGGCACUCCCUUUACCGGCCAUUGGAAGAAUGGAAUAAUGACACUCCUUUUACCGGCCACUGGUGAGAAAAAGCUAUCAACAAUUUUAAUUUUAUUACUCUCAAAACAAGGUUGAUAAGAGUGAAAGAGAGUUAUAUCAAAGGUCAUGUGAUCAGAUGCACCGAAGUUGAUAAUCCAUGGGUUUGACUUCGAGAAAGCAUUCAAGGCUCUAGAACAUAUACCUUUCUAGGCAAUGGAACCAGAUCCUAUAGUGGAGGUACUUGAAGGAUCACAUGUGAGGAGUUUCUAAAGUAGCUCCAUCCUUUCUCGGUUGAAAGGAGUUUUGUUGGCUGACUUAUUGGAUUGUGGUGGUUCAUCAUUGGUAGCACGAUAACCUCAAGGUCCAUUUUCAUAUGUUUUGUUACUUUUCCAAUUGGGCAGCUUCCCAUGAAUUUUCCAACAAGUUUCUCAAGUGUUACCAACUCAAUUACAAUGAUCACAUCAUGACCUAUUGGAUCUUCUUCAUGAAUCAAAGUGUUGAGAAUUUGGUCCCUUGGUGGCUAGACUGAUCCAUCCUUGCUUAGAAAGGACAAUGAUGAGGUGUGAUCCUUCAUCAUGACCUUCUUUUGUCUCUCUUCUUACCAAACAUCAAAACACACUUCUUGAAGUAAUGGGUGUGGUUUGGUGUUAAGAACCCUUUAUUGGACUUCAUUGAGAUUCUUGUUGAGUCCAACCACCAAGAAUGUGAAGAUCCUUUAUUUUGCCACAAUUUUCUAAUAUUUGAGGCUAUCACUAGUGCAAUCUCAUUCCAAUUAUUUGAACACGUUUAGUUUUUGACAAUAUUGGAAGAGAAUGCUAAAGUAUUAGGUCACACUAAGGUCCCUUUUCCAUAAUUCUAGAAGUUGGCGUUUGAUUUUGAACAUCUUUGCUAUUCGAAAAAAUCUCCUUGGUUGCAUCCUAGAUUUCUUUUGCUAUCUUAUAGAAUAGGAAUGUCUGGCCUACUUUCGUCUCCAUGGAAUUAGUAAGUCAAGACAAAAUCAUAUUGUUCUCAAAAAACCAAGUUUUAUAAGAUGCAUCGUUCUUUGUCAAGGUUGUCUUCAAGCCUGUGAAGUAAUCAUCUUUGUCUCUCCCACAUAUAUACAUUAUUACUAAUUGAGACCGUUGGAGAUAAUUUUUGCCAUUUAAUUUGUAGUGAACAAAAUUCUCAAAACCACCAUUACUACCCAAAUUGACAAGAGUAGAAUCAGAGAUCACCUCCAAAAAUCUUGUUGGAUGUUCGCCAACCAUUGUAGUUUUCACCAUAUUUAAGUUUAGAUCUUAGGCUUUGAUACCAAAAUUUAGGUAACAUAAUAAUUGAUACUAAUUUGACUAUAUUAAAUGACUUGGAUGUUCCUAUUGCAUUUUGGAAAGGGGUUAGAUUGUGUACCACACAUCCCAUUGUUGAUUUUGUUUCCUCUCAAAGAUUAUCUCCACAAUUUCGAGCAUUUACUACUAAUCUUUCUAAAGGUGAUAUACCCAAGGAUGUUCAUGAGGCAUUACAACAACUAAAUUGGAAGACAGCUACACAUGAUGAGAUUAAAGCUCUUAGGAAAAAUGGAACCUAGGAAUAGACCAAAUUGCCUUUGGGAAAAUCUAUUGUAGGAUGCAAGUGGAUUUUCAAUGUGAAAUAUAAAUCUGAUGGGAAUAUUGAUAGAGACAAGGCAAGAUUGGUGGCUUUCAAUGUGAAAUAUAUGUCAAGGCAAGAUUGGUGGCUAAGGGGUUUGCGUGGGAUUUACGCAAAAGUAUGGAAUAGAUUAUUAGGAAACAUUUGCUCCAAUUGUGAAACUUAACAUUCUCUAAGUUCUACUCUCCAUUGCAAUCAACAAUGAUUGACCUCUUCAUCAAUUAGAUAUAAAAAAUGCAUUUCUAAAUGGUGAUCUCAAUGAAGAAGUUUACAUGGAAAUUCCACCAAGAUUCAAAGACGUUAAAAAAAGGAUCAAGUGUGCAAACAAUCACCUAGGGUUUGGUUUGAAUGUUUUAAUUCAAUUGUUAAGAAAGUUAGGUACAGUUAGGAACAAUCAGACCAGAUGAUGUUUUUUAAACAUUCAUUAGAUAGGAAGAUCAUCAUUCUUAUCAUCUAUGUUGAUAACAUAAUUCUUACAAUUGAUGAUGAAACAAAAAUGAUAAAUUUGAAAAACACCUUCUCUCGAGAAUUUGAAAUCAAGGACUUGGGAGCUCUUAGGUACUUCCUUGGCAUUGAGGUGGCUCGAAUUUCAAAGUGGAAUAUUAGUCUCUCAAUGGAAACAUGUCCUUGAUCUUCUGAAGGAAACUAGUAUGGUCAGAUGUAGACUAGUGGAAACACCUGCGGAGCAUAAUGGCAAGCUUAAUGAUGAAGAAGAAAGCCCUUUUAUUGACAAAGGUCAAUACCAGAGACCUGUUGGGAAGUUGAUCAUCUAUUUAUCCCAUAAUAGGCUAGACAUAGACUUUCCUAUUCAUGUGGUUAUUCAGUUCAUGCACAGUCCCAUUGAAGAACAUCUUAGUGUAGUUCACAUAAUUCUUCGAUACUUGAAAAUGACACUUGGAAAGGGGUUAUUUUUCUGGCUAAAGUAUUAGGAAAGGAAUCAAAGUAUAUUCUAACAUAAAUUGAGUAGAUUCCGUGAAUGAUAGAAGGUCCACCUCAAACUACUAUACCUACGUAUGGGAACUUGGUCACUUAGAGAUGUAAAAAGCAAUCCAUAGUAGCUCGAAGUAGUGGAGAAGCUAAGUUUCAGGCUAUUGCACUUGGUGUAUGUGAAGGACUAUGGCUAAAAUGUGUGAUGGAGGAGUUGAAGAUUUCAAAUGAGUUUUUGAUGAAAUUGUUUUGUGAUAAUCAAGUAGCCAUCAACAUCUCCCAUAAUCAGGUUCAUCAUGACAAAACCAAGCAUGUGGAAAUAAACUAACAUUCCAUUAAGAAGAAAGUUGACAAUGGAGAGUUUUUACUGUAGUACAUGCCUACCACUGCAAACAUUCUUACAAGAGCUCUACCAAGAUAACAUUUCAAUUCUCUUAUAAGCAAACUGGAAAUGAUCAAUAUUUAUUCCUUAGUUUGAGGAAUGUUGAAAUCGUGAGUUUUUUAGGAGUAUGAAUUUAAAACAAAACCAGAAGAUAAGGUUUGAUUGAGUCCUAUUAUUCUGGGUUGUCAAGUUUAGAUAAGUCUUAAUGUGUUUAAAUUUGAUUUUAUUUCUAGUUUGAAUUAGAGAGAUUAUCGAAUGAUAUUUUGCAGGUUGGUUAGUUGAUAAAUUUAGGGAUUCCUUCAUUUAUUUAAGCUUUGGAUGUAAACUAAAUUUUUUAAUAAAGUAUUAUCCAGUUUCUCUUCCAAAUUCACCUAUUGCAAGUGGAGACACCUACUCUAUUGGAUGUUAAAUAUUACCUACUUGUUUUCUCAUUAUUAGAUUCAUAUAAUUUGUUACUGCUUUUAUAAUGAUGAUAAUCACACAAACAUAUUUUUAGAUAUAUAGUUAAUAUGAUUCCACAUAAAUUAUGAUUCCACAUCCAUUUAUGAUAUACUUGUCGACUAUUUUAUGUUUACCUAUUAUUUUAAUUUUUUUAGAUGAAGAUGUUGGAUUAAAAGACCUCAAGUGGAGAGGUUUUGUAGUCACCUUAAAAAGACAAUAAGCAUGUCAGUUCAAGGCUCUGGCUAAUCAAUGUGUCAACUACUGCUAGAACAAUUUUUUAUUUUUUUUUAGUCCAUCUUUUGCUUAGAAUUUUCUACUAUUUACAAUUGAUAUUGUGGCUUUAGUUGUAUUCAAGGGGUUUUUUUUUUAAAUUUUUUUUUAUUUAUUUUUUAAAAAGUUAUGUUUGAUUUCUAGAAAGCAUUGAGAAAAGGAAAAGAAAUAUUGAAAAAAAAUUAUCAAAAAUGUUUGGAUUCUAUAAAAAGAGAUAAGGUUGCAAUUUGACCAAAUUGGGUGAAUUGGUCAGAACAAAAAGCCUAUAAUGGAAUCGGCAAGUUAUGUUUGAUUCCCAAAAUGUUUGAGGGAAAGAAAAUAGACAACAAAAUAUAAUGAAAGAGUUUAGGAAAAUUUAUAAUAUUUUUUUUUCUCGUUUGAAUGUUCAUGUUUUAUUAAAAAAAAAAUUAAAUUCUGAAGUAUCUAGAUCAUCAUGGUUGUAGCUUUGGUUAGAUGUAAAAUAUAUCAAAUAUCAAUAAAUGAGAACACUUACAUUUCCAUUUUCUUUAAGGCAGUUGUGGCCACAAAUGCAAGGGCCUUCAUGAAGCCACCAGAACCUGUCACUCAUAGACAAACAGCCAACAAAACAAACCAAAUAUUAGACAGUGAAUUUCGAAGGGCACAUGGAGUUGGAAAUUAGUAUUUCCCCACCCUGUUUUUAAGUAUGCAAAUGAGUUAGAAUACCCAUCUUAAGUGUUAGAAAUUGGAAUCUAAUGUCCAUAUGAGAAUACCUGAUCCAAACCUUAGGGGAGUCGGAUAAAUGAGUUAUACAUUCAGUGAUAUAUAUAGAUACACAAACAUCCCAAUAGAUGGCAGUAUAUCACCGCUAGUGCAAGUGUGCAUAUACCUUUUCCAGCAAAAGAGUAAAUAUUUUUUUAACAAAAACCAGCAACAUGUGCACAUGCUUUUUUCGAUUCAACCUGAAAAUCUGUGUAUCCUACUGGAUCAUUUAUGUCAAAGAAUAGAUCCAAAAUGCAAUGAAUUAGGCAAUGUACAUACCAGUUAUAAAUAAAGUGAAUAAAAUGGAGAUCACAUCUAUCUAUGGAAAGGAAAAAAAGACAUGAAAAAUAACCUAACCUGACUGUUGAGAAGGCUUUCUUUCUUGCCUCUCAGCUUCACCUGACUGUUGAGAAGGCUUUCUCUCUUGCCUCUCAGCUUCACCUGACUGUUGAGAAGGCUUUCUUUCUUGCCUCUCAGCAAGAAGCUGAUUCUCAAUUUCUUCUAUCUGAGUCGCCAAAUCUGCAUCACUUUUAAUGGGGACAAAUACAUUAUGCCACUGAGCAAGUCCAAAAUAUGAACUCAUCUUCAAUGUACUCCACCAGUCUUCCUCUCCUAUGAUCACCUUUAUACCAUGACAACAGACUUCCAUAUCAGACAGAGUUUCAAGGCGUGGACAGUUAUAGAAGCUCAUCCAUUCUAAUUUUGGUGCAAUGCGUAAACCACUUGAAAUGUUGACCAAUUUAGGCAUGUAAUGAAGUGAUAUCUUCCUCAAAUUAGGGAGAUAUGUUCUCAAGGGGAAUGGUCUAUGUUCAGCAGGAUCUUCAAGGGUCACUAUGCUGUUGAUUUCAGGGCACCAUUCAGCCACAAGCUCCUCUAAGCUGUUGAGAUUUUCAAGCAAACCCAAAGUAAAAAUGGUAGUCAGCUGUGGGCAUUCAUGCAAUGCCAAGGACUUUAGACUAGAUAGACAACCCCUCCAAACUGGUCCCUUCCAGAUGCUCACUAAAUUCUUCAUAUAAUGAAGCCUUAAGAAUUGUAGAGACCCAAGUAUAUUUUCUCCAUAAACAUCUCCAUCAUCUUCUUGUUGUUUACAAUUUUCUGCUUCAUCCACAAUGGUUUCAAUCUUGUAACAUUCCCCCAAUACACAAAAUUCUAGCUUCUUCAUAUUUCCAAUCCCAAAUUCAGAUAGCUUGGUGAGAGUUAAAUGGCGAUCCAGGAACAAAGCAGUGCAAUGCUGGAGUAACUCCUUGAUUUGACUUGGAAUGCCUUCACCAUUCACAUACUUCAGGCUCUUUUCCUGGAGUUCAAAUUUAACUGCAAGUUCAUGUGGCAGUCGAGAUAUAAUGCGGCUGUGAUGGCUGCCAACAACAAAUCUAAAGUGGACCAAUGACAGGUAUACCGACGAAGUUCCAUCCUUCAUAAAGUGAUCAAGUGGUGCAACACGUGGCACGUAAAGUUUUAGAGCCUCCAACUGUUCUAAGCUGCACACUUCCUGUACAAUAUCUUCAAUGGCCGCAUUCCAUCGUUCGUCAUCAGGGUUCACAUCUAUGCUUAAAUCUUGCAAUUGAAACAAUUCUUGUAUCACAUUCAGAGGAAUCGGUGUAGAUGACUGACUUUUUCUGUAUCCAUGAAAGGACAAUUUCAAGAAUUUUAACUUUUUUAGUCUUGAAACUUCUACAGGUAGUUUUAUAAUUUUAGUGCCUUCAAGAUUGAGCACCUCAAGAUUCCCGAGUUUUCCAACUUCAGGUGGCAGCUCCAUUAAAAGUUCACAGCCUCUUAAAAAGAAAAUUCGAAGUUCGAAUAACUUAAAGAGAGAUUGUGGUAAAGAUCUGAUUCUAGUGUAGGACAAGUCUAGAAUUUGGAGGACAGGCAAGCCUUCAAAGAACAUUGGAGGAAUAGCUCUCAAAUGGUGAUUGGACUGCAAAAACAACACUUUGAGUUGUGAGCCAUGAGGACUCGUUGGUAGCUCUGAAAGUUUAUUAUUCAUCAAAUGCAUCUCACUGGCCUUUUCCCAUGCCUCAUCUUUUGGUGGUUCAGUUAGUCCCCAUCCACCCAGCCUAAGAAAGGGUGAACAUGAUUCAAAUCUUAAGAAGUUUAAUAACUCCUCAUGAAUUUCGCUUCGCAUUCGGACAAAAUUAGAAUCUCCAUACUGAAAACUCUCUAACAAGAAGGCAUUGACAAGAUCCCCCACAAUCUGUUCACCUUCAUCAAAUGUUCCUACCAAGCCGCUUGUGAUCCACUCUUCAAUCAAAUGCACUUUAUCCAUCUGUCCCCAAUUCUCCAUGUCUACACAGUAUUGUAAAUACUUGUUUGUCGAACCUGAACGGCCCCACAUGAAUGCCAAUGCAUUAAAUAAGACUCUAUCUUUUGUCUGAGAUCUGUGCUGCAAUCCUAGUGUAUAAGAUGCAUAUUCCCAGAUCAAAACAUCAGUCACGUCUUUCAAAGCUCUUGCCAUUAUAACAACAGCGAGUAAAUGGCCACAACACUUUUCAACCACAUUUAUGGCGAGGCGUUGGAUCCCUGAAGAGUGCACAACUUCCCCAACAUUCACACAGAACAAUUCCCAUGAUAACAGAUGAUUCUCCAUCCUGAUCUCUACACCCACUGCUGUUACGUCAUCAACAUGCUGAGAAUUAGUUGUAUAAACUAUUUUUUGAAUUUUCUUUGAGUUCCACCAGUUGGUCCCCAUGUCAUAAAGAUUUACCCUUUCACCAACCUCAUGAAGAAGGAUGAAGAAGUUUGUGCCUUUCAGUGUUUCAUCUAAUUUCCGUUCUCCUGAUGUGGAGGGAAACAACUCCCCUUCAAUUGAAAAUCUAAUCUCUUCAAUGGUGGAACAUCUUGAGACAUCAACAUCAAUGACAUGAUCAAAUAUACAACAUUCCUGUAGUUCGCCCCACAAUUCUGAAAUAACUGUUUCUCCAUGGCUUCCUGAAAUCCCAAUCUUCCGAAUUUUAGGGUAUUCUAUGUGUUGUAAAAUUUCACGAAUAGCAAAGUCUACUGCCAAAUCAUAUAUUCUUUUUGGCGUAGGCAUUAUUUGGCCAUGCCUUUCUACAUAAAUCCCGCUGAAGCUCUUCGCAAUCACAACUUGGGGAAAUAGAGGUUCAAUUUCAUCCAUGUAACGAGUCAUCAGUGUACUGAUUCGAUUCUCUAACUUAAAAGCAUCAAUCUCUUUCUUUUUUGAAGGUGCUUCCAUUUCUCUCACCACAUCAUUGAUCUUCAAAAUGUCCUGAACCCACUUAUAUUGAUUCCGCUUGUAGCUUUCUUCGUUCACCAAGCUCAUAGGAGGAUAAGAUAUAAUAAGGCACACAAUAUCCUUCAUCCUGUUCAAUAUCUCAGCACUCUGCUUGAUUCUUUCGUGGACACUCCUGUCAUCUUCUAACCGUGUGGAAGGCCCAGUUAUAUUGAUUUUGCUUCU
rnacentral:lncRNA from 1 species